UUCCAAUUCUACGGUCUCGUCGAUUUUUUCUACUUUAUGUGGGAUCAAGAAAUAGCAUGUACAGGGGCCUUCGCACCCAACACACACAGUAGUAUAGCAUGUUCUUUCACAUGUUUUACCAUUAGUCGUUUGGUUCGAUCGAUCACAAGCCCCUGCUGCUGAACAGCAAAGCGACUAAACAUGCAACAAAUCACCAAACUCCAAUUUAUUAUUAUACACCAAAGGCGCACACAAGUUCAACCGAAGAACGAUACUAAAAACUCAGUCGGCUGAUAGGUGGAUCAUCAAAGGAGAAUCAAUGCAUCCAGAAGUAAGGCCAACAUAGGAGAGGUGCACCACGCGAGAGACAUAGCCAGUCGAGGAAAUUCAGCCAGUGAUCCUCAGAAGAACCCCCGGACAACGCCACCCCCACGCUGCAUGGUAGGCUUCACAUGCCACCUAGUCCAUGACUUUUGCUCCUAGCGGACACACCCUUUGAUUUCCCUCCUUUUAUCUGCAAAAUUGCCCAAUUUGUUAGCCACUCACAUAUCAACCUGAUAAGCAUAAUUAGAACAUUUAUUAGCUUUUUUUUCAAAAACAACAACUGUUUCUGCAUCUCCAAAUUGUCCAAAAGUUAGCAGCCACACCAACUAACACCCUUUUUUGGUUACAUCAUGUUGAUUUUUUUAAUAGAGACACUAAAGCACAGAAUCAGAUUAGUAGGAUUGAUCUCAAAUUUAAAGUAUAUUUAAGAAAACCCCACACUAGUCUAUUGCUCUCAUCUUGACCACAAAACACACAAUUUUUGGGAUCUAUCCAGCCACUCUUCAAUAAAUGGUCUCUAGGUAAUACGCUAUUUUUGACCAUCAACCAAAGAAAGACUUUGAUUUUUGGUGGAAUUUUAUUUUUUUCUUAAAACAAUUGUGACAAACCACAAUAUUGAACAACAAGGUGUCUAUAAAGUGUUUUGACUGUAAAAAGACCAUAUGCAGUUAACAUACACUUAAUAGAAUCCUUGUUGUGAGACAUCACAUUCCAUCACAUCUCAUUUUGAGGCUAUCCCAAAGAGCUAGAGUAUCACCUCACAAAGUUCUUCUAAAUCUAAAACCCUCCCAACCUCUCUACAAGGCAUCAGUUGUAGUAAUAUUCUAAUCAGAACUCAAAUUAUACAGUAUAGCAUCAGAGAUUUUAAGGGGUUUAUAAUCCACCAACAGUAUUCCCAAAAAUCCAGCAUUCUUGCCAUUACCACUUUUUUACAAUAUUGGUAGAAUGUGUAUUUAAUUUUCAUGAUACUGGACCAGAAAUGGGAGUCCCCAGUCUUAGGUUUAGUUCCAAAAAGGCAACCAUUCCGAAGAUGCUUGUUCAGGAGAAUCAUGUGCCAAAUACCAUUUUUAUUUUCUACCAUAACUAUUUAGCAGACAAGUUUUGUUCAUGAGUUCAAGAUUUAAAAUCCCUAAACCCCCUUAAUCUUUAGGUCUAAAUCAAGUGUUCCACUUUACUAAGUGUUAUUUUUUUUCUUAUUGUCAUCUGCCUACCAAACAAAUCUAGCCAUGAAAAAAUUGGCUCUUUUCUUCACAUCAACUGGGAUGGGGUAGAAAAACAUCAUACAUAAGUUGAAUAUCCCCCUCUAUUGUUAAAUCUUCUCUCAUAGUGAUAGUUAUCAAAUCUCUCCCCUUUUGUUGAAACUACCUUGCACGCCUGCACCACCAUAAGACCUAGCCAUCCCUUCUUGCUCACCAGAUGGCGGCGUAGCAGUCAAGCCUUACCACACAUCGAUUGCUUGCCCACCAAAUUCUCUUAGGGGGCGGACCAAAGCAUCUAAAUACCCAAAGGUAGCACAAGGCGCAUUCUCCUUAAGUGCUUUCCUAUUCCACUAACCUGGACCUCCUAUACCAAAAACAUCUAGUCCAACCGCCCAGGGCCAACUACAGAAGGUUCUAUGGGUAAAGGCCAAAACCCUAAAACUCACCCCCUCCUUGCUCAAUAUUUAUCAUCACAACAUCAAUGUAAUCUAAGAAAUCCACCCCAAAAACAAGCAUAUCCUUUGUAAAAUUGGCAAGGGUAGCUGGAAAAUUACCAAUUCUCAUAGCCUUUUUGACUAGAUUUCCACCAACAUCGAAAUUCCAUUUAAAAACUAUAUCAUCACAAAUUUUGAUAUUGUGGGUAUCAACAUCAGAAAGAUCCAAGGACAAACCAUCCUCAUAACAGUAUUACGAUCAAAAUCAAUGACAUGAUCAACUUCCAUCGGAAAAUCCACCGAAGACUUUUCGAGCAUGCAACUAAGAUAUCCUAACACUAUUUCUCGCAACUACAAUCCUCCCAACUGUUAGUUUGUACAUGAGGAUGUAAAUAUUUGUAGAGAUCAGCAAUCUUACUUGAAAAUGAAGCAGCAAAACGAUUGUAGGAGUCGUCGACUCCUCCCCGGCAGCAGCCAUAAUUGACUGCCUGCCAGGAAGACGCCUACUCGUCGGCGGCGCGCUGUGCAAGCGCCUGGAUCCGCGCAGAACGCCGGGGGAACCGAGGGGAGCGACGAGGCAGCUGUGAAAUCACCCGCGCCACAUUUUGCCUCGGCACCACCCGCACAUCGUCGUCGGUCAUGACAGGCAUCACCGGACAGUGUGGCGGUGACCUUGUCGCCGUGGUCACCACCCGCACACCAUCCCAGAUCAGAUUGGACGAAACCCAAUCAUACGACGCGUAGCGGUACCACCGCGCGCGCUGCACCGGAUCGUUGGAUUCCGCCUCCAUCAUUGCCCAAUAGAGAAUCUCGAGCGGGGACUUCCCUGAGAUCCAACUUUGUUCCUCCUCUGAGGCCUCUUCAAACACCCGACGUGAUUCCUGAUGCAUCUCCUCCGCAUCCCUGUACUGCCCACAGAUCUCGCGAAGCCUCGCCAUCUUCGUCUCGUCGCUACCGCGAUUGCCGCCGCCAUGAUCUCCCCCCACGCCAAAGGCCCUUCCAUCACCGAGAUCUGAGACGAAGGUUGGAGGGGAAGAAGAAGGGGAUCGUCGACACCCUCGUGCCUCGCGUGUAGAUUUAAUGCUUGCCAAAGUCAUAGGUAUUCAUUGCCCACAUCACGGGUUCCUCGAGAUUAGUGUGGGAUCAACACCGUUGAUUUUUUGGAAAUUAUUAUGUCCUGGAUGUUGCGAAAUCAUCUAUUAGGGGCCAUCCUAUCACGAUCCCGAUGCCAAGUUGUACUCCACUAAAACUAGAAUUGGCAUCCGUCCAUCCACGGAACGAGCACAAGCCAACAAGAUUACACCAAACGUGACGCUGCACCAGUUUCAGUUUCACAGGUACGCUGCCGUGGGAAAGCGAAGAAAUUGUUGGUAAAGUGAGAGAAGGACAGCAUGGUAAACGAUGUCUGGUCCAGGUCCCGUCUGCCGCCCGCCACACCGCAAACGCACCAUCCAGCUCACUUUUGCCUGGAUUGUGUCGAUGCGAUGCAAUGCAAUUCCCUGGAUGCCAAUUGUUUGGUGGAACCACAAUUUCAGUCUUGACAUACGUACAUGACCCAUGACGCAUUGUCCGGCCAAACUUCUAAAUGCAAUACACGUAGGCUAGAAAUUCCCCAUUCGGAAAAACAAGAGGAAGAAGUUGACCUCCGCAUCCUGGUGCCGGAGAACAAAACGGCCGACAGAUGCAGCAUCGUUAAUGUGGAAAAUUGAUCUCUCUCAGAAAAAGAAAAAAAAUGGAAAGCCGAUCCUGGCACGCACAAGUCUCUCUCGGUGACAAACGCGUGCACUGUUGUAUGUAUUUAGGUGACGAUGGAAGCCGCGCUAGGAUAGGAAGUUAAGUGAUCACGCAUCGAUCAUUCGACAUGCACCAAAACUAGAGUUUUCACACCUGACAGUCACGCCCACCUAAAAUGGCACCCUUUGUCAGUGAUUUUUUUGCGAGGCACCCUUUGUCAGUGUUACACCCUUCUCACGCAUUCUUGAUCGUGAAGCUUCUCGUAUGAACAAACAAGUAAAUGGCCAACGGAACGAGGGCACACGAAAAAAAGCCGCCGCCUCCUCCUCCAGAAAAAAAAAAGCUAAGGUUUCUACCUCCCGCCGGCAACGCCGCAAGUCCGCCUCCUCUCCGAUGGCUAUAGGGCCAUGGGGUGCGGUGGAUCUCGGCAAGUGCCGGCGGGAGGGCUCCGUUUUUAGUCGUUUCUUUCAGUUUUGCUAGGGUAUGUGUCCUGCUUAGGAAGACGAGAAGGCGGCGGCUCCCUGAAGAUGGAAUAAAGGUCUCCCCGCCUCGCCCCUGUUCCGGCGGUGCGUCUAGCACCAUUGGUGGACGUGUGGAGGUGUGUCUUCGACGGAUCUAUCUUUGAUGGAUUUGCUCGGAUCUCGUCGUUGUUUGUCUACGUUUGUGUGUCUUCGAGUUGGAUCCUUCUGAUCUACGUUAUUCUUCAUCUGGGGCGGUUGCUGUUCUGGUGUGCUGAUCCUACGGGGCCUUAGCACGACAACUUUCCGACUGUCUAGUACAACAAGUUGUGCCCGACUCCGGCGAUGGAGGGGCGAUGACAGCGGCGCGCCUCCGGCUCGCUUCAGUGCUUAUAGUCGUUGGUAGGUGGUCUACGGAUCUGGAUGUAAUCUUUAUUAUUUCUAAUAUUCAUUGUACUGGCAUGAUUGAUGAUGAAUAGAUCACAAAUUUUCCUGAAAAAUAAGUAAAUGGAUAGAGAAAGUUUGUUGUCUGUCGAGUACCUCGGCAGUCAGCUAGGAGUACUUAAGCAGGAGUGGCCGUUUGAAUCAAUCAGGCGGCGGGAGAUACGUACUCCCAUUCCGGAGAAAAAGUAGGCUAGUGAGCGGACCUAGAAGGACGCACUAAAUCUCACGCGGACGUCGCGGAUGUGCACGUACGGGCUCGAGUGCGCGGCAGCGGCCGCGUGUAUGCGAUGAGGCCGGAUUCUACACGAGUGAAUCAGCAGUCGGAGAGAGUCCAUUCCAGGUUAAGACCAAAUCCUCUUGCCUCGACAAGACUUCCUGCCGAGACAGACGCGUCCGUACUUACGUGAGCCAGCAGCAGUCGGCACACACGUUUUUUUUGGAAACAGAGGCAUGAGAUUUGCGUCAUCUAUUAAAUAAGGAAUCUAUUAAAUAAGGAGAGAAUAGAGUUUAGAGAAUUACAACACACCCACACAUUCGGCAUGACAAUUACUCGCCCAGAAAAAUAUUCCUAAUUUCUUUGCGCCUGCGGCCAUCCAAAGCUUGGCCUCGUCGACGAUGGCGGUGAGCAGGAUGGUCGGUGGUGCACUUUUGUGGCAGAACACCCGUGCAUUUCUUUCAUUUCAAAUGGUCCACGAGACGAGCAUGGUGAGGGAGGCCAUAGCUUGCCGGUUAGGGUUGCGGUUGUCGGUUCUCUUGUCCCACCACUGGUAGACGGAGUCGUCCAUGAGCCACUCGGAUGUAUCCAUGUGCGCAAGACCUAGCUUCUCAAUGAGAGACUUCCAUAGCCGGAUCGUGUAGAGGCACUUGAAGAAAAGGUGGGCUCCCGAUUCUUGCUCCCUAUUGCAAAGCUUGCAAAGGCCACAAUUUGGCCAACCUCGACGCUCCAAGCGACCGGCGGUCCAAAUCCUAUCUUGUAACGCCAACCAAGCAAAAAACUUAACCUUUGGGAGUGCCCAUGCCUUCCAAACCAUGCGAUCCAAGGGGGAGAGAGUCAUGCCUAGGAAUUGAGCCUUGUACGCGCUGGCCGCCGUGUAGAUCCCAUCGUUCGCAUGCUUCCAAACGAUGGCGUCUUCGGUUUGCUCAUGAAGGUGGACGUCAUUAAGGAGCAUCCAAAGAGUGAAGAACUCCCUAAUGUGGGCAAUGGAGACAACCGUGUCCGUGUCAUGAUUGAUCUCGAAGAUCCAAGCGUUCCCCCUGAGGGCCUCACGGACCUUCCAAUUCUUUCUUCUCGAGGCCGCAAACAAGAGUGGCGCGAUAUCCUUGGGUUUGCGACCAAGAAGCCACGGGGAGGCCCAAAAAGGCGUUUUGAAGCCAUCCCUUACAGUGAUAGUCGUAGAGGCAUAGAAAAACUCGAGGUCCUCCUCCGUGCACGGGUUUCCAAGGCCAACCCAUAAUCUGCGGGGCUCAGUCCAUUCAUACCAUAGCAUUCGGAGCCGCAAAGCACGUGCAAACUUGUCGGUGUCGAGCACCCCAAGGCCACCAUAUUCUUUUGGUCUACAAACCACCUUCCAGUUGACCUUGCAUUUGGCUCCCGUUGUCUUGUCCGAGCCGGACCAAAGGAAAGCUAUCUCAAUUUUUUUAAGACUAUGGAGAGAGCUCUGAGGCACGACGAGGGGCGUGAUGGAGAAUACUGCUUGGGAGGUAAUGACCGACCUAACAAGUGUCGUACGACCUAUGGUAGUGAUGUUUUGGCCCUCCCAAGUUACCAAUUUGCCGGCCGCUUUGUCCUCAAGGUAUCGGAAAUCCACCUUCUUGAGUUGCCAAACAGAGAGUAGUAGUCCUAGGUAUUUGACCGGAAAAGAGGCACGUGCUGCCGGCAUGCUCUGAAGAAUUUGCUCAAGGUCAAGGUGAUUGCAACGAAUAGGCACAACCGAGCUUUUUUGGAAGUUGGAACAAAGGCCUGUGACGUCCCCAAAGCCUCUCAGGAUAGAGGCAAGAUUGUCGAUGUCCCGCUUGAUGGGGGCCACAAAGACCGCCGCAUCAUCCGCAUAGAGGGAGGUGCGCACCAUGGCACCCCGACCACAGAUCUUAUGUAAGAGCCCUUUUCCCGUCGCCAAGUCUAGGAUCUUAUGCAAGGGGUCAAUUGCCAGGACAAAGAGGAGUGGAGAGAUGGGGUCCCCCUACCUGAAUCCACGGCCAUGCUUGACAGGAGGGCCGGGUAGCCCGUUUAGCAUUAUCCGAGAUGAAGAAGAGGAUAGAAGCGCAACAAUCCAAGCUCGAAAUUUUGGAGGGAAGCCCAACCGUUGGAGCAGCUCAAGAAUGUAUCCCCACUUGACUGAGUCGAAAGCCUUUUUUAUAUCAAGAUUGAAAAGGAGUGCGGGGGUCUUGCAUUUGUGUAGACGCCGGGCGAAAUUCCAAACAUACAUGAAGUUGUCGUGGAUACUUCUCCUUUUAAUGAAAGCACUCUGGGCAUUGGAAACGAGGUCAUCCAUGUGGGGCGCAAGGCGUAGCGAAAGAACCAUGGCAAUGAUUUUAGCGAUGGCAUGUAUGAGGCUAAUGGGCCCAUAAUCAGAGAUGCCUUCCGCGCCAUCCUUCUUAGGCAGCAGAACAACAUUGGCAGAGUUUAGCCACUGCAGGUUGGAGGUGUGUAAGCAAUCGAAGCAUUGAAUGACCCCCAUGAUCGUAUGUUUGAUGAUUCCCCAACACUUCUUGAAGAAGAUCCCCGUGAAACCAUCCGGUCCCGGCGCCUUGUUACUAGGCAUCUCUUUUAUAGCCUCCCAAACCUCCUCCUCGGUGAUGGCGGCGUCGAGGUCUUGCAAGGCAUGGGCCUCAAUGCCCAGUUACUCCCAAUUGAAAUCCUUAUUGCUCGUACUUCCCCGGCCCAUGACCUCGGAGAAGUGAUCAUGGAUGAUCUUCUCUUUUUCCUUGUGGUCGGUCACCCAACCAUGAGCAUGCUUUAGCCGGUGAAUAUGGUUUUUUCAACUACGGGCAUUGAUGCGACGGUGGAAGAAUUUGGUGUUGGCAUCACCCUCCCUUAGAUUUGCCAAUCUAGCACAUUGGCUCUUCCUAGCCCGCUCAAGAACCGCCAAACUAACCACUCUUCGCUUAAGUCUAGCACUGAAGGAAAUAUGCCCUAGAGGCAAUAAUAAAGUAUUAUUUAUUUCCUUGUAUCAUGAUAAAUGUUUAUUAUUCAUGCUAGAAUUGUAUUAACCAGAAACAUAAUACAUGUGUGAAUAUAUAGACAAACAGAGUGUCACUAGUAUGCCUCUACUUGACUAGCUCGUUAAUCAAAGAUGGUUAUGUUUCCUAGCCAUAGACAUAAGUUGUCAUUUGAUUAACGAGAUCACCUCAUUAGGAGAAUGACGUGAUUGACUUGACCCAUUCCGUUAGCUUAGCACUCGAUCGUUUAGUAUGUUGCUAUUGCUUUCUUCAUGACUUAUACAUGUUCCUAUGACUAUGAGAUUAUGCAACUCCCGUUUACCGGAGGAACACUUUGUGUGCUACCAAACGUCACAACGUAAAUGGGUGAUUAUAAAGGUGCUCUACAGGUGUCUCCAAAGGUACUUGUUGGGUUGGCGUAUUUCGAGAUUAGGAUUUGUCACUUCAAUUGUCGGAGAGGUAUCUCUGGGCCCACUCGGUAAUGCACAUCACUAUAAGCCUUGCAAGCAUUGUGACUAAUGAGUUAGUUGCGGGAUGAUGCAUUACGGAACGAGUAAAGAGACUUGCCGGUAACGAGAUUGAACUAGGUAUCGAGAUACCGACGAUCAAAUCUCGGGCAAGUAACAUACCGGUGACAAAGGGAACAACGUAUGUUGUUAUGCGGUCUGACCGAUAAAGAUCUUCGUAGAAUAUGUGGGAGCCAAUAUGGGCAUCCAGGUCCCGCUAUUGGUUAUUGACCGGAGACGUGUCUCGGUCAUGUCUACAUAGUUCUCGAACCCGUAGGAUCCGCACGCUUAACGUACGAUGACAGUUUUAUUGAGUUUUGAUGUACCGAAGGAGUUCGGAGUCCCGGAUGAGAUCGGGGAUAUGACGAGGAGUCUCUAAAUGGUCGAGACGUAAAAAUCGAUAUAUUGGACGACUAUAUUCGGACUUCGGAAAGGUUCCGAGUGAUUCGGGUAUUUUUCGGAGUACCGGAGAGUUACGGGAAUUCGUAUUGGGCCUUAAUGGGCCAUACGGGAAAGGAGAGAAAGGCCUCAAAAGGUGGCCGCACCCCUCCCCAUGGUCUGGUCCGAAUUGGACUAGGGAAGGGGGGCGCACCCUUCCUUCUUUUUCCUUCCCCCUUCCCUUCUCCUACUCCCACAAGGAAAGGAGGAGUCCUACUCCCGGUGGGAGUAGGACUCCCCCCUAUGGCGCGCCUCUCCCCUUGGCCUGCUGCCUCCCCCUUGCUCCUUUAUAUACGGGGGCAGGGGGCACCCAGAGACACAACAAUUGAUCCUUGAGAUCUCUUAGCCGUGUGCGGUGCCCCCCUCCACCAUAUUACACCUCGAUAAUACCGUUGCGGAGCUUAGGCGAAGCCCUGCGUCGGUGGAACAUCAUCAUCGUCACCACGCCGUCGUGCUGACGAAACUCUCCCUCAACACUUGGCUGGAUCGGAGUUCGAGGGACAUCAUCGAGCUGAACGUGUGUAGAACUCAGAGGUGCCGUACGUUCGGUACUUGAUCGGUCGGAUCGUGAAGACAUACGACUACAUCAACCGCGUUGUGAUAACGCUUCCGCUGUCGGUCUACGAGGGUACGUGGACAACACUCUCCCCUCUCGUUGCUAUGCAUCACCAUGAUCUUGCGUGUGCGUAGGAAUUUUUUUGAAAUUACUGCGUUCCCCAACAAGCACGCAGGUCCCUCUCCUCAGGUGAGAGGGCUCGUUCCUCUUGCGCCAACUCCAACUGAAGGAUCACCGAGAGGGCCGCAUGGAGUUGGAUCUUGGCCUUGGAGAAAAACUUCUUGCUCCAUUCAGUGAGCCGGGUCGCGGUUUUCUUGAGCCUAUGAUGAAGAAUUUGGAAAGGCUCUGUGUGGUUUACAUGCUCAUUCCACGCCUUUAGGACGACGUCAUAGAAUCCAGGCAAAGAUACCCAAUUUUUUUCAAAUUUGAAGGACCGUGGACGUUUAGGUCCCUUGUCAUCGGCAAGCAGGAGGGGGCAAUGGUCGGAGAGGGAAGAUGAAAGGGCAUGUAACACAUGUGUGUUGAAAGUAGUGUCCCACUCGGCGUUGCAAAAGAAAGAGUCAAGCUUGCAAAGGGUGGGGUUUUCCCGCUCAUUGCUCCAAGUGAAGCGUCUAUGUUGGAGAUGAAUUUCUUUGAGCUCACAAGAUUGAAGGGUUGCGCGGAAACGGUUUAUCCUACUCCAGUUUACAUUUCUCUUGUUCUUGUCUCGUGCUCGGUAGAUUUGAUUAAAAUCCCCAAGGGCCAACCAAGCAACACCUGACAAAGGCUUGUGGGCGACAAUCUCGGUAAAGAAAGAAUCUUUACUAGCGUGGUUAGUGGGACUGUAGGCAGAUGUUAUCUUGAAGUAUACAUAUGUCGCUCGAAUGCGAACCUUGCCGGAGAGGCAAAAGGCCGACGAAGAAAUGUCGGAGACCUCGACGACGUUGUCAUCCCAUAGUAAUAAGAUCCCACCACUAGUUCCCGUCGCCGGUCGCUGCGCAAAACUUUUCAGCCGGUUGCCACCAAGGAAGGCAGCCACAUAUUUGUCCACGCUAACUAGCUUCGUCUCUUGUAAACACACAAUUUGGCACGAGGAGUCUGCAAUCGUAGCGCUGACGGUUGCCCUCCGGGCUGGGCAGUUUAGACCACGUAUGUUCCAACUCAGGGUGUUUAUAGGUUGUGGAGUCAUGGGGCACACGAACAUUCACUUUGAACAGUCCAGGAGGGAGGACAGCAACGAACGGACAGCAGAAUAACAACAGUAUUGAACUGAGCUACAAACCCCAUUGGAGCACAUGAGUACUGGACGUAGCUUAACAUAUGGACGUAGCCUAACACAUAUGGCCGAGCCAAGUGGCACUAGACUUACACAUAGAUGGAACUAAGGCAGCCAACAGGCUGACACACAUUACAGUGCAGAGGAGAGCUAACAUAAUCAACUAAAACAGCCCUGAACGACGAACUGGACGAGCAAGUCGCCGCCUACUGUGCUCACAGGCUCGGCUGAGCCGCACUAGCAUCCUGGGACAUCUCCAAAGCUCCCUCACCACCGUGAUCAAUCAGUGCAUCCUCGACAUCGUUGACAGCCUUGUCGUCAAGGUGAAAAAAAAUCCCUCAUGGCCAUAAUCAGCUCAGGAGCAAGUUGCUCUUUGAACUUGGCAGUGAAAUCAGCAAGUGUAGCCUCUGCUACGUCUUCUCCAUCUCUGACUAUCCCAAAGGACCGGCAAACUAGCUUCUUCGCCGCCUUGGCUGUUGGGAGCACCAUAUGGGUGCGUUUGAUUUUCUGCAGGGAGAGCCCCCCCUUGUUGGAGAUCUUGACGCCGGCAAGGGUCUUCCGGCGAGCCGUGGGAGGCCUGGGAGGGGGGGACUCGGGCGGAGCAAGGAUGCCCAUCUGGCGCUCCUCAAAAAUAGGCGCCAGAACAUCUUCAAGGCAAGGUAAAGCACGGCUUCGCACGGGGGAGGGCGUGCGCUGCAGAGGGCCGUCGCAGAUCAGGGGCGGUGUAGGCGAUGUCUGGAAACCCGGCGGCCUGGAGGGCGACCGCAGGGGCAGCAUGAGAGACGCGGGCGCACAAAGCUCCAGCAAGGCUUGACUGGGCGCGGGGCUCGCCAGGGGGGAAGUCGAGGCCACAGCGCGCUUGGAGAUCAGGCUUGGCGGCAGCACGGUUGUCGAAGACAGCGGAGGGGACACCGGGGGGGUCCGCUCCUUGAGAGCGGCGCCUGGAGGAGCGUGGAGAGGUCUGACGCGUCGGGCUGCGCCCCCGAGCGUCAACGCCGGCAGGGUCGGGGACGACCGACAGCUCAAGGGCGCGAACAGGCUCAGCACUGCCUGAGCCAGAGCCCCUAAGCACCAAGCCAGGACACACAGGGGGGGGGCGGCCGCAACAGCCUGGCCGCACACACGUUUGGAGCUACGAUACGAUGAACAACCCGUGCCUGGUCGAUCAGCCUGAUAUGCACAGACACAGUAACAAAAGUACCUCCAUGUCCUGCGGUAGAUGUCUCGAUCACGCAACGAGCAAAGAUUAGAGCUUGUCGAUCAUCACUCGACGUGGGCAGGGUAGUACGAUGUCCACACUCCACUCCACGGUGGCAUGAAGAAAUCUCUGCUAAUUCCAGUUUGCCUUGCCGGUGUGACCAACCGUUGCUCCCGAUCGACCGGUCUAAUAACGCUGAGUGCUACUACUAUGUUCGCACUCCACAGUCCAGUCGCAUUUUGAAGUUUCUCCUUUUAGCGUGUUGGUGUGACCGUCCGUUGCACACCAUCGACGCAUGCGUCUCAUAUUCAGUACGCAUACACAAGGCGUAACUAAUUGUGCGCGCACGGGCGGGCGUAUCCUUACUCGCAAAGUUUCCUUCCCUUGGUUACGCGCGCGUAUGCAGGACGACGGAAGCUUCUGGAUCGGCAGGAAACGAGCCAAACCGAAGACCAAGACAAAACUGACCGCGUUCAAUUGUGAGGUGCGACACGCGGUUGAGUACACGACGUGCACAUUCCAAGAGAGGAAUGAAUGAUGUUGGCACGAGACCGCACAUACGCACCGGGCCAUGCUGUUCGUGGUCGGCAUGGGCACGUCCAGGUCAAACCCAACUCCGGCCAUCUGCACACAGACAGAGCUACGAACGCGACCCUUGAUUGCUUCCUGCCGCGUCAGCACCCACUAGUACUCAUCGUCGACCUACCGACCGACCGUAGCAGCACCACAGCACGCGCUCGUAGCCCUGUCUGGCGGUUCAUUCGUCGUGUUUAGAGACAGAAGUAAAGAACAAGGACAAGAAUGAAUCGCUGUUCUCUUCAUUGAUUGAAAACUGCUCUUUAUACAAAGGGAAGAGACGCUUGUAGAAAGACGUCUGUUCGGAGGAGAUGCCUGUCCGGCAGUGAACCGACGCGGAGGAUAAGCAGGGAUUAUCCCUUCAUUAACACUCGUUAAUUAAUCCUAACACGUCCGUGCUGUGCUCUGUCCAGGGUCUGCACCCACCACACGCACGUGCUCGUCACAGAGUACAGUAUCACAGGAUCCCCAUCGCGGUUUCCAUUCCCAGUAUUCCAUUCUACCGUCUCGUCGAAUAUUUCCGAGCUAUACGGGCUCAAGAAAUAGCAGCACGUACAGGUACAGGGGCAUCCGCACCACACACAGUAGUAUGCCAUGUUCUUCCACAUCUUUUACCAUUAUAAAAGAAAUCAUUUGAUUCGAUCGAUCACGAGCCCCUCAUGCUGAAUAGCAAAGCGACUAAACAGGCAACGAAUCAACAAACUCCAACUUAUUACACAUCAAAGUCGCACAACAGUUUAACCGCAGAACGGUGAUAAAACUCAGUCUGAUAGAUGGAUCAUCAAAGAAGAAUCAACGCAUCCAGAAGCAAGGCCGGCAUAGGAGCUGUGCACCAUGCUAGGGACGUAGCCAGUCGAGGAAGUUCAGCCGGUGAUCCUCGCAACCCCCGGACGAGGACGCCACUCCUGCGAUGCACUGUAUGCUUCACCCGCCACCUGCUCCAUGACUUUUGCUCCCAGUGUCAACACCCUUUGAUUUCCCUCCUUUAUCUGCAAAAUUGCCCAAUUUGUUAUCCACCGAAAUAUCAACCCGAUAAGAGUAAUAGGGUCAUUUAUCAGCUUUCUUUCAAAAAUAAUAUCAUUUCUGCUUCUCCAAAUUGUCCCAAAGAUAGCAGUAACACCAACUAACAUCUGUUUUUCAGUUUCAUGCUGUAAACUUUUAAUCUAGCUACUAAAGUACAAACUCAGAUUAUAAGGAAUAUAUCUCAAAUGAAAAGCACAUUUAAACAAACCCCACUCUAGUUUAGCCACCAAACUCCUGAAGAAUAACUACUCAGAGCUCUCAUCAUUUUUUGGGGACCGAUCUAGCCUCUUUUCAGCAAAUUGUCUCUAGUUAAUUUGCUAUUUUGACCAUCGACCAAAGAAAGACUUUCAUUUUUGGCGGAAUUAUGUUUCCACAAAAAGGUCAAAACCCAUAAUAUUGAAUAGCUUAUAGUUUUGAUAAUAAAAAGACUGUCUACAGUUAACAUACACUUAAUAGAAUCCUUGUUGUUAGGCACAACAAUUUCCUCACAUCCUUUUUUGAUGCUAUCCACAAGAGCUAGAGUAUUACCCCACGUAGUUCUCAUAAAUCUAAAAUCCUCUCGGCCUUUCUGCAAGGUAUCAACUACAAUAAUAUUGUGGUCAAAACUAAAAUUGUGCAGUCUAGCACAAGAGAUUUUAAGAGGUUUAUCAUCCACCUACUUGUCUUCCCAAAAUCAAGUAUUUUUGCCAUUACCACUUUUUUUGGCAAGGCUGGUAGAACAUGUCUUUUAUUUUCAUGAGACUCAACUAAAAAUGGGAGUCCCCUGUCUUAGGUUUAGUUGCAGAAAAGCAACCAUUCCGAACAUGUUUGUUCGGGAGAAUUGUUUGCUAGAGACCAUUUAAAGUCUCUAACUUCCAUAACCAUUUAGCCAGGAUAGCAUUGUUCAUGAGGUCAAGAUAUCUGAUCCCUAGCCCCCCUUGGUCUUUAGGUCUAAAGCCACUGGCCCAGUUUACUAUGAGAUAUUUUUUUUCUUGUUGUCGUCUCAUGCUAAACAAACCUAGCCAUGAAGAAAUUGGCUCUUUUCUUCACACUAAUCGGGAUGGGGUAGAAAGACAUUAUAUAAGUUGAAUCCUCCCCUUAUGUUGUUAAAGAACCAAGGACAAAUCAUCCCAGCAACAAUAUUAUAAUCAAAAUCAGUGGCAUGAUUGACUUUCGUUGAAAAAUCCAGCGAAACUAUUUGAAGCAUGGAACUCACAUCUUUGAACCCUAUUUCUCGCAGCUACAAAUCCCCACAUCAUUACUUUGUACAGGAGAAUGUAAAAAUUUGUAGAGACCAACAAUCUUACUGGAAAAUGAAGUAGCAAAACGGUCGCACGAGUCCUCAUUGUCGGACUCCUCCCUGGCCAACAGCCAGAAUCGACUGCCAGCCAGGAAGACGCCUACUCAUCGGCGGCGGCGCUCUAUGUAAGUGCCUGGAUCCGUGCAGAACGCCGGGGAAACCGAGGGAAGCGACGAGGCAGCUGUGAAACCACCUGGGCAACAUUUUUCCUUGGCAACACCUGCACGUCGUUGUCAGUCAUGACGGGCAUCGCCGGACUGCGUGGCGGUGACCUCCCCGUCAUGGUCACCACCCGAACAUUAUCCCAGAUUGAAUGGGACGAAACCCAAUCGUACGGCAAGUAGCGGUACCACCGCUCGCGCCGCAUCGGAUCGCCGGACUCCGCCUCCAUCACCGCCCAAUAGAGGAUCUUGAGUGGGGUCUUCCCUGAGAUCCGACUCUGCUCCUCCUCCUAGGCCGGUUCAACCACCCGACGUGAUACUUGACACAUCUCCUCUGCAUCCAUGUAUCGCCAGUAGAUCUCGCGGAGCCUCGCCAUCUUCGCCUCAUCGCCGCCCGCGAUCGCCGCCGCAAUGGGACCCCCCCGCACCCAAGGCCCUUCCAACCCCAUCGCCGCCAUGUUCUCUUCCCACGCCCAAGGCCCUUCCAGCUCUCAGAUCUGACAUGGAAGUCAGAGGGGGAGAAGGAGGGAUUGCCAAGACCCUUGUGCUUUCGCGCGUGGAUUUAAUGUCUGCCAAACUCGUAGGUAUUCAUUGCCCGCCAUUGAUUUUUUUGGAAAGUAAUAUGUCAUAUAUCUCGAGAAAUCAUUUAUUAGGUGCCAUCCUAUCAAGAUCCCACUGCCCAAGUUGUACUUCACUAAAACCAAAAUUGGCAUCUGUCCAUCCGCGGAACGAGCACAAACCAACAAGAUUACACCAAACGUGUUGCACCAGUUUCAGUAUCCAGAGACGCUACCGUGGGAAAGCGAAGAAACUGUUGGUAAAAUGAGGCACAAACAGUGUGGUAAACAGUGUCCGGUCGAGUCUGACACACGCCGCACCACAAACGCACCAUCCAGCACCCGACAUGCGCCUCAACCGCCGAACGGGUCAGACGAACAGUCAUCUUACAAGCCGACCCCACUCGCAGCGACACCCGACACCCCCUUAUUAACCGCACACACAGCCAGACCAAUCCAAUCAUCGUCAACCUCGCCGCGUACCUCCCUCCGCUACGCGUCAUAAAAUGUUAAAACCCCAUCCCUCCUAGACAUUUCCCCGGUCCAUCCACCGGUGCCGCGACGCUGAGCCCCGACCAAGCAUGGAGUUGUUUGCGCACGCCGAGGGAAUUCUCCUUCCAGCUUGUGCCAAUAUGACAGCGACUAACCUCUUUUCGUCGAGCUUUUCACUGCCCAAGUUUUCUAUUUAUAACCUGAAUGGUGAGUAGGCUUUCCGCCACCAUGACUAUAACCAUGCUUAUAUGAACCGCAAUUUUAUUUUUUUAGAAAAAGGAGGAUUACCCCAGCCUCUGCAUCAGAGUGAUACAUGCAGCCCCGACUAUAUGAACCGCAAUGGCGAAUGUAGACAAGUAUGGAUGGAUCAAUGGAUGGAUGCUCAGGUGUUUAAUAUUUCUUCUGAGCAAUUUACUGUGUUGUGUGAUAUCGUGUUUCAGCCAUGGCAUGUUUUUUUCCUGAACAUGCUUUUCGCGUUGAGGUGUUGCCAUCAUUCAUGUCGCUUGUGGGUUUGGACUUGGAUGCUCCUGUAAAACGGUGGCGGUUUGCCUAGCCACGUUAUGCUUUCCUUCCCUUUUGUGUGAAAAGUUUCAUGUAUUUCCUUACGUAUAGAAAGAUUCCCUCAUUCGUGUAUAUACUUUUCUGCUUGGUCUGCGCGCACACUUGAGCAAGUUCCAGCUAUGGAAAGGAUAGCAAUGAUUGAUGAGGAGAUGAGGUAGUUGUACUUGUACAUGGAUAUAGUUUGCCAACACUGUUUUAAUCUGAAUUUGGCCCUCUUCAUGGGGUUGGUGGCAUUCGACGCGGAUGUUUUGUCCAUGAUUGGACUGGACAUGUUGUGUGCUACUAACCGUCCUUAGCAUUGAGCCCCAUAUAUACUCCUGAUGAUAAUGAAAGACAAGUUGCCAAUAGUUAGCUAGUACUUAUGAUUUAAGUGUGUUGUGACGUUAAUUAUAGAGGCAGGACUUUUUCCUGGAAUGUGCGAUGCAGUGCAAUUCCUUGGAUUCCAAUUGUUUGGUGGAACCACGAUUUCAGUCUUGACGUGUCCCUCCUCCCGUCCCUCCCGUCCCUCCCCCGUGCGGCGGCGCCGCCCCGCACCGGGGAGCCUCCGCCCUCCUCCUAUAGCCUCGCCCCUCCUCCGCUCCCCUCCGCCGCCGUCGCUAGGGGCGUCACAGGGCAAAGCCCUUGUGGUGUGGCGGCAGCGGCGGUUUCUUCUCGGAUCUCGAUCUGGUUGGGAGGCGGCGCUCCUCUCUGGCCAGAUCGGCGGCGGUGGCGCAGAUUGGCGGCGACAUGGAAGUGGUGCGGCAGCGGCGGGGGAGGACGGCACCAGCAACGACGGAUCUGGCCUUGACUCAUGUCGGGCUAAUUCGUUGUGCUACCGAUCUCAAUCGCCGUCGGCGGGGCACUGUUCCUGGACUUGAUCUGCAACACGAGGAUGUCUGGGCGCCGGCCCUAGGCUUGGUGGUGGUGGCCUUCUUCUUCGUCGGAGUUGGUCGGCCGGCUGGCUGUGCUCGCAUGGUCAUGCAGUGACCGGCGGCUUGGCCGGUCGGCGGCGGCGGAACUUGGCCGGUGGCAGCGGCAAAGUUCUGUCUGGAUCCCGGGGCGGCGGCCCUAGAGGGUGGAGGCCGGUGAAGCUCGGGCUUCCCGCGGCGGCAUGGCGUGGUGCAGUCCCUGUCCAAGGCGGAUCUGCGACGGCGAUCUGCUAUGGAUUGGUUCGGAUCAGAGACGGCGACGAGCGCGCGGGAUCUUUCUCGGCGGCUUUCGCGGCUUGGCGAGGCGGGGUGGGAGCCCUCCUCCUAGGCUCCAGUGGUGGCACACUCAGGCAGUGGCCGGUGCGCCAGGGGUCCCACGGUGGCACUAUUGCUGCGGUUGGUCGCCAGAUCUAGGCGGCUGGAUCUGGGGCUUUGAAAGCGGUCGAGACGGUGCACAUGUUAUUGGGUGGAUUUCGUGGGACGGAUCCUGGUGAAAACCUGAUCUUCGGUCGAUGACCGGAGACGGUGAUGACGAUGCCCUUAUCAUCGUUUCCUUCAUGAAGGCAUCAUUGAGGUGAAGCUCCCAACUCCACUCAAUACCUCCGGGGGAAACCCUAGAUCAGCUAAUCGGAUGUUGGCGGCAAUCAUGUGUUGUAACCCCCUUGGGGGCGGCAUUCUUGGAGGUGCACUCGGCUUCGUGGGACUAGCGGACGGCUUCUUUGGUGGAGCGGUGCUUCAUCCAUACAUUGAUGGCGACGGAUCUGGACGCCGUGGUGCAGUGCAGAUGCGGAGUUCGAUGUGGGAGGAUGGACUCGCGCAGGAGGAUGACGCUGUCUGGCGUCGUGGUGGCGUCGAUGGCAGAGAGACCUGGCACGGUAGAUACAACAGUACAGCUCUGAAGAUGGACUCGUGGCAGGUGGCUGCGGCGGCCCCAUACCCGGCAGGCGUCCUGGUUGAGGAGUGCGCCGGACUGGUAGGUGCCCCAUAUCAGGCAGGCGUCCUGGUUGGGACCUCAGGUCUUAGAUGUUUAGGUUUGGCUGCGAUGUCUGUUUGGUAUUAGACCCAGACUAUCAGCGUCCCUUCAUCAACUGGAUAGGUGUAGCGACAGUUGUUGCUUAGACGGUGGCUUCAGUCUUACUGUUGUAUGACUUUGUAAGAUCUUAUGAGAAUAAUUAAUAAAGUGACCGCAUGCAUCGUCCAGAUGCAGAAGCCGGGGAUCGUCCUCCUUCUCUAAAAAAAGAGGUAUUGACAGGUCUUGACGUACGUAUAUGGCUAGUGACGCAUUGCCCGGCCAAACUCUCAAUGUAAUACACGUAGGCUAGAAACUCCCCAUUCCGAAAAGGAAGAGGAAGAAGUUUGAUUUCAGGGCCCACAGAUGCAACAUCGUUCAUGUGGAAAAUUGAUCUUUCUCAACAACAACACAAACAAAAAAUGGAAAGGUUAUCCUGGCACGCACGGGUCUCUCUCGGUGACAAGCGCGUGCACCUGCUCUAUUUAGGCGACGGUGAAAGCCGCCCCAGCAAAGCAAAGGAAGUUAAGUGAUCGUGCAUCCAUCAUUCGACAUGCACCAUAACUGGCGUUUUCACACCUAAAAUAGCAUCCUUUGUCAGUGUUGCAUUCCUCUCAUGCAUUCUUAACCGUGAAACUUAUUGUAGGAACAAAUAAUUAAACAAACAAGUAAAUGGAUAGUGAAAGUUUGUUGUCUUUCAAGUACCUCGGCAGUCAGCUAACAGCAGGAGUGACCACUUGUAUCAAUCAGGUGGCGGAAGAUACGUACUCCCCUCCCGGAGAAAGACCGGGAUAGCUAGGCUAGCGAGCCGACCUAGAACGACGCACUGAAUCUCACGCGAACGCCAAGCUUUCUAGAAAUGGGCAAUGAAAAAAUCUGACACGGAUCCUGCAUGCAUGCGACGAAGCCGGCCGGAUUCGGCACGAGUGAGUGGACCGAUCGAUCGGAGAGUGUCCAGGUCAGACCGAACCUCUCGACAAGACGCGGGGGCGAAGCCGAAUGCCCUUGACAGACGCGUCCGUACGUGAGCCAGCAGCGGCAGUCGGCACAUACUACGUUUGGAGCUACGAUACGAUGAACAACCCGCGCCUGGUCGAUCAGCCUGGUCUGCACUGCACAGACAGUGACCGUGUGCUUGCACCACCAUGUCCUGUGGUAGGUGUCUCGAUCAUGCAACGAGCAACGGUUAGCGCUUGUCGAUCAUCACUCGACCUGAGCAGGAGUAGGAUGUUCACACUCCAAUCCACGGUCGCCUGAAGAAAUCUAUGCUAAUUCCAGUUUGCCUUGCCUUGUCGGUGUGACCAACCGUUGCUCUCCAUCAACCGCUCUACGCUGAGUACUAGUACUACGUUCACACUCCACAGUCCAGUCGAAUUUCGUAGUUUCUCCUUUUAGCGUGUUGGUACGUGUGACCGACCGUUGCACACCAUGGACGGACGCGUCUCAUAUGUACUCCCUUCGUUCGGAAUUACUCGUCCAAGAAAUAAAUGUAUCUAGAUGUAUUGUAGUUGUAUAUACAUUCAUUUUUAUGACAAGUAAUUCCGAACGAAGGAAGUACGUGUAUACAAGGCGUAAUUAAUUAUAAGAAAACGUUUGGGGCCGGGGCACCGGCGAAACGAUUCGGCCGGUCUCCCUCUUCCUCGCGCAGCGCACGUACAGAAGGGCACCAGAGCCGGCAGGCACCACGCGCGGGCCAGGCGACCAGCGGGCUCCUUCGAUCGCUGUCGCCAGAGAAGAGCGCCUUGUCGUCCGCGUGCGGCCGCCCCUCACCGGAUGUCGUUCGCGUGCGGCCGCCCCUCGCCGAAUCUCGUUCGCAUGCGGCCGCCCCUCGCCGGAUCUCGUCCGCCUGCGGCCGCCCCUCGCCGGACUACUACCCCUCUGCCUCUUCCUAGAAUCCGCCCCUCUCCCUGGAAUCCGCCCCGGCCGCCCCUCGCCAGACCUUGCAGCGCUCGAGCCUCCCCAGCCAUGGCAAACUACACCCCACGGUGAUUUUUUGUUAGAACCGGUUGUAGCAAAUUCAAUCGCCGGUGGUAGCAAAAAUCUACUACUGUUGCAGCAAAACGGCGUCAUCGUCAUCGCGAGCAAACACUAGACAUCGCGCUUUUUUGUUACAUGCUACAGCCUGUAUCACAUUUUGCUACAACCGGCACACCACUCAGCUACAACCGGCGCCGAGUUUUGCUACAUCGGAUAUACAGAAAGUUGCAAGCGUUCAGUGCCAUCGAGGAAAGCUACAACUGUCUACAGAAAAUGCUACAACCUUCGAUGAAAAAAGCUUCAACCAAACGAGAGAUGAAUUUUUCACCCGGACGCUGCUCAAAACGAAAAAAGUUUCAAUCGUUUACAGAAAAGCUUCCACCGUAGAGGAGAAAAGCUACAAUCGUGUCAAUUUUUUGCUACUACCGUCUGUGUGUUUUGCUACAUCCAUUCAUGCGGCCAUGGUACUUUUUUGUGACUGAGGUGUGACCGGCGACGACGAGGACGAACAUUUUUUGUUGCAACAACCUCGUUUUUUGCUACCAUUGGCGAUGUGUUUUGCUACAUCUGAUUAACAUGUUUGCUACAAUGGCGACGCUGAUGGAUUUUUUUUGUUGCAACCGUUGUCUUCAUUUGCUACGACUGACACGGGAAAAUGCUACCACGGGGCAUCUCUGUUUUUUGCUGGAACCAAUCAUCGGUGAGGCGGAGCUGCAUCCAUGGCACUCCGACGAGCAGCGGGGGCAGCGAGCGGUCGGGGCCAACCGAGUCCCGGAGCGCGGGGCGGCCCCGACGGGUGGCCGGGGCGGCGAGCGGACUUGGACGAGUUGAGUCGCGGAGCUGCAUCCAUGGCGCUCCGAUGGGCGGUCGAGGCGGUGAGCGGUCAGCUCCAACCGGCGGCCGGGGCGGCGAGCGGGCGGGGCGAGCUGAGUGCCGGAGUGUGGGGCGGCCGGCGAAGACGGACGGCGAGACGGGGUUCCUUUCCCGUCCGCGCUCGCGAGAGGAAGACGACGCCCUGGUUGGAUAAGGAUCCAACGGAUCGGAAUGGGCCGAUCUGACGGCUAGGGCUGGACCGGCCGAAGCGUCCGGCCGGUCCGCCGGCGCCUAGCAUCGCCCUUAAUUAUAUGCGCACGGGCGGGCGUAUCCUUCCUCGCAAAGUUUUCUUCCCUUGGUUACGCGCGCGUAUGCGUACACAGGAGACGGAAUAGCUUCUGGAUCGGGCAGGAAACGAGCCAAACCGGAGACCAAUACGAAACUGACGUUCCAUUGUAGGGUGCGAGUGUGCGACACACGGUAGAGUGCACAACGUGCGCUCACUGCGCGGCAGCCGAAUUCCAAGAGACGAAUGAAUGAUGUUGGUACGUAUGAGCCAUGUUUGUUCGUGCUCGGCAUGCGUCCACGUCCAGGUCAACCCCAACUCGAUCUGUACACUGACAGAGCUACGAACGAGACCCCUGAUUGUUGCAGUAGUACUCAUCGUUACAAUCGAAGGGCAAAAGAUCCUCAGUAUAAAGGGAUCUUGGUUGAGCCACACCCACACCCCCUGACAGAUUGCCUACUACUAUAAUUUGCCAAAUGAUCAGCCACACUAUUUGGUUCACGAAUAUUCUGAGGAAUAAACUCCCUCUCGGAACACAAAGCCUUUAUCUCCAAGCCAAGAUACGAGUCAAUUGCACAAAACUACCACAUUUGCGGCUAGGUUUGCAGAAAACCACCAAGUCGCUAAUCCGUUGCAAAAAUCACUGCUUUUUCACUAAACCUCUUGCAAAAACACUGAUCAUCCACUUUGGCUCAUCUAAGCGAGUUUAUGACAGAUGGGACCAGAUCGUCAGUGCUGGCUUGGCAAAAGAAAAGAUUCUUCCCCAAUCUCUUUACAUAGAGACCCCUCUAUGAAAAAAGAAAAACGCAAUCAAAUCCCGCCGUCUCUCCCUCUCUCUGGAUGGAAUGCACGGGGAGCCGGAGGCGGCCGCCGGGAGCUCGUCCUUGAAGCCACGACGGCGCCCUUUGCCUGUCGUCCGUCGGGAUGUUGUGGCCGCUCGGCGCCGUGGAUGGGGCCUAACCUCCAUGCGCUUCGGCUCCUGGCGCCGGCGGCUCCGCCCGUCUCCGGUGCCUCUUCCAGGCCCGCAGGAGAGCCCCGCCGCCCUCUGCGCACGCGCCAUCUAGCCUCGCGCCACUCCACUCGGGCUUCCCCGCAGCUAGCUGCCGCCAGUUCGCCGGUGCACCGGGCACCACCGCCGCCCCCUCUCCCUCUCCAACUUCGUUGUCUCUCUCCCUUCUCCAACACCGCUGCCUGCCACCGCGCCAGGGCCAGGCCGGCCGGCGACGGGACCUUCCCGUCCGUGCCCGUGCUGGGCGAGACGCCGCCCACCCUAGGGGACACCCUCCCUGCGAGUAGAGCCGACUAGUGGACGGUGCCAGAGGAAGAGCUCCACAAAUCAACGGCGGCCGGAGCUGGGCCACCAUGGCGUCAUCCUCGCCAGAGGAGGAGCCGUGGCUGCAGGCUGCAGCACCUCCCCUCGACGGAUCCCGUCGCAACUGAGCUCAACAGCGACAGAUCUGAGCGGAUGGAUGAGGCCAACAUCAGGAGGAGCAGACUGCGUUUGUUUUCAGAUUCCAGGGGUGUGUGUGUCAAUUUUUUGCCAAGUCAGCUCUGACGAUCUGGUCCCAUCUGUCAUAAACACGCUUAGACGAGCCAAAGUGGAUGAUCAGUGCUUUUUGCAAAAGGUUUAGUGAAAAAGCAGUGAUUUUUGCAACAGAUUAGCGACUUGGUGGUUUUCUGCAAACCUAGCCGCAAAUGUGGUGGUUUUGUGCAAUUGACUCCCAAGAUACCUAUAAGCAGAGCGAGAGAGAGCUUCAGUGGAGAACACUGCUAACGCCUCCGAGGAAUUGAGCUGUACAAUGACUGGAAAGUCCGUAUGUUGAAUAGCCUUACAUGAUCUCAUGUAACUUGACCUCCAGCGCCUCGUUGCAAUUAAAGAUAUAGCGAUAGGCUAAAGAUAGGACCGAACCAUCUUCUCUUCUCAGUAUCAUGCCUGCCGCAGCUGUGCCAUCUGCUGUAAAGAAGGAACCAUCAACCGACAGCGCGAUGUAGCCAGCGGGCGGCUAAGGCCAAUGUAGGCGUUGUGGAGGCGCAACACUCUCUUGGACGUGAACCAACUCACAUGCACGCAUCUUGCCUUUAACAUUUUCCUCCAAUCUAUACUUGUGAGAGUAAAUAAGAGACUUCAAAUAGCUAUCAAGGAAUUCUACUGUAGCCACCACUCGAGGCGUCUCUGGAGCUGCCAAAUGCACCAAAUCAACAUAAUCACCAUGUCCCGCAUGGUUGCUGUGCAAUUCAUUAGAACAUUCAGCAGCCAAUUAGUCCCACUGUCUACUAACAUGACAUCACGGGGCAAGGGCCAUAUAGCACGCAUGUGCUCCCAAAUAUUCCGAGCAUGGCCGCAGGAAACCAAUGCAUGGAAUGAACUUUAAUCUUUGAUACCGCACAUGUAUAUGUUUGAUAACCUAUAAAUAUAGGGGAUUAAUUGUGUACUUUUUCGAUAAGUAAAAGUGUCGAACCCAACGAGGAGCUAAAGAUAGAAUUAAUAUUCUCUCAAGUUCUAUCGAUCACCAAUACAACUCUACGCACACUUAAUGUUUGCUUUACCUAAAAUAAGAAUAAAACUACUUUGUAGGUGUAAUAGGAUAAGUUUGCAAGAAUAAAACUAGAAGUUCUUAGCGGGAUAAUAAAAGUUAGUCUGUUUUAGUAGAGAGUAUUUUGUAACACAAAGAUAAAGAUUGUCCAUAGGCAAUUGAAUAUAACACAAUAUAUACUUAUCGUAUGGAAUGAGGGAGAGACAUGAGCUAACAUACUUUCUCUACUUGGAUCACAUGUUCUUAUGAUUGUAACUCUAGCAUCCGCAACUACUAAAGAACAUUAAGGUAAAAGUCAACCAUAGCAUUAAGUAACAAGUCCUCUUUACUCUCAUUCCCCCUACUCAUGUUUAAGCUUCUGUCACUCGCGCAACCCACUAUAAGCGAAUUAUGAACGUAUUACAACGCCCUACAACGGUAAUCCCACACGCUUGCGCGACACGGAGGGCAUCAUAGGACAGCACCAUAUUAACAUACAACUCACAUCAAUCACACCAUACCACAAUUAACCCGUAGAACAAAACAAAUCUACUCAAACAUUAUAUGAUGCCACACGUCAUUGGACAAUGAUAACCCACAAGUAUAGGGGAUCACAACAGUUUUCGAGGGCAGAGUAUUUUGCUGGGGAACGUAGUAAUUUCAAAAAAAUUCCUACGCACCCGCAGGAUCAUGGUGAUGCAUAGCAACGAGAGGGGAGAGUGUGUCCACGUACCCUCGUAGACCGAAAGCGGAAGCGUUAGCACAACGUGGUUGAUGUAGUCGUACGUCUUCACGAUCCGACCGAUCCAAGUACUGAACGCACGGCACCUCCGAGUUCAGCACAUGUUCAACUCGAUGAUGUCCAGCGAGCUCCGAUCCAGCAGAGCUUCGCCGGAGAGUUUCGUCAGCACGACGGCGUGGUGACGGUGAUGAUGAUGCUACCGACGCAGGGCUUCGCCUAAGCACCGCUACGAUAUGAUCGAGGUGGAUUAUGGUGGAGGGGGGCACCGCACACGGCUUGGAACAAUCAACUUGUGUGUCUUUGGGUGCCCCCUGCCCCCGUAUAUAAAGGAGCAAGGGGGAGGCCGGCCAGCCUUGGUGCGCCCCAAGGAGAGGAGGAAUCCUCUUGCUACUAGAAAGAGGAUUCAUCCUUUCCUAGUCCAACUAGGAAGAGGGAAGGGGGAAGGAAAGAGAGGGAGAGGGAGAGGGAAAGAGGGGCCGCGCCCCCCUCCCCUAGUCCAAUUCGGACUCCUCAUGGGAGGGGGCGUGCAACCUCCUGGGCUGCUGCCCUCUCUCUCCCCUCAGGCCCACUAAGGCCCAAUACUUCCCCGGGGGGUUCCGAUAACCCCUUCGGCGCUCCGGUUUUCUCCGAAAUCACCCGGAACACUUCCGGUGUCCGAAUAUAGUCCCAAUAUAUCGAUCUUUACGUCUCGACCAUUUUGAGACUCCUCGUCAUGUCCGUGAUCAUAUCCGGGACUCCGAACUACCUUAGGUACAUCAAAACACAAAAACUCAUAAUACCGAUCGUCACCGAACUUUAAGCGUGCGGACCCUACGGGUUCGAGAACUAUGUAGACAUGACCGAGACACGUCUCCGGUCAAUAACCAAUAGCGGAACCUGGAUGCUCAUAUUGGCUUCACUAGUGGCUUCUCUCAAGAUAGCAUAAGUAUUACGGUGGGUGAACAAAUUACUGUCGAGCAAUUGAUAGAAUUGAGCAUAGUUAUGAGAAUAUCUAGGUAUGAUCAUGUAUAUAGGCAUCACGUCCGCGACAAGUAGACCGAAAUGAUUCUGCAUCUACUACUAUUACUCCACACACCGACCGCUAUCCAACAUGCAUCUAGAGUAUUAAGUUCAUAAGAACAUAGUAACGCUUUAAGCAAUAUGACAUGAUGUAGAGGGAUAAACUCAUGCAAUAUGAUAUAAACCCCAUCUUUUUAUCCUCGAUGGCAACAAUACAAUACGUGCCUUGCUGCCCCUACUGUCACUGGGAAAGGACACCGCAAGAUUGAACCCAAAGCUAAGCACUUCUCCCAUUGCAAGAAAGAUCAAUCUAGUAGGCCAAGCCAAACUGAUAAUUCGAAGAGACUUGCAAAGAUAACCAAUCAUACAUAAAAGAAUUCAGAGGAGAUUCAAAUAUUGUUCAUAGAUAAUCUUGAUCAUAAACCAUCGGUCUCGACAAACACACCGCAAAAAUAAGAUUACUUUUCUUGUUGUAGUAGUAAUAAUUAAAAAGAAAACCCAAAAAGAUUUCCCGUUCUUCUUUUGCUUGUUGGGAGCUUUCCCGUGUAAAUAGUUUUUAUUUCUGUCCUUUUCUUUGGGGGUCGAUAGGAGAAGACCAUAAUUAAAUUGUUGAAGUGGCUCUUAUAUGCAUUAUUGUUGAUUUAACCAAGAGCCCAUAUUGCCUUGUCUUCUCCUGUUUAUUGAAUGCUCGCAGAUUCCAGCUUAGUCCGAUGCACGUGCACUCUUAUUAUUUUCACAUCGUUCGGUCGUGCAAGUGAAAGGCAAUUAUGACGAUAUAUGAUGGACUGAUUGAGAUGAGAGAAGCUGGUAUGAACUCGACCUCUCUUGUUUUUGUAAAUAUGAUUAGUUCAUCGUUCCUAUUCAGCCUAUUAUGAAUAAAUAUGUUUGCAAUGACAAUUAGAGAUUAUAGUUGCUUGUGCCAUGCUUAAGUAGCUAUGAGUUAUAAUGGUUUACCUUGCGUGCCAACAUGCUAUUAAAAUGGUUGUGAUGUGGUAUAGUGGGGUGGUAUCCUCCUUCGAAUGAUUUAAGUGACUCGACUUGGCACAUGUUCACACAUGUAGUUGAAACAAAUCAACAUGGCCUUCAUGAUAUUUAUGUUCAUGGUGGAUUAUAUCCUACUCAUGCUUGUACUCCAUGUUUAUUAAUUUUAAUGCAUGUUCAUGACUUUUGUCGCUCUCUAGUUGGUCGCUUCCCAGUCUUUUGCUAGCCUUCACUUGUACUAAGCGGGAAUACUGCUUGUGCAUCCAAUUCCUUAAACCCCAAAGUUAUGCCAUAUGAGUCCACUAUACCUUCCUAUAUGCGGUAUCUACCUGUCGUUCCAAGUAAAUUUGUAUGUGCCAAACUCUAAACCUUCAAAUGAAAUUCUGUUUUGUAUGCUCGAAUAGCUCAUGUAUCAACUAGGUUUGUCCGUAUCUUCCAUGCUAGGCGGGUUAUUCUCAAGAGGAGUGGACUCCGCUCCUCACUCACGAGAAAAUGGCUAGUCACCGGGAUGCCCAGUCCCAUGCUUUAUGCAAAUCAAAUCAAAAUAAUUGUAAACAAAACUCCCCCGGGACUGUUGUUAGUUGGAGGCACUCGUUGUUUCGAGCAAGCCAUGGAUUGAUGCUUGUUGGUGGAGGGGGAGUAUAAACUUUACCAUUCUGUUUGGGAACCGCCUAUAGGCGUUGUUUGGAUAGGGCCGGAUACAUGGUAAACGAGUUUGUUGCCGGAUUUUAGCAAAAUCGGUUUUGCUAAUGAAUUUUUGGAUAACUAAUUUACACAGAAACACGUUUGGGUUUGGAAAGGAUAAAACUAGCUUGUACAUUUCCUUGUUUGGGUAGGAGGAUACCGAUUCACUUCCUCCCCUUGCCUUCUCUCCCUUACUUUCCCCAAGUUUGGCCAUUGACGACGACUUCCCAAAGCUUCGACUCCAGCCGCUCCAGCCUGUGAUUCCUCUUCCGUCGUUCGUCCUCACCGCCAGACACCGGUGCCCUCCUCCCGUCGGGACGGCCUCGACGACUCCGCGUGCGGAGGCUUUCCCUGGUCGCCUAUGAAGGGGAACGCGACAGAAAACAAAAAUUUUCCGACCUACGCACCAGCCCAGGACCACUAUGGAGACUGCAUACAUGGUUUGAUCUUUUUCGUUACCGACUCGUAGCGCAGCGGGAAGUAGAGUCGAUGACGAUCGGCAGUGCAGAUCCCCGCAGCUAGGAUUUACAACCUCCCAACUGCGAGGAUGUAUACCCUCAUCUGCUCCUCAGACAGCCCUCCGGGAGGCGGUCGAACAGCCCCCCGGACGGUGUCGCGGACAGCCCUUCGGGAGGACCUUCGAAACUCGAACGAUCACUCGGACAGCCCUUCGGGAGGACCUUCGAAACUCGGACGGUCACACGGACAGCCCUUCGGGAGGCACUCACGAACUAAGACCGAAACUACGAUCUCUCUACAGAGUUGCACACAUACGGUGUCAUCUAUCCGGCAGGGCUUCGCCGUCCAGAACUAGUUCCUGCCGGAACCCAGACAGCCUUACGGCUCUACGAAACUCUUUUCGUGGGAGGGAGAGAAGAAGCCAGAUAAUGCAUGGCAUGUGUAUGAGAGCAAGGGAUGAGUGUGGAGGGCUGCCCCUCCACCUCUAUUUAUAGGAAAUCCCAAGGGGGUAGGGUAGUUUCACAAAAAACCCAAAAUGCACAUGAAUGAAGUCCUUCCAUAAGGACCUAGGAGUGAAACCAAGGAACAAGAGGGUCCCCAAGGGGGGAUACCCCAUGUGGCCGGCCACACCCCCAUGAGGGGCCCAAAAAAUGGCUCCUAUCCAUCCAUGUCAUCCCCAAGAUCUUUUGGAGCAAAGCCCCAAAAGGUGGCUUUCCAUAAAGUAACCAUAAAGCUGAUUUUCACUAUUCACGACGACAUUUUUCAGCGUCUGAUCGAACUGAAAAUAUUUAUGUGGGCUAAGAACAUUUCCAGUACCCACUAAAAUGAUUUUCAACGCGUUCCGAAACAAUUCCGGUUUUAGUGAUUUUCAUCUGCGAAACGCAUCUGAAGUGGCUCCGGCAGCUCCGGAACAUUUCCGGUUUUUAUCUUAGAAAAUUCCAAAAAGCUUCCAGAAUGAUUCUGGCAUCCUCCAAGAAUUAUCAGGCAUGUGCCGAAACCAAUUUGACUUAAUGGUGUAUCCCGAAACAACUUUUCGGUAUCAUCAAAACUUAUCCGAUGACCUCUCUCUACGGUACGAUUCCGCUGUCCGAAACUUUUCGGUGUCCGAAACUUUUUCGGUGAUUUUCUCUCAGACUCCCUGUCUAGUAUUCAGCAGAUAGAUGACCCUUAAGCGUGUGACCCUAUAGGUUCGGUGAAGUAUAGACAUGACCCGGAACCCCUUCCGAUCAAUGAUCAACAUCGGAGCCGUGGACACCCAUAUUGACCCCUAUACCCACACGAAUAAAUAUUCGAGUGAACCUCCAGUUGCCGUGUGCUAUUCCUGUUGCUUCGCGAUAUGUUACAAAUACCCGAGGUGAGGCAUGUUGGCAUUCCCGUGGAUCAACAACUUGUCCACUAUGCUAGUUACCUCGUUACCGGUUUUGUUCUCUUUUCUCGUUUCGUGUUCCGGCAUCCCCGUGAUCAAAUCACAAAGUGUCUGGCCAGACGAUGAUGGACACCGUAACACCGAGAGGGCCCGAGUAUAUCUCUCCAUCGUCGGAGGAGCAAAUCCCAAUCUCGAGCUAUCAAGUCACUUAACAUACUUUCCCAUGAACCCGUAAGCCGCCGUAAUAGCCAUCCAGUUACGGAUGACGUUUAACAAACCCCAAAGUUCAUGAAGCAAGCAUGAAGAAACUCGAUACUCUCAUGGUCUAAGGAAUUAUGCAAACAUUAACCAUCUCUGUGUUAUAAACCAAUAACUUGUGAUGAAUGUAUCUCAUAGCAUAACAUCAAUUCGGGUCGAUUCAACACAAAUGUCCUUCCUGACAUUGUGCCCUCAAAAUUGCUUGGCAUAGACAUGCCCAUGAUUGGGAAAACAUAAUCAUCAUGCAACACUUGAGCUAGUCUUAGAGGCACGACUAGGAAUACAUUUUACCGUUUAUUAUUCCACACGUGCAUAUGGGUUCUCCCCAGAGCCUUUAUGGAUAUACGGGCUCGGGAACCACAGCAGUUAUAGCAUGGAACAUAAACAUAAUUAUGAACAGGGAGAUAAUCAAUAACAUUUAUUAUUGCCUCUAGGGCAUAUCUCCUACAGCCUAGGCCGACUCUGGUCAUCCCCGUACUGGCUCUGCUCGGCGAGAUCUGCUCCUCGAGCUCAUCCCGUAGGUCCGCCGCCCCUGGGCGACCUCCCACAUCGGCCCUGCACAGGCUUUGCUCGGGGAGAGGUUCUUCUCGAGCUCAUCCUAGAUGUACGCCACCCCUUGAUGCUGGCCGUCCAGCAGUGUCCGUACAUGGAAGUUCAGAUCUCAAAAGAGUGCUCGACGCCGCCCACCCUGAUAGCGGCCAUGUCGGGGCUGGAGGUCAAGCGUGAGGACGAUGAUUCGGCGGAGCAGGUAAACAUUUCAUCUUUGUUUGCAUUUCAAGGUCGAAUUAUUUGAGCUGGGAGCUUGAACAAUUCAUAUGAUGAUUCUACUUGUGUUAAUAAGAAAUGCCAUUCUACUUGCCAAGAGGAAAAAAACUUCAUAGUUUACAGGGCUUAACAAUUAGCUACAUGGUAAAGUCGUUGAUUUAAUUCUUUCCCAUAAUAGGGACGAAGUGAUAAUUUGGAGAGUGGUUUGACACAGCCUUUGCUCAUAGAGACAAAGGAGUGGCAAGUUGACAAUGCAGAGGAUAAUGAUGGUUGCUGGUCCAUACAGAUUCCUCAUGCCACAUGUGAAGGUUUUCUCGUAAUCUCUUGAAUGUGCUUAUUUUUUGUUGCUGAAUGCAUAACCUUCAUCUGCAUUGGCUAUUUUCACAAAUAUAUCAGUUUCAGUUCUUCAACUUCAUUCUCUAGUCUGCAAUGGCCAUUUUUCUUAUCGAAUGACAAAUUUAUUGCACACAGUUGUACAUAAAAUAAUUUAGCAUUACUAUCAUCUUGUAAUACAGAACGGGAAAUUUUGGAACCUAUAAAUUGAUGAAAAAUUGUAACAAUUAUUACUGUAAUGAAUCUAUAAAUAAAAUUUAAAAAAUAAUAUUGUAAUGCUCAAUCAUCUUCUGGUUGUUGAGCGGAACGCUGUUGAUGUUUACUCCACAACUGUCGAGCAAUGCCUGCACGAACUCUCUCACCAGCAGCUCGUUCAUCUUCUCUUGCUUGCCCUCUAACUUGCUGAUCACCAUGGUCAACAUGUUGUUGUGCUUCCCCAUGCUCAUAAAGCUCGAACAACUCAUCAUGAUGAUUAACCUUCCGGAUGAAGUUGUGGAUAAUACAGCAAGCCAUAACAAUUUUGACUUGUGUUUUAUAUGGAUAAGGAAUUCCUCCUUUCCUACUUAAAAUUGGAAAGCGAGCUUUUAGAACACCAAAAGUUCGCUCAACAACAUUUCGUAGUUGUGCGUGCAGAUGAUUGAACAUAUCUUUCUCACUAGUAUAUCGUCGAUUACUUCCACGAAAAGAAGCAAUAUGAUAAUGAUCUCCACGGUACGGGGCAAUAAAUUUUGGAGUAUUUUCAUAUCCAGAAUCAACAAGAUAAAAUUUACCUGCACUUAAGGUUUGAUAGCACGGUCAGAAUCUUUAUGUAAUAAGAUUAAUCAAUAUAUAGUUCAUAUGUUUGAACUUUUACCUUCAGGAACAACAAACCCCCCACUAGUAACAGCCCAUCUUAGAACUGCUUGAUCUGACGCAGAACCUUCCCAUCCAGCAGCGACAUAUGAGAAUGUCAUGUCAAAUGACACUACUGCCAUUACAUUUUGAGAGGGGUAACCAUGCCUAUUUCUAUAAGGAGUUUGCUUAUCUAGCUUGAUUUUUGCCGCAAUGUGUGUCCCAUCAAUUGCUCCUAGGCAGUUCUGUUGGGAUUUUUGUUAGUCAAACAAUGAAGUUUAAAUUUUCCAUGACAUAGUAUUUAAUCAUAUUUAAAAGUAACAUGUGUUUGCGAUAGGAAAAUACCUUGAAAUAUGGGUAGAACCUUGCAUCACCCAAUAUUUUUGCUGGGAUUUCAUUCCUUGGAUCUGUUAUGCAAACAUCACGCAACCCAUUUAUGGCAUCUAAAACAAUGUUGAAGUGUCGGCUGAUUGGUUCACCAGAAUGCUGAUAUCUAUCUUGGAUGACACGGUUCCUAACAUUGUGACCAAUGAUAUGGCUAAUUUUUUUUAAAUAAUACUUUUUUUUAAAUUACAGAAAUAAUACGCAAAAAAAGAAUUUUCAAAAAUAAUACACCGUCGGCCUACUGCAGGCCGACUGAGCCCAGUCGGCCCACAGCAGGCCGACUGGUGGCCCAUCAGUUUGCUGCUGGCCGAUUGGGCCGUCGGCCACCAGAUCAAGCCCAGUCGGCCUGCAGUUGGCCGACAGGGUCCAGUCGGCCUGCAGUACACCGAUAGGCCUGCAGUGGGCCGACUAUGCUCAGUUGGCCUGCUGUGGGCCGACUGGUGCAUGCCUAUUUUUAAUAAUACAUGAUGAUAUUUUUUAAAAGUAUAUAUUUUAACACGUUAUGAAUACAUGGUAACAUUUCUUCAAAUACAUUUUUAAUGGAAAUACCAUUUUUUUAAACCACACAACAUUUUUUAAAAUGCUUUUCUGAAAUUUUCACAAACUUUUUUUAGAAACACGCGAAUAUUUUCUUACAAUGUCAUGAUCCAUCUAAACAUUUGUUAACCCACGUGAUAUGUGAGUAUAUUGAUUGUAAUAUCAUCUUAUAUUAUGGGAUGAAGGGAGUACCAUUUUUUACAAUGUCAUGGAUAUUUUUUGGAAACACGAGAAUAUUUCCAGCAAAGGUGACGUACAUUCAUUUAGUGGCACGAACCAUUUCUUUUCAUAUUUUCCAAAAAAANNNNNNNNNNNNNNNNNNNNNNNNNNNNNNNNNNNNNNNNNNNNNNNNNNNNNNNNNNNNNNNNNNNNNNNNNNNNNNNNNNNNNNNNNNNNNNNNNNNNNNNNNNNNNNNNNNNNNNNNNNNNNNNNNNNNNNNNNNNNNNNNNNNNNNNNNNNNNNNNNNNNNNNNNNNNNNNNNNNNNNNNNNNNNNNNNNNNNNNNNNNNNNNNNNNNNNNNNNNNNNNNNNNNNNNNNNNNNNNNNNNNNNNNNNNNNNNNNNNNNNNNNNNNNNNNNNNNNNNNNNNNNNNNNNNNNNNNNNNNNNNNNNNNNNNNNNNNNNNNNNNNNNNNNNNNNNNNNNNNNNNNNNNNNNNNNNNNNNNNNNNNNNNNNNNNNNNNNNNNNNNNNNNNNNNNNNNNNNNNNNNNNNNNNNNNNNNNNNNNNNNNNNNNACCCGUUUCCCGCCACCCGUUUCCCUCCUCCCAUUUCCCGCCAACCUUUCCCGCCAUACCGCAGUCGUUCUUUCCCGCCAUUUUCUCGUCUCUACCUAUAAAACCCCCUUCAGACGGAGCUGGAUAAGCAUUGCAGUGUAGUGUAGUUGAGGUGUCCCAUUAUCCUUUCGAUCGUAGUUUUCACCCUGGGAUGAGCAGGACUCUUCUGAGGCUAGCUACCGAUUUCAGGAUGGAUAAUAGGAUAGUUCCAUGGGACGAACUCACCGGUAGUGACACCAUAAUGAAUGAGUUGGCUCACCAAUUACGUAGGUCUGGGUGGCCUGAAAGGACCUAUGAGGAGGUACGUAAAGAACUUCUUAGGUUGCAUGACAGGUGGAAGAAGGUAGUGGUGCCGAAGAGUGAAACUUUCAGAAGGAUUGCAGCAAAUAAUCCAUGUUUAUGGACUGAGGAGAGCGAGGACGAAGAUGAUAUCUUCAUGCCGCCGCUUCCGGGUUCUGCAUCGUCGAAGGGCAAGAGUUCUUCAUCAUCGAAGGGCAAGGUUUCUGCAUCGUCGAAGGGCAAGAGUUCUUCAUCAUCGAAGGGCAAGGUUUCUGCAUCGUCGAAGGGCAAGAGUUCUUCAUCGUCGAAGGGCAAGAGUUCUGCAUCGAUCGAGGAUGACGAUGAUGACUUCAUGUAGUUUUUAUGCUGUAUGUUGUGAGUUCAGUUACGUGCCAUUUAAUUUAGAUGUAGUUCUAUCUAGUUGUUUGUAAUGUCUUGUUGUAUGAAUAUUGUGUUCUAUCUAAAUAUGAUCUUGUAGAGUAGGCAUAUGUCUCGUACAUAAGUACAUAGUCAUUUGUCUCAUACAUAGAAUAGACAUAAGUCUCACACAUAAAUAGAUGGUAAUGUCUCUACUGAUACAUAGGAGCUGCAAUGACGACGUCUGGCCUGCCGGGGAGGUGGAUCUCGAAUAACAAAUUCAUCACAUAUAACUCGGUUUCCUGUAGCAAUGCAACUGAACAACCCUUUUCCAUUCCCAUUCGCUCAGCAUUUCUUGAAUCUUGCCAUCAUCAGUUAUGUCAAUCAAUUUUCUUUCCCCAGGGCCAUCUGAAUGCUUCCUGCUGACGUAGUACACAAAAUCGUCUUCCUUCAACCCUUGCUUCAACAUGAAUUUAGUCUUCAACCAAUCAAAAGUGAGGUCCACUUCACUAACUUGCACAACACUUGGAGACAAGCCUUGGACAUGAACAAUAGGGCUAAGCACCCACUGAGUACCCUCAGCCAUCUGCAACACACAAAUCGCAUUGAGUACCUACCCUACCCCUUAAUAUCCCCACUAACAAAUAUUAGACAUGUCUAUAUAUUACGAAGCCAUAUAUUACAGAAUAUUAACGGAGCAACUAAUACAAUUCACCCACCUACAAUUAUAUUACGAAUAUUUGCCGUAACAACUACAAAUAUUGACAGAUUAAUAUAUUUGACUGGACUGCCUAUAUUACGGACCUUUUUUCUGGACUCCUACAUAUACUGACACUCCUAAAUACUUGACAUCCACAUAUAGGACGGAUUAUUACCGGAGCAACUACACAUUUUUACACAACUAAUUAGUUGACAUCUAAAUAUAUUAACAAAUACUACCGGGGCACCUACGAAAAAUAAAAUGUGGGCUAAAAUAUACCCUUGAAGCGUGCGUGCGAAGGAUGAACGAUGAACGGCGGCCACCAAACUGCCGGUGCUCCGGCUCCAACGAAGAACGACGAACAACAGCUUCACCUCCACCACAGUGCCCCAACUUCACCACCCGCACACUGCAAUGCUUAUCCAGCUCCGUCUGAAGGGGGUUUUAUAGGUAGAGAGGAGAAAAUGGCGGGAAAGAACGACUGCGGUAUGGCGAGAAAGGGUUGGCGGGAAAUGGGAGGAGGGAAACGGGUCGCGGGAAACGGGUGGCGGGAAACGGGGCGGGAAAUGGGAGGAGGGAAACGGGUGGCGGGAAAAAGUUGGCGCGAACAUAUGGCGGGAAAAAGUUGGCGCGAACAUAUGACGAUGAUGACUUCAUGUAGUUUUUAUGCUGUAUGUUGUGAGUUCAGUUACGUACCAUUUAAUUUAGAUGUAGUUCUAUCUAAUUGUUUGCAAUGUCUCGUUGUAUGAAUAUUAUGUUCUAUCUAUAUAUGAUCUUGUAGUUCCGAUAACAGAGUACUAAAAUAGAGUAGGCAUAUGUCUCGUACAUAAGUACAUAGUCAUUUGUCUCAUACAUAGAAUAGACAUAAGUCUUACACAGAAAUAGAUGGUAAUGUCUCUACUGAUACAUAGAAGCGUCAGUGACGACGUCUGGCCUGGCGGGGAGGCGGAUCUGGAAUCGGGGACCAUCCCAACCUGUCGGGUGCCCUAAUGUGACGAGGAGGAAUCUCAGACUCUCCCUGGUCAUGCUGUGUAUCCUGUGUGGGGCCUGGUGGAGGAGUCGAAAACAUGUUCAUCCACUGGGUGUGCUGCGACAUCUGAGCCUGUAUGUUGUCCUCGGGAUGUUGAUCACUCCCCCACGUAUCAUGUGAUGCCGACAUAGACGCCUGAUAUCCAUAGGCCCCUACGCGAUGGAACGUUUCAUCAUGAAGAAUGAGGUCGCGUCAAUUAAUAUUGAAAACAAUAAAUAUGAAGACACAUACCUGCUGGGUGUGACGUCUGCUCUGGCUGAAACACGAAACUAGACGAGGGACCGUGCUGCUGUGGCUGUGGAGAAAACACGAAGCUCGACGAGGGACCGUGUUGCUGUGGCUGUGGAGAAAACACGAAGCUCGACGUGGGACCAUAGUGCUGCGGGUGCCACGUAGAACUGCCAGGUUGGUCAGGACGGGGUGGCCUGGUUGUCGGCUGCUGUGCUAGGCGUGGACGUGGUUGAUGUCGGUGCAUGGAGUGACGCGGCUGCUCCUGCUCGUGCUGAACAACAUCGGUUCUCCGGGUGCACGUGAUAGCCUCGUACACAGUCCGUAUCUUAUUCUGAAUUCUUUUUAAGAAGGGCUAUACCACUGGACGAUGAUGAAGAAGAGGUCCAGACGAUAGUGAUCGUCCAAAGGUGGUCACGUCGUCGUACAGUUCGCGUGUCAAGGUAGCCUGCAAAUUUCCAUGACGAUUAAUAAUGUCUGUCUCUUGCACGUCAAAGUAUGUGACAACAUUACGUAAAGAAAAAAUAUCUUACCGCGUACUGCCUAGAGCCCGAAGUAUCAUAGCUCGGGUACAUAUCCGACGGAGUAGGAUCCGGUAACUCCUCUGGGUGGGAGUACUCAACAAUGUGUAACCGUGUUCCGGUCAUGUAGCGCCGCCAAUAGAGAUUGAAUUCAUCGAGAUCGAAAUUGUGAUUCUCGUGCCAUAGAUUUGUGUUUGCUGUCUCCCAUUCUAUAACAUACGGCUCUAGUCUAACUAGCCAGUCAGCAGUUGUCCUGUUCAUGCCCUUCCUUGUCGACCUACAAUUGUGGUGUGUGUUCAACAAUUACCUAAAGCUUCGAAUGGAGUACUAUGAAAGAAAAUGCAACAUUGAAAAACUGGUUAAUAUCUGUGGAUGUGUGCUGGCACCGGGUUCUCUAUAGGGGGAGGUAGCUCCAACUGCAGAAGACCAAAUUGCCUCAUAACCCUCUGUUGUGCCAUCUCCUCAACGAAGACAUCGAAGAUGAUCUUCGAUUUUGUCAUCCAGUAAUCUCGGUCCCUUGUGCAUAGCACAGACAUACCAGCAGGGUAUCUCGCUUGUAUGGCUGCUUCCGUGUAGGGCUGCCAGAUGACCCCGGUGUACGCAUCGAACUGCUCGUUCGAUGCUAUGUAUGCCUUCCUGGUCUGAUCACUAGCAAAGCGUCUCUGCAGAGAAUAAAAGUUAGUAGCCGCUAGCAUCGAUUGAUCUCUUGUGCAGAAAAAGUUGCAUUAAACUACAACACGGUGCAUACCUUGCGACGAGUCCAACACAGACCGAAAGUAGGCAUGUCGAUGCCGUCAACAUCAAACAUGGCGUCUAUAGGCUCAUGAACACGUACAUCUGGUCGCCCUAUAGAGAACCUCUCCCACGACCACAGCUGUAGGAAUAGAGGGCAUCCAAGAAGGGCUGGCUUUCUCGAUGUAAGCUGGCAACCGUUGCACAUACCUCGGUAUGUAGCCGCUAACACCGCUGAACCCCAACUCCUCUGUCUGAUCUGAUCCGCCGUCUGAGCGCUCGCUAUCUCGAGUGCCAUAGGGAUGUAGAGGGCGCUAAUAGUGGUGACAUGGUUCUCCGUGAACAUCACCUUGCCGAAAAGCCACAGUAAGUAGGCCUCGAGGCUCCGAGUGAUCUGUUCCGCAGUCAACGGCGCCCGGAAGUUCUGGAUCUGCAUUAAGCGAAGAGAAAGUUUUAGUAAGCCGCAAUUAUUUUUUGUAAAACUUUAUGCGCGAUAACUUGAAGAGAAUAGGUAGGGGAAAUUACCCGGAAAUUUAGCAACCACUCAUACUUAGGUCCGUGAUGCUCCCAUACCGGAUCGGGAGCAUCCGGAAAAACACCGUGAAAACGUUCUGUAAGAGCUCGCUCCCAACCAGCCGGUGCGUCCAACGGUCCUACGGCAUGACCUACCAACGGUAGUCCGAGCAAAAGUGACACAUCCUCCAGAGUAGGAGCCAUCUCUCCCCAUCUGAAGUGAAACGUGUGGGUCUCUGGCCUCCAACGGUCCACUAAGCAGCUCAGCAAAGACCCAUCGAUGGCGACGCGUUUCUCACCCGGGAUAGACUCAACCAGACGCGCGAAAGGUAAAAGGCCGGCCCAUUUCAACCUUCAUCAGAGAACUUUUCAGUUAGUGUCUCCCAUUUCAACCAUUAAUAUGCAUGUCAGUGUGCAAAUUAAUAAAGCACGUACCGCUGAAGCUAUCCUGAGUGUAUCUUCCAGUUUUCCUUAGGAGUGCGAGUGACCAGAGGCUCAAGCUUGCGCUCAUACCAUAUCGCAGCACGAUGACCCCUAUCAAUGUCCCCAUUCAGCAACCACAAUCCCGACAUUCCUGCACAUACAAAAUUCAGAAUAUAGUGUCACACUUAAUAAAAAUUCAGAACAAAGUGCCACACUUAAUAAAAAUUCAUAACAUAGUGCCACACUUAAUAAAAAUUCAGAACAUACUGUCACACUUUUACAAAUUCAGAACAUAGUGCCACACUUAAUAAAAAUUUAGAACAUAGUGCCACACUUAAUAAAAAUUCAGAACAUAGUGCCACACUUAAUACAAAUUCAGAACAUAGUGCCACACUUAAUACAAAUUCAGAACAUAGUGCCACAGCACACUUAAUAUAAAUUCAGAACAAACUAGUGCUAGCUUAGCUUCUUCCUCUCGCCCUUACUCCUCUACUACCUCUACCUCCUCUUCUUCCCCGGUUGCCUCGUCCACGCCCAGUGAUGAAAGUGGGACAAUUAGUGUCCCUAUGGCCAAAUUCAUUGCAUAGAAUGCAUUGCCUAGUCGGACCUCCUGCUUCAGAUUCAUCCAUAUCAUUUCGGAUGCGCUGACACUGCCGUCUGCCUCUACUUGUACGCAUAUGCUCUGGGUUUGGAAUGUAACGCCUUUCGGCGGGGUUGACGCUGUUGAAAUUACCCAUUGAUCGAAAACCCAUCAGCUCACCUGUCCAGGUAUUGAGGACAGCCUCUUUCAGAAAAUAUGGAGACACAAAUGAUAUUGCGUCCAUUCCAAGCUGCCCGCAAGCAGCAAGUACAUGUGAGCAAGGUAGGUGAAGCAAUUUCGGUUUAUUGCAUGUGCACUCACACGUUGGCCAGGCUUCAUUGCCAAUUUUCACCUCAUGCGUCCUCAACUCAUUUGCACAUCCGAAUUUGUUGUUGGCUAAGCGGACCUCAAACCUUCUUUCUUGAUUACCGAUGGCGACUACAGUGUGUGACCUAGCUUUUUGCAUCUUGUUGUCCAUGUACUUCGUGGCUCUUUCACAGUACCGUGUGUUUGGGUUGUUCAAGAUAUGCUGCUCUGCUAUUUGACGUCUGUCUCUGAAAUACUUGACGGUGCCAUAGAAAAUACCCUCAACGAUGGCUGUAAGUGGCAAUGCCCGGUUUCCUCUGAGGACAAAGUUGUAUGUUUCCGCGAGGUUCGUUGUCAUGACACGUACCUUGCUCCAUGUGUGUCAUGUAGCAAAGACCACCUCUGCAGAGGCUCAUGCUCUAUCCACUGCUCGAAGGUUUUAAUCGACCUCCCGAGCCUUCUCCUAGUACCAGGUGGGUCAAAGCCUGGCAGGUCACAUAGCUCAACAGCCUCCUCCUCCACGGCCGCUGUUCCUGUUGCCAACCGUGCAGCUACUGCUUCAACAUGUGCCCUCACCGCUGCAUCUCUUGCAGCUUUCCUAUCCCUCACGUGUCUCUGCGUGCACACAUUAAGUCCGUCGCGUAUCAAAUUGUACUUCCAUAACUGGUUCUGCUUGCAGAGUUUUUUGAACAGAUUCAUCAGGUUCUUAUUUCUAAACUGCGAGAAGAAAUUAGCCCCGAGAUGGCGCAUGCACCAACGGCUCUGCAAGUACUGCCAUGGAACUUGUUCCUCAGGGCCUGGGUUUGUCAGUGUCCUUAUCGCACUGAGUAUACCUGCAUGCCUGUCAUGAAGGAUGCACACAUUGGGCUUCUCCUUAACAACUGAUAUUUUCAACUGCCUGAAGAACCAUGUCCAACUUUCAAUGUUCUCACUCUCCACAAAAGCAAAUGCCAGUGGGACGACUUGAUUUUGGCCAUCUUGACCUAUGGCUGUCAGGAUCUGACCCUUGUACUUGCCUAUGAGAAAAGUACCGUCAACACAUAUCACCGGUCGGCAAUGCCUGAAAGCUUCGAUGCAUACACCGAAAGAGAAGAAGAGACGAUGCAAAACCCUCACAGUUGGGAACUCUGGCAUGAACAUGUCUUGGAUAUCGAUAUAGGUGCCUGGAUUCCGCUGCUGCAGGGUGUGGAGGAGGUGGACAACAGAGUCAUAUGCAUGAAAAUAAGAACCAAAUCUCCUCUCAAGCGCUGCAUGCUUAGCCCUCCAAGCCUUGCCAUAAGAAAUUCUGUACUUCAACCUGGCGAACACUUUUGUCUGCACUGCCUUCACUUCCAUAGCUUUGCCUUGCACUAUCUCAUCGUAAAACAGUCGAGCAAUAAGCGUGGAUGAAAGGUUGGCAUGAUCUUGAGGGAUGCAGGGAAUAAGACAAGUGUGAUUAACUAAGUCACUUAUCACCCAACUUGUGCCAUACUUAGGGAGAAAGCCGUGCACCCUUGCGGGACAAUCUGCGUUCUUGCAUACCAUUGUGAGGAAUUUCUGACUGGACACCUCAGCUUUGAAAACCCUUUGCGUGGACAUUGCCCAAUUAAUUUUUGCAUCCUUCAGGGCUUGCUUGUUCGGAUACAUAGCACCCAUCGCAAUAUUGUUCUGGUGAUAUUGCUAGGCUGAAUCAUGUCCAUCAUUCACGGUCAUUGCAGAUGAUAAGUCAUGAUUCCACCAUGCAAGAUUCAGGACCUCCUCUGCAUUUUCUUCUUCAUCUGACUCGUCAGAAUCAUCGGCAUGACCCCUUUCAACAUCGGUGUCUUCUUCUUCCAUCUGGUUCUGCAUGUGCCCAUCUACCUCGUCAGCGUCCACCUCACCAUUGUAAUCACCAUCGGCAUUUCCUCCUUCUACCUGACUACUCUGCCCUGGUUCAUAACCAUAAGCAUUUCCUCCUUCUACCUGACUGCUCUGUCCUUGUCGUAACCAUAAGCAUUUCCUCCUUCUACAUGACUGCUCUGUCCUUCGUAGCCACCCUCCCCUUCAUGUGCAGUGACCUCCUUCACGACGGGAAGCACUAAAGCAACAUGAUUGCAUCCCCUUCGUUCACAACCUUGUAACCACCGCACCCAAUCGGAGUCUCCCUCUAUUGGCCUCAAAUAAAAGUAAAUUUUUGAACUUGACCGUGUCCACAAUGCAUGAACACCGACGGUGUGUGUUUCAGUAUCAAGACCUAAACUUGCCGCAAUCCAUUCUUUCAACUGACUAACAGACCAUGUUUGUGGUGCGUUGAUUGCCACCUCUAUGUGAGUAAAUUCACUCAGAUCUGCUCCCAACUCAUUUGUUUGGACAGUACCAGGACCAUAGUAAAAUCUCAACUUCACUACAUCGGACAUCUCGACUCACCUAUUUUUUUCAACAUAGAAAUACAAGUAUUAGACAUGUCUAUAUAUAUAUUACCAGGACCAUAGUAAAUUUCACGAUCAAUAUAAUUUAAUCUAUGUGGACGAUUAUGAUGAGUUGCUUCACUCUUCUUUUAAUAAUAAUAUAAUAAAUAGGCCCAUGUUUACUAAUAAUAAAUAGGCCUCAAAUAAUAAUAAUAAUAUAACCGUCAAAUAUGAUAAUUUAGUUUAUUUGAAUUAUAUGGCCCAUGUUGAUGUAUUUUUUAUUUUAAUCUAUGUUAAGAAUAAUUUAGAAAAAGGCAUGCGUCUUAUUUCUACGAUCAUGUAAAAUUCUUCCUUGCAAAGAAGUUUUUAUCCGAAGUUUUUUUUUUAAACUACAGCGUGUCCGUUUAAAAAAUAACAGUGUGGGUUAGCGGGUAAUCCGCUUCAUAUUGGCAUCGGGUACGGACUGAAACGUUUUUUAACAUGUAGUUCUACUUUUCCCAUUUUUUGUUUGCUUGUUAAAUUUCCAUCACACUGACAUGCUAUGCACAUGCCGACCCUAACUCUUUAAAAAAAACUUGUCUCUUCUUUCCAACUUUUUAUUCAUGUUUCCAACUUCUUAUCCCGCACCUGUGUACGUGUCAAGUAUUAAGCAACAACUUAUUAUCCCCACUAACAACUAAUACAAUUCACACACCUACAACUAUAUUACGAAUAUUUGCCGUAGCAACUACAAAUAUUUACGUAUACUACCGGGGCAAAUAACAAUAAUCGCACACAAAUUUAAUUUCACAUUGAACGAAGCGUGCGUGCGAACGAAUAAUAUUUACGUAUACUACCGGGGCAAAUAACAAUAUUUCUGUAUACUACCGGGCCAAAUAACAAUAAUCGCACACAAAUAUUUACGUAUACUACCGCGGCAAAUAACAAUAUUUACGUAUACUACCGGAGCACCUAUGAAAAAUAAAAUGUGGGCUGAAAUAUACCCUUGAAGCGUGCGUGAGAACGAAGAACGAAGAACGACGAACGACGAACGACGAACGACGACGAACGAAAAACUGCCGCUGCUCCGGCUCCAACGAAGAACGACGAACAACAGCUUCACCUCCACCUCACUGCCCCAACUUCACCACCACCACACUGCCCCAACUUCACCACCACCACACUGCCCCAACUUCACCACCACCACCUCCACCAAAAUGCUCACCACGACCACCACGAGCUACCCCGUCAGUAGAUCGACACCUCUUUUGGCUGCCCUAAAUGAGUUGAACCCAUUCACGGUGCCAAAAUGGCAAAAAUGUAGCUCAUUUAGGUGUACAAAUGUGUGCCAUUUUUCUGUAGAGAGAGGAGGAGGAAGAACACAGAAGAAAUGAGCCACCAGGUGGAUAGGAGAGGAAUGAGAGGAUAAGGGCGGGCACGGGAGAAGAAUAAUGGAGGAAGGAGAGGAAGGAGAGGAUAAGGGCGGGCCGGCCAGCGCGCGUCAGGUCGGCAGCACCCUGUCGGCCACCAGGUGGCCGAUCGGCGGGCGGCAGGCCGACAGGGGCGCACCACGCCGACAGGCCACUGCCUCCCCCUCGCGACGUGGCCUGACCAACCACAGGCCGCCGCGUGCCAGCCCGGCAUGCAGUCGGCCUCCUGCUAGCCGAUCGGCCUGCUGUGGGCCGACUGGGCUCAGUCGGCCUGCAGUGGGCCGACGGUGUAAUAUUUUUGUAAAUACUUUUUUCUGCGUAUUAUUUCUGUAAUUUAAAAAAAAUGUAUUAUUUAAAAAAAAUAGAAACAUGAGUAGUUGUUCGUCCACUGUCAUUCGCUUUGUAUCCUUCAGUAAGCCUCUCUCACACAAAGCAUCUCGCAGCAAGUAGAAUAUGUGCUUCUCAAGAUGAAUUUGUUCGUAAAAUUUAACUGGAUGUCCCUCUAGCAACUCUUUUGUUUUCUGGGCACCAGUUAAUAUGGAGGUGUUACGAGGUGUUUUGAAUAACCUUGUGAACAACACAUCACGAAACACGGACACUGCAGAAAUGUUAUUAAUAAGAACUUGCUCGGAAUCAGAAAAUUCAUCAUCUGGCACAUAUAAACUGUUCAUGGUUCCCUGCACAGUGUACACUAUUGAUUGUAUCAUCUCAGAAUAAUAUUUUAUAAGAUAUAUAAAAUAGUUGGAAAUGAACUUUCUCAAAAUGAAAGUACAGUUGAUCGUUGCAACACAAACUGACAGAAAAAGCAAUGGAAAUUGUUCUCUAAAUACAUAAAACGACAAUUACUGAAAUCAAAUAAUGGUGUAUUACAAAAUAACUAAGGAUCAAGAAUCCAAAGCUUUCGAGUUUCUUCAUCCAUCUCAAUGAAAAUGGUGCGUUUGUCACCAUCUGUAAAUGCUUUUACUGCUUUCAGUUUUGUGCUGGCAUCGAGGCUACCCAUACUAUUUAAUACUGACACGCAUGAUUUAACCGAGUAAGUGUCAUUUUGUUCUGCUGUUUUUUUCUUUGCUUCAGCAAUGCUGAGUGAUGCAUCUGCAAGACGAUCAAUUGCUGUUAUGGCAUCAUCAGCUAUACGUUUUUGUCCUCUUGUAGUUUCUUUUAAUCCACUUCCAGGGAAUUUCCUUUUUUCUGGCUCAAUGGCUGUCGACUUCUUAGUGAACACAACAGGGGAGCCAUUGUUUUCAUCAGACUCGAUUUCAUGUACUUCAACAUCCUUAUUGAGAUCAAUUUGAGAUGAUUUAGUUGUGCAUGAACCAUCUUUCCCUUUGCUAGAUAUAGCACCAACUCCAGAUGCCGUUGAACUAGCACAUAUUUGUUGAAGAUCUUCCCAACUAGGCCACACCUUUUCUCGAUAUUCUUGGAGUGACUUAUCCUUCUGCAAGUUGUUAAUUUUUAUUAAUAAAUACAAUAUACCAAUUUUAUAUGAAUCCUACUCGCACAAACUUACCUCAAUUAGUUCCUCCCAAGUUUCUUCUGAAGCUUUUAUCAUUUUGUCAUCAUCAUCCCAACCAAAUCCCGUCAGUUUAAGAAGUCUAUCCAUGGCAGCAUAGCAACUCCUAUAGUACUUAUGGCGAUUUUUCAAUUGUUGUAAUUCAAGUUUGUCUACUCUUGAAUCAUUGAAUUGUUCUAAGAUAUCACGCCAUGCUUUCUUUGUGUAACAUGUUCCUUCUUUCCCUCCGUGUAAAGUUUGAUCUUUCAGUAUAGUGAGAAGUAUUUUGUCCUCCGAAGAUUUCCAUACAUGCCUCUUUUUAUCUGGGUUUUCUUUCCUUUUUUUUUGGUCCCUCUGAUCAUCCAUAUUUAUCUACAAGAAAAUAAAAAAUUUAAAUGAGUAUGUGAUUGACAAACUUAAUUUCUCUUGACAUUUCAAAGCCUCCAAUUUAAAGUUGUACUUACAACAAGCCAUAUUGCAAAGUGAGUUAUUUGGUUGAGAAGAGCACUGUUAAGUGGAAGAAAUGAACAUGAUAAUAAUAUUUCAACUGCAUUCGUGUGAUCUCUUGGCGUGUAUUCUUCUGAUUGCAGUAGACAAAUGGGGGUCUAGGACUGAGCUAAUCUUUAAUGUUUUACCUAUGACAACACUUACUACUAAUUGUUUGAUUUCUACGUGUAUUCCUAUGUUCUUUUCACAAUGCAGGUCGACAAAGGAACUGAUGGCUUGUAUUUCAGUGAUCUACUGUUGGCUUACCAUUUGUUUUUAUAGAGGUAAAGCUGCAUGUGCGUGUUGAAUUUAAAUUUGAGGGCCCCUUAUAUCCAGGAGUACAUGAUUGGCCUACAUACUAGACUAUGAUACUUGUGUAUACAAUUUAGACUACAGCACAAACAUACAUACUUAUAUCGCACAGUUCAGAUUGGCCUAGUGCCUAUUAAUACCAUAUAAAUAUAUAAUUAGAGUUAGCGUGCCAUUUACUCUUCUUUCAUAUCUGGCAUUUACCUGGUUUCCAUGUACAACAGCAAGUAACUAGUGUAGUGGGUUUCUUUUAUAAUCAAACAGAGGUGUGUUUCCAAUUAGAGAGAGGAAGGGACAAAUUGCCAAGUUGGUGGUUCUAGUUUCAUCUACGAAUUGGCUAUCUCAGAUUACCGGAGUUUUUUCUUUCUGCAAAAUGAGCUUCAUUACCAAAAAAAUGAAUCGAUGAACAAUACCAUGAAUUUGUAGAUCUACGGACGAAUUUGUUGAUCAGGAUGAUUGAUCGAUGAACAAUACCAUGAAAUCUGUACAUCUAAACUCAUAUGGACCAAUUUGUUGAUCAAGAUGAUUGAUCGAUGAACAAAACCAUGAAAUUUGUACAUCUACAACUUAUAUGGACUAAUUUGUUGAUCUGGAUGAUUGAUCAAUGGACAAUAUCAUGAAAUAUGGACAUCGACUACAACUUAUAUUGACAGGAUGAUUGAUCUUACCAGGGUCGUGCAACUUGAUUGAAGAUGGGAAGAUGAUGAGAACCGCCUGAUGAAGAAGCUGCUGAGAACCAGCGCCAGCGUCUCCCAGCCAGCGCCUGUGAAUGGAAUUGACGGCCAGCCAGUUCUAUUAGCGAUGGGGCCUGUAUAUAAGCAAUGAAAAAGGCGCGAGGGCGAGCAGCAAAACGCAGAACUGGCACCAGAAAAGUUGUUGAGAAGCGAGCGGGCGGGAAAAAGUUGUGGCGAUCACGCAUAUAGCAAUCGCGUUUGUGGAAAAACGGAUAAAGCUCAUUUUUCUAUAAGCCCGAAAUCUUGGGUUGUACAGUUCCAAGUUUCCUAUAAACGUGGAUUGGUUAUAGUAGCCAAACGAGGUUUUGUUCGGUUGAACCGUUUCCCUGGUUUAUAGAGUACGGAUUCUAUAUAUAUCUUCUAUCCAAACAACGCCAUAAUGUGUGUAGCAUGGAAGAUAUCGCCAUCUCUUGGUUGUUAUGUUGACAAUGAAAGUAUGCCGCUCAAAAUAUUAUUUAUCUCUAUUUCAAAAUCGAGCUCUGGCACCUCUACAAAUCCCUGCUUCCCUCUGCGAAGGGCCUAUCUAUUUACUUUUAUGUUGAGCCAUCACCCUCUUAUUAAAAAGCACCAGCUGGAGAGCACCGCUGUCAUUUGCAUCCAUUACUAUUAGUUUAUAUUGGGUAUGACUAUGACUGGAUCUCUUUUACCAUGAAUUACAAUGUUUAGUCAGUCCUUGAUCUUUAAAGGUGCUCUGCAUUUAUGUUUUGCGGUCUCAGAAAGGGCUAGCGAGAUACCAUCUUGUUAUAUCAUAUUAUGAUUGUUUUGAGAAAGUGUUGUCAUUCGAGAUUUAUUAUUAUUGCUCGCUAGUUGAUUAUGCCAUUGAUAUGAGUAAACAUGAGACCUAAGAGUUAUUGUGAAUGUGGUUAGUCAUAAUAUUUGCUGAAAACUUGAAUGCUGGCUUUACAUAUUUACAACAACAAGAGCAAACAGAGUUUGUAAAAGUUUUUCUUUGUCACUUUCAGUUUAUCAACUGAAUUGCUUGAGGACAAGCAAAGGUUUAAGCUUGGUGGAGUUGAUACGUCUCCGUCGUAUCUACUUUUCCAAACACUUUUGCCCUUGUUUUGGACUCUAACUUGCAUGAUUUGAAUGGAACUAACCCGGACUGACGCUGUUUUCAGCAGACUUUCCAUGGUGCUAUUUAUGUGCAGAAACAAAAGUUCUCGGAAUGACCUAAAACUCCACGGAACUUAUUUUUUGGAAAAAAAAUAAAAUACUGGAAGAAGAAUCCACGUCAGGGGGGCCUCCACCUAUCCAUGAGGGUGGGGGCGCGCCCCCUGCCUUGUGGGCCCCCUGUUGCUCCACCGACCUCAACUCCAACUCCAUAUAUUCAUGUUCGGGGAGAAAAAAUUAGAGAGAAGGAUUCAUCGCGUUUUACGAUAUGGAGCUGCCGCCAAGCCCUAAAACCUCUCGGGAGGGCUGAUCUGGAGUCCGUUCGGGGCUCCGGAGAGGGGAAUCCGUCGCCAUCGUCAUCAUCAACCAUCCUCCAUCACCAAUUUCAUGAUGCUCACCGCCGUGCGUGAGUAAUUCCAUCGUAGGCUUGUUGGACAGUGAUGGGUUGGAUGAGAUCUAUCAUGUAAUCGAGUUAGUUUUGUUAGGGUUUGAUCCCUAGUAUCCAUUAUGUUCUGAGAUUGAUGUUGCUAUGACUUUGCUAUGCUUAAUGCUUGUCACUAGGGCCCGAGUGCCAUGAUUUCAGAUCUGAACCUAUUAUGUUUUCAUGAAUAUAUGUGAGUUCUUGAUCCUAUCUUGCAAGUCUAUAGUCACCUACUAUGUGUUAUGAUCCGGCAACCCCGAAGUGACAAUAAUCGGGACCACUCCCGGUGAUGACCGUAGUUUGAGGAGUUCAUGUAUUCACUAUGUGUUAAUGCUUUGGUCCGGUACUCUAUUAAAAGGAGGCCUUAAUAUCCCUUAGUUUCCAUUAGGACCCCGCUGCCACGGGAGGCUAGGACAAAAGAUGUCAUGCAAGUUCUUUUCCAUAAGCACGUAUGACUAUAUUCGGAAUACAUGCCUACAUUACAUUGAUGAAUUGGAGCUAGUUCUGUGUCACCCUAUGUUAUGACUGUUAUAUGAUGAACCGCAUCUGGCAUAAUUCUCCAUCACCGAUCCAAUGCCUACGAGAUUUUCAAAUAUUGUUCUUCGCUUAUUUACUUUUUCGUUGCUACUGUUACAAUCACUACAAAACCCAAAAAUAUUACUUUUGCUACCGUUACCGUUACUUCCGUAUUACUUUGCUACUAAAUACUUUGCUGCAGAUACUAAGUUAUCCAGGUGUGGUUGAAUUGACAACUCAGCUGCUAAUACUUGAGAAUAUUCUUUGGCUCCCCUUGUGUCGAAUCAAUAAAUUUGGGUUGAAUACUCUACCCUCGAAAACUGUUGCGAUCCCCUAUACUUGUGGGUUAUCACCAAGCCGGCGGCCAAGGCCAAUGUAGGCAUUGCGCAGGCGCAACACUCUCUUGGACGUAAACUAACUCACAUGCACGCAUCUUGCCUUUAAAAAUUUCCUUCAAGCUAUACUUGUGAGAGUAAACAAGGGACAUCAAAUAGCUAUCAAGGAAUUCCAGUGUAGCCACCACUGGAGGCAUCUCUUUGCCAUGGCACAAGUCAUUCUGCAGCUGCCAAAUGCACCAAAUCAACAUAAUCACCAUGUCCCGCAUGGUUGAAGUGCAAUUCAUUAGAACAUUCAGCAGCCAAUCAUUCUCACUGUCUACUAAGAGUACAUCCCGGGGCAAGGGCCAUAUAACACACAUGUGCUCCCAAAUAUUCCGAGCAUGGCUGCUGGAAACCAAUGCAUGGAAGGAACUUUCAUCUUCGAUACCGCACAAUGUAAAGAUUUGAUAACCCAUAAGUAUAGGGGAUCAAUUGUAGCCUUUUUUUGAUAAGUAAGAGUGUCGAACCCAACGAGGAGCUAAAGGUAGAAUUAAUAUUCUCUCAAGUUCUAUCGACCACCGAUACAACUCAACACACACUUAACAUUUGCUUUACCUAGAACAAGAAUAAAACUACUUUGUAGGUGUAAUAGGAUAAGUUUGUAAGAAUAAAACUAGAAGUACUUAGCGGGAUAAUAAAAGUUAGGUUGUUUUAAUAGAGAGCAUUUUGUAACACAAAGAGAAAGAUUGUCCAUUGGCAAUUGAAUAUAACACGAUAGAUACUUAUCAUAUGCAAUGAGGGAGAGGCAUGCGCUAACAUACUUUCCGUACUUGGAUCACAUGUUCUUAUUAUUGGAACUCUAGAAAGCAUCCGCAACUACUAAAGAUCAUUAAGGUAAAACCCAACCAUAUCAUUAAGUAACAAGUCCUCUUUACUCUCAUACGCAACAACCCCCUUUCUCGGGUUUAAGGUUAUGUCUCGCAACCCACUAUAAGCGAAUCAUGAAUGUAUUGCAACACCGUACAACGGUUAUCCCACACGCUUGCGCGACACAGAGGGCAUCAUAGGACAGCACCAUAUUAACAUUAAACUCAUAUCAGUCACACCAUACCACAAUUAACCCGUAGGACAAAAUAAAUCUACUCACAUUAUAUGAUUGCCACACAUCAUUGGAUAAUAACAUAUACUAUUAAGCACCAUGUUCAAGUACAUAAUUACAACGGGAACAGAGAGGUUACACCACUGCAUAGAGUUGUUGGUGUAGAUCGCCGUCACGAUGAUUUCCCCGGUGGAGCUCCGGCAACACCGGAAGAGAAGGGGCAGAGCCCCCCUCCUUCUUCUUCUUGCUUGGCCUCCCCCAUAGAUGGGAGGAGGGUUUUCCCACUGGUCCAUGGCCGCCAUGGCUCUCGGAGGGCAGGAGCCCCUCCGAGAUUGCAUCUCUCUCUGUGUUUCUCUUCUGUUUUUCAUUUAUUUUUGGACACCUUCACCGUUUUUUAUAUUCCCGAAGAUCCAUAACUCCAUUGGGAUGAAAUUUUUAGGGGAUUUUUGUCUAGAAAUUAUCUUUCUUGCGGCGAAAGAAGGGCUCCAAUUGAGGUAAGAGGGCGUCACAAGGCAACACAGCGCGCCCUGGGGUAUCGUCUUGCAUUGAUUCUUCUUCCCAAAAAUCACAUAUAUUCCAAAAUAAACCUUAGCAAAAUUUUAUCUUGUUUGGAAUUCAUUUGAUAUGGAUAUUCUGCGAAACAAAAAAACAUGCAAAGAAAAGGAACCGGCACUGGGCACUGGAUCAAUAUGUUAGUCCCAAAAACAAUAUUAAAUGUUGCCAAAAGUAUAUAAAAGUUGUAGAAUAUUGGCAUGAAAUAAUCAAAAAUUAUAGAUACGACAGAGACGUAUCAAGGUUCCACGUCUAGCCAGGUGCCGGUUUGCCUUGUCGAGCGUGGCCCACACACCGACAUCCACGUAGUGAUCUUCAUCUUUUGCGGUACAACUGCUUUCCAAAUACAGUUCCAUAACGACCGCUCACCAUGCGGUGAGCUACUUGAUGCACCAUGCGGUAAUCAUGUUCAGUUGUCGCUAAUCUAUAUGCACUCUUCAGACCGUGGGUAGUAACAUAUAUAGGGUUCAACUCAGCAAAUUUACUUAUGUGGUAAUGAUUUAAUGAGGAGAGAGAUGAUUUUAGUAACAUAGCUCGUUAUUUACACUAUGGGUAACACCACACAUAUCAAGACAAGAUGAGUCUAUAAUCUAAUAAAAGAAGUGUUGCAUGACACCACACUUAUGUUAGGCCCCACUAUGGGUAGUCUCACUGUAAAAUUUCCAGAUUUCUAAGGAUUCCCAGCGAAGAAGUCACUUUGUUGUCUUGGAGAUGUUCGAAUUUUUAUAAUCUCCUGAACAUCAUCACCCAAAAAUGAGUAUUAAGCAUGUCAAUGUUCCAGCUUCCGUUAUCAUCCAAGAAAUCGGCCACCCGGUUAAACCGACAAUUACGGUUCAGAGUAACUGGGCCAAAAGAGGAACACCUCGGAAUCCAUGGAUCUCGCCAAGUUCUGAUCAUGGCGCCAUUCCCAACCCUCGAAAUAAUGCCCUUCUUCACCAGCUCCAAUCCCCUUCCAAACAGCCGAGGAGGUACGUGAAAAAAAUAGUGUCCAAAAGGUUCCCAGUCGGACAGUAUUUUGCAUGGAGGAGAUGAGCACACAAACUGUUAGGUGCAUCCAGCAAACCGCCACACUUGUUUAUCAAGUAAUGCUUGGUUGAAAGCCCUAAUAUCACGGAAGCCCAUACCACCGUUAGAACUGGGUAAUAUCAUUUUUUCCCAACUAAGCUAGGCCAUCUUAUGCUUUCCCUUCUCGACCACCACCAAUAUUGCCUCAUCAAUCGUGUAAGAUCAGCACAUACUGAGGCAGGAAGACGGAACACACUCAUCACAUAUGAAGGGAUAGCUUGGGCCACCGCCUUAAUAAGAAUAUUUUUAUUUCCAGAAGACAAGUAUUGUUCACUCCAAUCCAAUGGACAUUUACUCAACACCGCUUGAACGGUUUCAAAUCUACCCUUGUGCAUCCUCCCUUCCGGCACUGCAAGGCCCAAGUACUUAGGCUCAAACACUUCAUUUGUGAUACCUAGAAUAUUUUUUAUCUCCAUGGAAAUCGUAGGUAAGCAAUUUUCAGAAAAAAUAAUAGAACAGUUGGUAGGGUUAAUGUGUUGGCCCGUGGCUGAGGCAUAAGUGCUCAAACCAUCCUUAACCAAACAUGCCUGUUGCUCAGAAGCUUGAAUGAAUAACAAUGAGUCAUCCGCAAAUAGAAGAUGUGAAAUAGUUUGCGCCCUUCGGCAUAUCAAUCCCUCCUCCGCCAUGGACUUGCUGAUCAGUGCAGACAAUGCGCCAGCAACAAAGAGAAAUAAAAACAUGGACAAAGGAUCGCCUUGGCGAAGUCCCUGCGAAGGGGUAAAAGACUCGAGUAAUUUUCCACUAAACUUUAUGCAAUAUUUCAGCGAAGUAACACAAGCCAUAAUACGAGAAAUCCAUGAUGUAGUAAAACCCCACUUACAUAGGGCUUACACAAGAAACACAUAGUCGGCGCGAUCAUAUGCCUUCAAUAGGUCAAGCUUGUAAGCACAUAAUGCCAGAUUAUCCUCUCACAGAGAUAGAAUAUGAUGAAUCACUCAAAAACAAAGAUGGAAUUAUCUGAAAUAUGUCUACGUGGAAUGAAAGCACUUUGGUUUUUAGAGAUAAGAUCCAUCAUCAAAGGCCUUAGCCUAUUCACCAUGCAUUUUGACACAAUUUUGUAAACCACAUUGCAAAGACUGAUGGGAUGAAAAUCAUUUAUGUCCUUAGGUUGCGGAACCUUUGGAAUUAUAACUAUCGCCGUAUCAUUCACUCCCAUAGGCAUAAUCCCUAUCACAAAAAAACCACUGAACAGUCGCACAACAUCUGAUUUAAGCAUUGCCCAGUUAUAAUGAUAGAAACGAGCUGGAAAACCAUCCAUACAUGGGGCCUUAAUAGGGUCGAUCUGGAAAAGAGCAUCAAAGAUCCCCUUCUCUUAGAAAGGUGCGCACAAGACCUCGUUCAUCUGCACUGUCACCUUAGGCUCAAUACACUCUAAAACUGCCUCUGGGGAGAGGGUUGGGUUGUUGGUACAAACCUCCUUGAAGUAGGAGGCUGCCAUUCGCUCCAUCUUCUAAGGAACAUAGCACCAUGUCCAAUCCAAGUUGCCCAAGCACCGAAUAUAAUUCCUCCUUGCCUGCCAAACAUCGCGAUGGUGGGGGUAUUUGGUAUUCCGCUCCCCUUCUUCCAGCCAUGUGAUACAUGAGCAUUGCAACCAUAACAUUUCCUCACGGUAUAGUAACUCAUCAAGUUGGUUUCUCUUUUUUUGCAUACUCAUACGAUCUGAUCCAUUAUAUCUAGCUCACCACAGAGCUUCUCUAUGUCAUUGUUGAUAGGAGCAAAAUUCUUUCAGCUCCAAUCCUUCAAACUAUGCAUAAGUGCUCACAACAACUCCGCUACAUAGGAGGAUAGUGGUAUCCCUAGCCCACCAGGGUUCAAGUCCUGAUACUCGCAUUUAUCCUGGAUAUAUUUCAGGAUUUCCGAUGAUGCGCGUUCAGUGGGAGGAUACGUUCCCGUCGACUACGAGGCGUCUACGAUGAGUUUGUAAAAUCUCAAGAUGAUAUGUGACUCAGUCUCCCAGAUGUGCUCAUAAGGGUAGGAUGUGUGUGUGUGCGUUCAUAGGGGUGAGUCUAUGCGCACAUAUAUGAGCGCUUAUGUCUGUACUGUGUUAAAACAAGUACUGGACAUUGUGACCUGCCUGGACAUUGUGACUCACUGGAGACCUGGCGGGCGGAUCCGAUGGACGACAAGGCCGAAGGCCCAGGAGGCUAGCUUAUACUCUGGUGGGCUGGCUUAAGGAGAAAGGGAUGACGAAUAUUUCCUUUACGAGGGAGCAAGACCCGGACUUGUAUUCAACUUGUAAGAAAAGAUAGACUAGUCCUAGUCCUACUAGGACUCCGCAUGUAACCCGCCCCUCUAACUUAUAUAAGGAGGGGCAGGGUACCCCAAAGAGGGACAAGCAAGAAACAAUAAUGUCUAGGGCUAGACACAACUAAAGGAGAGCCGGCUUAUGCGGCGUCUCCCUGAUGAGCAUAAUGAGAUCUAGCCACAAACAGCAUGUAGGGCUAUUACCGGAUGAUGUUUCCCGGGGCCUGAAGCUGUCUAAAUCCUUGUCUUGUGUUGCGUCUCUCGAUUCCAACCAACCCCUCUCAAGCUACCACAUAGAUGCACUGGCCUCGCGACUAAGUCCUGACACUAAGGACAUUUGCCGUGACAAUUCCACGACACUACCUAAGCCUUUUUCCCUUGGGAGUCGCGCUCCCGAGGGUCAUCUUUAUUUUACCCCCCUGGGCCAGUGCUCCUCUGAGUGUUGGUCUAAACUAGAGCCCUUUGCAGCGCCACCUCGGGGAAACUUGAGGCCUGGUUUUAGUUGUACGGAUUGCUCAUCUGAUGUGCCCUGAGAACGACAUAUGUGCAGCUCCUAUCGGGAUUUGUCGGCACAUUCGGGCGGCUUUGCUGGUCUUGUUUUACCAUUGUCGAAAUGUCUUGUAAACCGGGAUUCCGAGACUGAUCGGGUCUUCCCGGGAGAAGGAAUAUCCUUCGUUGACUGUGAGAGCUUAUAAUGGGCUAAGUUGGGACACCCCUGCAGGGUAUUAUCUUUCGAAAGCCUUGCCCGCGGUUAUGUGGCAGAUAGGAAUUUGUUAAUGUCCAGUUGUAGAGAACUUGACACUUGACUUAAAUAAAAUGCAUCAACCGCGUGUGUAACCGUGAUGGUCUCUUUUCGGCGGAGUCCGGGAAGUGAACACGGUUUUGGGUUAUGUUUGAACGUAAGUAGUUUCAGGAUCACUUCUUGAUCAUUGCUAGUCUCACGACCGUUCCGUUACUUCUCUUCUCGCUCUUAUUUGCGUAUGUUAGCCACCAUACAUUGCUUAGUCGCUGCUGCAACCUCACCACUUAUCCUUUCCAUACCCUUUAAGCUUUGCUAGUCUUGAUACCCAUGGUAAUGGGAUUGCUGAGUCCUCGUGGCUCAUAGAUUACUACAACAAUAGUUGCAGGUAUAGGUUUUGCGAAGAUCAUGACGCGAGAGCGAUGUUACUUGUUUUGGAGUUCUUCUUCUGCUUCUUCUUCAAUCAGGGGAUAGGUUCCAGGUCGGCAGCCUGGGCUAGCAGGGUGUAUGUUGUUUGAGUUUCUGUUUGUGUUUCAUCCGUAGUCGGAUGUUGAUCUUAUGUAUGAUGUAUUGGUGUAUUCUUGGGGCGUUUGUGCCUUUUGUAUGUUUCCCCAUCUAUUAUGUAAUGUUGAUGUAAUGAUAUCCACCUUGCAAAAAGCGUUUCAAUAUGCGGGUCUAUCCUUGGUGGGACCUUCGAGUUCCUCUCGGAUAGGGUCGCAUAUUGGGCGUGACAAGUUGGUAUCAGAGCCUCGACCGACCUUAGGAGCCCCCCUUGAUUGAUUGUAUAGUUUGGCCGUUGUUGAGUCUAGAAGAAAACUGUUUUUCGGAGUCUAGUUAUAUCGGAGAGUAGGAAUUCUUUUUACUCCUCAGCCCCUUCGUCGCUCUGGUGAGGAAUCUUGACGUAGGUGUUUCGACUUACUUCUCUUCCCCUUCAAUUUUUCUUUAGGAUCACGCGGAUAGUUUUCAUUCGUUGUCCAUCCUCUUUUCAAUCCGGCGCAUUUUUUCUUCGAGUGGUUUCGCUCCUCGCCAUCUUUUGCAAGAUCAGUCCUCAGUGCUUUCUCAACCGACGUUGUUUCCCCAUCAGAAGUUGUCCUUGUCUUUCCCACCCGCCCACCCUUCUUCUUCUUUGAGCCGGAGUCCGUGAUCGAGUAUCCAUCCUACUCGUGUGAAGCCUUUGCAUUCUUUCCUCAAGUAUUUAAACUCUUCAAGCUAUUCGUCGGUUCUCCCUUUCAAGUUGCCUUUGUUUCCCGCCCUCCCACCCUCUUUUUCCCGGAGCUUGAGUCUCUUUCGAGCAUCAAUUUCAUUCGUGUGGAGUAUCUUCAGUCUUUCCUCAGUUGUCUCAACCGGUGAAUUCUCGCCUAGUUAAUCAUUGUUCGUCUCAUUUCCUUUUCCGGUGGAUUCAAUUCCAAUUUUCGGUAGUGAUUAUAUUCUUUCCUCGGCUCAAAUGUUUCCCGUUGCUCGUUCCCCUCUCGUCAUUUAAUCGUUCCGGAGUGAUGAAGACAUCUCAGGAGAUUUGUCUGUGUUCGAAUUAAUCCGAGGUUAUCACCUCAUUCAAAUAUUUCAAUUGUUCCGGUGCAUCAUCUAUCUCUGCAACAAUAUUUUUCAACGGUGUUUCUUUUUAGUGGGCCCUAACCCACAGGUCUUUUCCCCGGAUCUUACCUGACUCUUCUGUCGUGGAAUUGUCACGGCAGAUGUCCUCGUGCAAGGACUCAGUCGUGGAGCCAUCGCAACUAGGAAGCUUAAAGGGGUUAAACGGGACAAAGGACACGAGGAUUAUACUGGUUCGGCCCUUUACGGUGAAGGUAAAAGCCUACUCCAGUUGAGGUGGAAUUACUUAGGGUUUCGAUGACCAGGGAGCUUAAUCGCUAUGCCUGGCUUUCGAUCUGAUGUUGCCUGUCCUGAACCGCCGCCGGGUCGUCUCCUUAUAUAGAGAGGUUGACGCCUAGCGGCUCUCAGAGUCCCAGCCGGCUUAUAACAGCAUCCGGCUCGGACUCUUAACUAUUCUUGCCUUACACUACAAGUCUUGCCAUAACGGCGGUUUAUCACUACGGGCCUUAAGCCGCCUCCGGGUCUUAAACCCAUUACUGAACCGCCAUCCUCAAACUUGGUACUGGGCUUCACGUGAUGAUCAUUAUGACAUAACCCGGCCCCUCCUGGGCGGGUGACUCGAAUGGUUAUAUCCUCAACAUUAGGCCCCGGAUUGAUUUGAACCGGUUCAGGUCAAUCUUCAAUACCUUUUAAAAGAAAAUCUUCCGGCUUCUGCUUGUGCGAAGGUUAUAACCCGCCGUGACGUCAUCUUCUGGAUUCUUGGUAACCCGCCAUGACGUCAUCUUCCAUUAAAUUCAUUUUUUAUUCUGCCAUAUCCCAACGGAUCUUAUCUUAAUGACCAUCCUGAGAAUCGAGGCGUUUCUGCGGCAAGAUAAUCAUGUCUUCAGCCUCGUCGUUUCUCGCGCCCAUUUACCAGCCGUCCCUUAUAAAUAGGCCCGGUCCAUAAACCUUUCGCCACUCUUCUCGAUCCAUCGUCUUCCUCCUCUGACGCACCAGAGCUCGAGCUCCUCCGCCGCCGCCGCGCCCCUCGUCUUCCUCAACCUCGGCCGCUGCAUCAUCCUGAAUCGGUCCAGAGAAACGGCGGCGACCUCCGCUGCUCAUUGGCACCAGUAAGUCCUUGCUACUUCGUACAGUAGAUUCGCAUUAGGGUUCCAUGAUUCUUCCCUGUUCUUCGUAGUUUCAUCUCGAUUUCUUCAUAGUCCCUCCACCGAGGCUCCUUUGGAUCCGAAAACGGUACAGACUCCCUGCGGUAGUAGUUUCUCACCCAUUUUUAUGCUAGUAGAUCCCUUUUGCCCGAAAAAAGACCUCAUUUAGACUUUAUGAACUCCUCUGUAUCAGUUUUUUAGGUCUAGAAAUUUUUCCUUUCUGGACGAUCGUUUGAUCCAAAGUAAUCUCUGCAAUCUGUGAAACUUGUUUGUGCAACACUUAGACAAAAACUGCAUCUGUUAGCCAUGGCGGCUCAUAUCGCCGGCUUAAAAGAGACCCUGCUUUGUAAAAUCUCCGGCUCACUCACAAGAGAGUUAAAUAACUUAAAUUGCAUCAGAUAUCCGCAGUGGCUUAGAUAACCUGACACAGUUAGUCAUAUAUCAUUAGGCCCCUUCAUAAACCGCCAUCUUGAAUACUGAACUGAAAUCUUCCUCCGGCUUAAAUUUGAACGGGGAAUUUUCUUUUGCCGUAGGCUUCCAUUUUCCACAAUGCCGCACAAGGCUCCCAAAGCGCCCAUUACAUGCAACUGGGUGAGAUCCAACAUUACUGAUAGCACCUUAGAUGACUUCGUAAAAAUGGUCUACCUGCCUAAGAAGGAGGUCAUGUCCUACCGAGCUCCUGACCCGUUCGAAGAGAGACCUCAACCAAAGGACGGAGAGGUUGUCAUAUUUGCUGACCACAUGAGCCGGGGCUUUGCUCCUUCUGGCUCAAAAUUCUUCAGAGAUGUUCUACACUUUUUCGAUCUGCGACCUCAAGACAUUGGACCCAACUCCGUGUCGAACAUUUGUAACUUUCAAGUGUUCUGUGAGGUAUACCUUGGAGAAGAACCCAGCCUGCUACUCUUUAGGGAGUUAUUUUACCUGAACCGCCAGAAUGAAUGUGCCAACGGGCCUAGCUUGGAACUUGGUGGAAUCUCAAUCCAACGACGGAGAGAUUGCUCUUUCCUUAUGCUGAGCCACCAAGCCACCCGAGGACUGGAACCAGACAUGGUUCUACUGUCAAGAUACUUCUCCGGCUGAUGAGAACCCUCUGCCCGGCUUUCGCGCCCUGCGUCUGGAGUCAAAUCACCCUCUGCCAGACAAAUUAUCUCAAGCUGAGCGUCAACCGCUUAUUCCCACCAUCAACAAAAUCAAAGCUCUUCUGGGAAACGGCCUAAACGGCAUUGAUAUAGUCCGGGUCUGGAUUGCUUGGCGGGUGAUUCCUCUAAGCCGCCGCCCCGGCUUAAUGUGUGAUUACACGGGCCGGAAGGAUGAUUCUCUUCGGCACAGCCCUGACAACUUACCUGAGGACAUCGUUGAUGACAUGACCAAGUCUCUUCUGAACGAGAGCUUAGAAGAUUGCGGGAGGACAGGCCUAAGCCCCUUGUGCAAGGCUAACCCGGCCCCGGCGGUAAGCUAUUGACCUGAACACCUUACUUUCCAUUUUAACAAUUUUCGUCUUAACUUCAAGAAACAUUUUUUGUAUUUUUCAGGCUAAUGAUAAGUUCUGGAACGUCAGGUAUGACCAUGAAGCUGCUAAAAAAGCCAGGAAGGUUAAAAAAGCCGCCAGGAGAGCCGCUCCCCGCAAGAAGGGGAGUAAGCCUAGCGCCUCAGAUCUGCUUCACCUGGAAGACACCUCUGAGUCAGAGGUAGCCCUUGAUUCUUUAGGCUCCUUUUUAACCAUCUUAUUGACACUGAUUAUCUGCAAGAGGAUACUGGAGCGAGUAACCCGGUGAUUGAAGAGGUAACUAUACUUUCCUCCGACUCGGAGCCCUUGCCAAGACUGAAAGUCCGAAGUGUAACCUGGAAAGUAAGAUUUUCACAUCCUUUAGCUUAUCAAGAUCCUCAAUUUCUUUUGAAGCGACAGAUUCAUGAGAGUCGGAGGCAGACCCGGACCAGCAAGGAUGCAGACCUCUCCUCCGGCUUACCCGAAGCAUCAAGGAAGCGCCGGACCGAGGUUAUCUCCGACUUAUAUCCUUUUCAUCCUUUGGCGGGCGUCACUCGUCAACCACUCAAUUCUUCUGAUUCAAACUAUCAGGGAACUUCACCUUCCUCUGGCGACUCCAUGCAAUCUAACUUGCCGGCCUUCAAAACCGCACCGGGUAAUGAUAGCUAGCUUCUUUUGUGCUUAUCUUACUCAUGUUUUUGCACUAACCCUUUGACUUUCAGUAUACAAGUAAAGCCCAGCAAGAGGGCGAAGAAAAGUAAGCCGACCGAAGAUCCCCAGCCCCUGAACCGCCAUCUGCACCAGCUCCAGAAACCACCACUGCCCCAUCUGAUGAGCAAGCCAUGGAGGGUUCUGAUAACCCGGAGAUCCCCAGCCCGGCUCAUCCAGAUGACCCGGACGUGGUGAUUACCCGGACCGAAUUUGUUGAACCGGGAAGACCCACCGUGCUGGCUAGGUGCUCUGCCAAGGAGGAACUUCUGGAACGCCGCAGAGCCAGGCUGGACAUUACUAACUAUGCCAAUCUGAGCAUUGAAGAUAUUGUCACUGGCUAUAUUGGCCAAGUGCACAACAGCCGGGACCUGGAGAUUGACAUGGUGAAGCAAAUACAACAAAAAUCUGAGGUACGACUCCCUUGCUUACUCCAUAGUCAUCCUUACCAUGCCAGCCCCCAAAUCUAUUACUUAUGAUGGAAUAUGUUGUAGAUUUAAUACCGGCUUAAUAAUUACUGCAAGAAGACCGGCUUCCCUGGUGACACUCACGGGCCGGAUUAAACAACAUAGUUUAACCGGUCUUUACCUUAGGUUAAUCAAGUAGUUGAGCAACUUUACACAUUAGCCCCCAAGUGCCGAGUACCUUUGCCUGCAAAGUGCUGGGGACUUACUUUCAUGAACCGGCACUGUAGAUAGAGCCUUUCAGCAUACAUUAGUCCCCAAGUGCCAAGUGUUUUUGCUUGCAAAAUGCUUGGGACUUAAUAUUGCAUUAUAAUCACCUUAACUGUAACCCGGAAUUUGUACAGGCCGCCUGUAAGAAAUUUGAAUCGGAAAUCUCUGAUCUGAAGAGCCGCCAGAAGACCCAGGAAAGUGAAACCCAAAAAGCCAACUCCAAAUUUGAACUCAGUGUAUCCGCACAAGAGAAACUGAAGAAAAAAUUUGAAGCAGAAAAGAAAGCCUGGGCAGAUGAAAAAGCUGCUUUGCUCAGCCGGGCCGAACAAGCGGAGGCCACUCUUACUGAAAGAACCACCGAGCUCUCCGGCUUAAAACGCCAUGUCUCUCAGAUGGUCUCCGCAAUCUUUGGUAAAUUUCUAACCAGUUUACAUCGUUUAGUUCCCAUAAACAUCUCAAUUGCCAACAACUCACUUGACUUGGUAAUGCAGGUCCCAGGAGUUCCAAUCUCAACCAGAGCGUGCUGACCAAGCUGAAGGCGGUUUACACCUUGGUGGAGCAACUUUACACCGGGUCACAGCGUGCUUUAGCUGUUGUGGCUCUGUCCAAUGAAGUUCCCACUCACCUGGCAGAUGUACUCAGGCGGCUUGCCAUACUUCCUCAGCGCUUCCAAGAGCUGAGACGGGCUUCUGCAAGAGCCGGAGCCAUAGCCGCUCUGAGCCGUGCCAAGGCGUUUCUACCGGAGCUAGACCCGGCUGACAUCGUCCUUGGGUAUCCCAGCUUGAAGGAAGACGGCACCCCCUUUGAACAGAAGGACUUCGCCGCCUGUGUGAAGAGCGUACGCCCUGUGGCCACUUUGAUUGGCAGUGACACAGAUCUUUCCAAAUAUCAGCCGGGCUAUGACACGGAGAAUCAGAGAAUUCCAACACCACGCUAUGAGGCAGUCAGCCUGAUUCCGCCAACUCGUAAGCAUACCUUCGCCCCUGAAGUUGACCCGGCCGGGUUAAUUGAUGAUGAGGCUCAAUUUGAAGCUUUGAGCGGCAUUGACUGGAAAUCAUCAACCUUCCAGGUCAUGGAAACAGCCGGAGGAGCGGAGAGGGAUGAGCCGGUAGCUUCAACCCAACAGGCACUUUAAUUUCUUAGGCGGCUCAUGGUUAUUCCUCAAAACAAUGCCUCACCUUUUGGACUCGGGGAGUCGUGUAAUAGAGUAGAUCGAACACUUAAUUUUGUCGUGCCAUCGUGCACGUGUGCAGCACUUAACUCUGUUUAAGCUACCCUUUUAUAUCCCUCCGGGUUACGUUUGAUCCUCUGCUUUCCUUAAGUUUAAAGAGCUGUCUGUAAUUCCUCUGCAUAGAAAACAAAUCGCAAGUCCCUAGGCGGCUUACCGCAUGGAGAGUCAUAUAUUUUACAUAUAACCCGGAAUAUGAAUCAAAGUCAUAAUAAACUGGCUCACAAUUAUAUCUUAGAGAUAACCAUAACAGCAUACCUGCGAGCUUUCAAGUGAACUUCUGGUUUAUGUAACCCGAAUAAGGAGGUUGAGAACUCAACUCCGGUUUACCAGCACCCAUAAUGCUUAUUGUGUGCUAUCAACAUUAUCAAUCAAGGUUAAACCGGUGGAAUAAGAACCAACCUUGAACACCUUUGAUAUGAUUAAAAGAACUUGUUGCAAACCAAGAGAUCAGAAACUUAAGGGCUUCUGAUUCGAAUACGACCAGAGAACCGUCCCAAAGGGGUUAAGCUAAGAUUCGAAUGCGAUCAUAUAGCCCCCAGUGGCUUUGGCGCUGCCUAUCAAGAGGGUACCGACAGCUAUGUUCUCUUUGGUUCGAAUACGACCUAUGUUUGAACAGGAAGCCCCCAAAUGACCUUGAAAUUUGUUUAACGACACUGAUUCAAAUACGAUCCACGUCGGCUCCCAAAGGGGGUUGAGCUAUGAUUCAAAUAUGAUCAAGAAAAAACUCCCCAAUGAGCUCAGCAAUAUGCCAAUCAAAUGGGUAUCGACAGCUCUGUUCUCUUUGGUUCGAAUACGACCUAUGUUUGAACAGGAAGCCCCCAAGUGAUCAUGUUUUUAACGGCGAGAUUCGAAUACGAUCAUAAGCCGGAUCAACCUCCAAGUGACCAUGUAAUGUUACAAUGAAAAUAACAACGAUACAUUUACCUUGUGAGGAAAAAAGGACAGAGGUCCUGCUUUUUUAUUUAUCACAAUAUAUACAUUGCUAUAGAAAUAUGUACAUUAUGAGAGCCGGUGGCUCAAGUGUAAUAAGGCCGAAGCUGAGCUAUGUUCCACGGGCGGCGGGUCUCCUCCUCCGACUUACGUGAAUCUCUAUGCUCUCGAACAUCGAUAAGGUAGUAUGACCCAUUGUGCAAGUUCUUGCUGACCACAAAGGGCCCUUCCCAAGGUGGGGAUAACUUGUGCGCAUCUGUUUGAUCCUGGAUGAGCCGGAGCACCAAAUCACCUUCCUGAAAGGCCCGGGACUUAACUCGGCGGCUGUGAUAGCGGCGCGGGUCUUGUUGGUAAAUCGCCGAACGAGCUGCUGCUAUGUCACAUUGUUCAUCCAACAAGUCAAGAGCUUCUUGACGCGCCUGCUCAUUGUCUGCCUCGACAUAAGCAGCCACUCGAGGCGAGUCAUGACGGAUGUCGCUAGGGAGGACCGCCUCAGCUCCGUAAACCAUGAAGAAAGGUGUGUAACCCGUAGACCAGUUAGGAGUAGUAUUGAUGCUCCAUAACACGGAAGGUAACUCCUCCACCCAACAACCUGGCGUCCGUUGCAAAGGGACCAAAAGCCGGGGCUUGAUGCCCUUCAAGAUCUCCUGAUUGACUCUCUCAGCCUGACCAUUGGAUUGAGGGUGAGCCACUAAUGAAACAUCGAGCCGAAUAUGCUCUCGUUGACAAAAUUCCUCCAUGGCGCCUUUAGACAGAUUGGUGCCAUUGUCAGUUAUAAUGCCGUGUGGAAAACCAAAGCAAAAUAUCACCCUUUUCAUGAACUGAACCGCUGUGGCCGCGCCACACUUACUAACUGGCUCUGCCUCAACCCACUUUGUGAACUUGUCGACCGCCACCAGGAGGUGGGUCUUCUUAUCCUUGGACCUUUUAAAAGGCCCAACCAUAUCAAGCCCCCAGACCGCAAAUGGCCAAGUGAUUGGAAUCAUCCUCAACUCUUGAGCCGGCACAUGAGCCCAUCGCGAGAACCUCUGACAACCGUCACAUUUACUGACCAAGUCCUCUGCAUCAGCAUGAGCCGUCAGCCAAUAAAAACCAUGACGAAAAGCCUUGGCCACAAGGGAUUUUGAGCCGGCAUGAUGGCCGCAAUCCCCCUCGUGAAUCUCACGUAAAAUUUCUUGACCUUCCUCAGGGGAAACACAACGCUGGAAAGUUCCAGUGACACUGCAACGAUGCAGCUCGCCAUUGAUAAUUGUCACUGACUUAGACCGCCGGGUUAUUUGUCUGGCCAAAGUUUCAUCCUCAGGCAAUUCUCCCCGGGUCAUGUAAGCCAAGUAUGGUACUAUCCAAUCUGGGAUAACGUGGAGAGCCGCCACCAACUGUGUUUUCGGGUCAGGAACAGCCAAGUCUUCCUCUGUAGGCAACUUAACAGAAGUGUUGAGGAUAUAGACCUUAGAGUCACCCGCAAGGAGGGGCCGGGUUACUCAUAAUGGUCAUUGCCAGAAGCCCGGCGCUAAGCUCGAAGACGGUGGGCCAAAGAUGGGCUUAAGACCCGGAUAUGGCUUAAGGCCCGUAGUUACAAUCAUUAUUAUGGUAGAACUUGUAGUGUAAGGCAAGAAUAGUUGAGAGUCCGAGCCGGACACUCUUAUGAGCCGGCCGGGACUCUGAGAGUUGCUGGGCGUCAGCCCCCUAUAUAAAGGGACGACCUGGCGGCGGUUUAGGGACAAGAAAGAUCUGACCGAGAGCCAGGCAUAGCAGUUAAGCUCCCUGGUCAACGAAACCCUAAUCAAUACCACCUCAACUGGACGUAGGCUUUUACCUUCACCGUAAGGGGCCGAACCAGUAUAAACCCUCGUGUUCCUUGUCCCGUUAACCCCUUCAAGCUUCCUAGCGGCGAUGGCUCCACGACUAAGUCCUAGCUUGAGGACAUCUGCCGUGACAAUUCCACGACAGUUGGCGCCCACCGUGGGGCCACCGCACGAUGGAUUUGAGUUCUUGAAGGGCAGCUUCGAAGGGCUCAAGGGAUACGUUGUGGGCCGGAUGACCAAGAGUCGUUGCGGCAAGCUCUACAUCGACGAUGCAAACUGGGGCCCCUACGCCGGCUCAAUUGAGUACGGGUACCGGGUCCCCUUCGGCGGAAUUCAUGUUUUCAUUGGCAAGAUUGGUGAGCCGGGCCCUGAGUCGGAUCUCUGCGCCGAUCUCAUCGAGACGGCUCAGCGCGCACGACCCGCCCGGGCCCGGCCUGCCUGAAAGCAUGCUUUUGUGGGAUGUAUCCAUGGAGGGCUCUCUGAUCGAUCUGGAUCUGGUGAUGAGACGGCCGCCGGCUCUGAUGGCGAGUCGUCCACAGAUGAGUCAAACUCGUUGUAUCAACUUCAAGAUGGCAGGCUCAUGGGUUGUUCCGAUGGUGAUAGUAUUCCGGACCCGUUUGAGCCGCCAAGUCAGAUUGGAGUCUUUAUGGCCGGUGCACAGCCUGUUCAGAACCCUGCUGCUGGAGCGGGAAACCCGGUGCCCUCGCCGGCUCAGGUGCUGAUGGAUCUCACGGACAAGAUGACGGCCCUGUUAACUGCCGCGGUUGACCCGGCGGAUCAAGCUCAGCAUGAUGCGGAGGUGGCGCAAUUAAAGUUAGAUCUAGUGAAAGCUAAGGAGGACCUGGCAGCGGAAGGGAUCAGGAUGGCUGCGGAGAGGGCGGCUCUUGACGCCCAAACACAAUUGAUCUAGGCGCAGUCUUUCCGGCUCACGAUGGAUCAGAACACGUCCAAUGAGGUCAUGAGAAGGAGGCAUCAGAAGGCCCAAUCUCGGCUCCCUCCGGUUUACGAUCCACGAAACCUCUUCAACACACCAGGUGCAGGGUCUAGUAACCCGCCAGGGGUCAUAGUGCCCGGGUCUGGGACCCCUAUUCAGCCACAAGUGAUGGGGCCUCCCCAGGUGCCCCCUGCCCCGCCUCAGUACGUGCCAAUACCACCGGGUCAUUAUGCCAACCCGCUGGAGAACAUGGUCGCCGCGGCAGCACGGCUGGCGGCUCUCCCAAUUGACGGCGACUCUCCGACGGCUAUUGAAACCCGCCGGGUCAGGGAACUCCUUCAGACAGCACUGGCGCAACAAGAGGCGUACUCCUACAGCCGGGACAGGAUCCACUCGACCCCUCGUCCAGGCCGGAGCCCGAGUUACAGCAGACACAUGGUCUCAGCGACCGGCUUAAGUAACGUCCGACGCCAUGACCCGCCCCCUACCCAUGGCCCGGCUCAUAGCGGAGCCUUUCACGCAGCAAACCAAGACAGAGUGCGGCAAGAGGCGGAGCAGGUGCCUCAGUUGACGGCUUACCAGACUCCCCCGGCUUACCCGACGACGUCUGUCGACGUGGGUAUCCCUAACAGGACUGGGGGUGUCCCUUGUUUAGUACCAGCUAUCCACAAUGAACGUCUACCCAAGGACUUCAAAGGCCCUAGGAAGGUGCCUAAUUACACGGCUGACUUACAGCCCGCAGCCUGGAUCGAGAUUUACGAGAUGGCCAUGGAACUGCUGGAGGUCAGUGAGGCGGCAAUGGCCAAGUACUUCACCAUGAUGUUAGAUGGGACUGCCCGCACUUGGUUGAAAGGGCUACCACCAAAUUCCAUCGGGUCUUGGGCUGAGCUGAAAGCCCGGUUCAUCCAAAACUUCAAGGAUACCUGUAGGCAGUCUAUGUCAAUUGUGGAUUUGAGUAACUAUAAGCAGCAGAAGGGUGAAUCCACGACACAUUGGGUUCGCCGGGUCAAGGAGAUCAUACAUUCAUCAGAUAAGAUGGAUGCCGGCUCUGCAGUCUUAAUAUUGGAGCAGAAUUGUCGUUUUGUGCCCCUGAAGAUGAAACUCGGGUGGCUUAAGCGCGACUGCAAUGAUAUGGGUACACUGAUGGCGGCUCUUGUCAAGUACGCCGAUUCUGAUGGUACCAAAGACCCCGCUUCAGAUGAUGAAAGGACAGGGAAGGGAAAGAAGAAUGGCAAUGGCAAGGGUCCUCAGCAUAACCCGGGGAAUCAAGGAUGUGAGAAGCGCAAGGCCGAUGGCAGCCUAGAGUUUGUAGCCAAUGCCAGCUCACAGGGUAAUAACCAGCGACGCAAGGGAAGGCCCCCUCCCCGAGCCGGCGGGUCAGGCCCGACGCUGGAGCAGCUGUUGAAUGAGCCUUGUCCAAGGCAUGGCUCUAGAGAGAAGCCACCUACCCAUCUAUGGAAGGAUUGUGCAAUCAUGAAGGCCUUUAAAAAUUACAAUGGCCCGGGCGGCGGCUCAGGCGCCGGCGGUUUUCAUGGCCCGGGCGGUGGCUCAAAUUCUAAUCCUCGGAACGGUCAAGGGGGUUUUAAUCAGCAGUCUGGCCAGGGUCAUCAACAGCAGCAGGGGGGUUAUCAGACCAAUCCAAAGCAGCUUAGCGGUGGACAGUAUCAUGUGUUUACCACCAGUCUGUGUAAGCGAGAUCAGAAGCCUCAUAAGAGGGCUGUGAAUGCUGUUGAGCCGGCGGUUCCACGCUACUUGCGGUGGUCUGAGCAGCCUAUAGUGUGGAGUAGGGAGGAUCAUCCUCCCCGGGUGGAUAAUCCGGGUCACUUGGCCUUGCUGGUGGCUCCUCAGGUGGGAGGAUAUAAGUUCACUAAGGUGCUCAUGGAUGGAGGCAGCAGCAUCAACAUCCUCUAUUAUGAGACGUUCCGUCGUAUGGGGUUGAUUGAUAAGAACCUCAGCUAGUCAAACACUAUUUUCCACGGUGUGGUGCCUGGUAAGUCGGCUUACCCAGCCGGCAAGAUCGAGUUGGAAGUGGCCUUUGGAGAUGAGCACAACUACAGGGUGGAAAAAUUGACCUUUGAGGUGGUCAAGAUAAGAAGUCCGUACCAUGCCAUAUUUGGGCGGCCGGCUUACGCCAAGUUCAUGGCACGGCCGUGUUACGUGUAUUUACAGCUCAAGAUGCCGGGUCAUAAUGGGACCAUUACGGUUCAUGGAAGCCGGAAGGUGGCCCUGGAGUGUGAGGAAGGCGGUGCAGCUUAUGCAGAAUCUGUUUGUGCAACAGAGGAGUUAAAGUUUUACGAAGACAACGUUGACCCAACAGAUAUGACCUCUCUGAAAAAGCCGACUACGGAGCAUGAGCUGGCAAUGAAAUUCAAGUCAGCUGAUGAGACUAAACUUGUUGAUUUCGUUCCAAGAGAUUCAUCUCAGCAGUUUAGCAUCAGUGCCAAUCUGGAUCCAAAAUAGGAAAGCCCGCUCAUCGAGUUCAUCCGUGAGAAUAGGGACAUCUUCGCGUGGAAACCUUCUGACAUGCAAGGUGUACCUAGAGAACUCGCUGAGCACACUCUCAAUGUUGAUUCGAAAUUUAAGCCGGUCAGGCAGUUCCUUCGGCGGUUCAAUGAGGAGAGGCGGGAAGCUAUUGGUGAAGAGGUGGCCCGGCUCUUGGCGGCCGGGUUUAUUGUUGAAGUCUUUCACCCAGAGUGGUUAGCUAACCCGGUCCUCGUACUCAAGAAGAACGGCACUUGGCGGAUGUGUGUGGACUACACGGACUUAAACAAGGCGUGUCCGGCUGAUCCUUUUGCCCUUCCCCGUAUUGACCAAAUUAUUGAUGCUACGACAGGUUGUGCGCGCUUAAGUUUCUUGGAUGCUUAUUCCGGUUAUCAUCAGAUCAAAAUGGCAGUUAAGGACCAGGAGAAGACGACGUUCAUCACUCCCUUUGGAGCCUUCUGCUAUGUAUCUAUGCCCUUUGGACUCAAGUGUGCACAGGCAACUUAUCAGCGUUGCGUGCAGAACUGUCUUCAUAACCAGAUUGGGUGCAAUGUUCAUGCUUAUGUGGACGAUAUUGUGGUUAAAUAUAUAAAGGAGGAAACCCUGAUAGAUGAUUUGAGGGAAACCUUUGAUAAUCUCCGGGUUUACAAGAUGAUGCUUAACCCGGCCAAGUGUGUUUUUGGUGUUCCUGCAGGCAAACUCUUGGGUUUCUUGGUUUCUGACAGAGGCAUUAAAGCUAACCCGGAGAAGAUCAAGGCCAUCACCUCCCUGGCUAAGCCGGCGUGUAUAAUGAUGUUCAGCGCUUGGCUGGUCGCAUCGCUGCUUUAAGCCGGUUUAUAAGCCGUUUGGGUGAGAAGGCCAUGCCAUUAUAUCAGUUGAUGAAGAAAACUGAUAACUUUGUCUGGAAUGGUGCAGCUGAUACUGCCUUUGAGGAUUUGAAGAAGCAGCUGGCAGAGCCCCCAGUCCUUGCUGCUCCGGUUGAUAAGGAGCCCUUAUUACUAUAUGUGGCGGCGAACACACGAGCUGUCAGUGUGGCUGUGGUGGUGGAGCGCAAGGAAGAGGGUAAGGAGCAUCCGGUUCAGCCGCCGGUUUAUUAUGUCAGCGAAGUUCUCAUCGAGUCCAAACAGCGGUAUCCACAUUGGCAGAAGCUUGUUUAUGGUGUGUUCAUGGCGAGCCGGAAGCUUAAGCAUUAUUUCCAGGGUCAUCCCAUCACUGUGGUUAGUUCGGCUCCUCUUGGUGAUAUCAUUCAAAACAGAGAGGCCACAGGAAGAGUAGCUAAGUGGGCCAUAGAGCUCGGACCUCAUGGUCUCAAAUACGUGCCACGCACUGCUGUUAAAUCUCAGGCCUUGGUGGAUUUCAUCAAUGAUUGGACAGAGUCACAAGUGCCUGAGCAAAAGCCGGAUAACACAUAUUGGACUAUUCACUUUGAUGGGUCCAGGCAGUUGGAGGGCUCGGGGGCUGGAGUCGUAUUGGCUUCCCCUAAGGGUGAUAAGUUCCAUUAUGUGCUACAAUUGAUGUUUCCUUGUACCAACAACGUAGCUGAGUACGAGGCCUUGCUCCACGGUCUUCGAAUGGCUAAGGAGAUGAGCUUGAGCCGGGUAAGGUGUUUCGGUGACUCAGACUUGGUGGCUCAACAAGUAUCAGGGAAGUGGGACUCUAAGGACCCUCUCAUGGCGGCUUAUCGCCGCGAAGUUGAUGCCAUUGCUGGGCACUUUCAGGGCUACCAAGUAGAGCACAUUGAUCGCAGGAAGAACAAGGCGACUGAUGCCCUAAGCCGGCUGGGCUCUCAGCGAAAGCCGUUGCUACUUUCCUGGAUGUCCUGUAUAACCCUUCUGUUAAGUUGCCUACAGAGGAAGACUUGGCUGUCCCUGACCCGGAGGCACGACUGGUGGCGGCUCUCCACAUCAUACCGGACUGGACAAUGACCUAUCUGGCUUACAUGACCCGGGGAGAGUUGCCUGAGGAUGAAACUUUGGCCAGAAAAAUAACCCGGCGGGCUAAGUCAAUGAUUGUUAUCAAUGGCGAGUUGCAUCACCGCAGUGUUAUGGGAGCAUUCCAGCGUUGUGUCUCCCCUGAGGAAGGUCAAGAGAUCUUGUGUGAGAUUCAUGAAGGGGAUUGUGGCCAUCACGCCGGCUCAAAAUCUCUUGUGGCCAAGGCUUUUCGUCAUGGUUUUUAUUGGCUGACGGCUCAUGCUGAUGCGGAGGACUUGGUCAGUAAAUGUGAUGGUUGCCAAAGGUUCUCACGACGGGCUCAUGUGCCAGCUCAGGAGCUGAGGAUGAUCCCAAUUACUUGGCCCUUUGCGGUCUGGGGGCUUGAUAUGGUUGGGCCUUUUAAAAGGUCCAAGGAUAAGAAGACCCACCUCUUGGUGGCAGUUGACAAAUUUACCAAGUGGGUUGAAGGGAGCAAGUUAGCAAGUGUGAUGCAGCCACGAUGGUUCAAUUUAUGAAAAAGGUGAUUUUUCGCUUUGGCUUUCCGCACAACAUUAUAACUGACAAUGGCACCAAUCUAUCCAAAGGCGCCAUGGAAGAGUUUUGUCAACGAGAGCAUAUCCAACUUGAUGUUUCCUCGGUGGCUCAUCCUCAAUCCAAUGGUCAAGCUGAGAGAGCUAAUCAGGAGAUUCUGAAGGGCAUCAAGCCCCGGCUUUUGGUCCCUUUGCAAUGGACGCCGGGUUGUUGGGUGGAGCAGUUGCCCUCCGUGUUAUGGAGCAUCAACACUACUCCUAACAGGUCUACAGGUUUUACGCCUUUCUUCAUGGUUUAUGGGGCAGAAGUAGUCCUCCCCAGUGACAUCCGUCAUGACUCGCCUCGAGUGGCGGCUUAUGUUGAGGCGGAUAAUGAGCAGGCGCGCCAAGAUGCUCUCGACUUGUUGGACGAACAGCGGGAUGUGGCAGCAGCUCGCUCAGCGAUUUACCAACAAGACCUGCGCCGUUAUCAUAGUCGCCGGGUUAAAUCCCGGGUCUUCCAGGAAGGCGAUCUCGUGCUCCGGCUCAUCCAAGAUCAAACAGAUGCGCACAAGCUAUCCCCGCCUUGGGAAGGGCCCUUUGUGGUCAGCAAGAAUUUGCACAACGGGUCAUAUUACCUCAUUGACAUUCGGGAGCACAAAGAUUCACGUAAGUCGGAGGAAGAGACCCGUCAGCCAUGGAACAUAGCUCAGCUUCGGCCUUACUACACUUGAGCCACCGGCUCUCAUAAUGUACAUAUUUCUCUCAGCCAUGUAUAUAUUAUGAUAAGCAAUAAAGCAGGACCUCUGUCCUUUUUUCUCCUCCAAAUGUGCAUGUGUUGUUUUCAUUGCAAGAUUACAUGAUAACUCGAAGGAGGAUCCGGCUUAUGAUCGUAUUCGAAUCUAGCCGUCGGUAAUAAGGUCACUUGGGGGCUUCCUGUUCAAACAUGGGUCGUAUUCGAACCAAAGAGAACAUAGCUGUCGAUACCCAUUUGAUUGGCAAAGUGCCGAGCUCAUUGGGGAGUUUUCUUUGAUCAUAUUUGAAUCUUAGUUAACCCCUUUGGGAGCCGACGUGGAUCGUAUUCGAAUCAGCGUCGUUAAACAAAUCUUAAAAUCACUUGGGGGCUUCCUGUUCAAACAUUGGUCGUAUUCGAACCAAAGAGAACAUAGCUGUCGGUACCCUCUUGAUUGGCAUCGCCACACCCACUGGGGGCUAUAUGAUCGCAUUCGAAUCUUAGCAUAACCCCUUUGGGACGGGUCUCUGGUCAUAUUCGAACUGGAAGCCCCUAAGUUUUUCUGACUUGUCACAAGUUCUUCUGAUUAUGUCAAGUAUGCACGGCCGGGUCGCACUUUGCCGGCUUAACUUUGAUUUGCAGUACUAGUCGAACACAAUUGGCGUUAGUAAGACUGGUAAACCGGAAUUGAGGUACCAACCUCAUAGCCCGGGUUAUCUAAGCCGACAGUGUACUUGCAGGCUGGUAAGUGUGUUGUUACGAUUAUAUCAAGGACAUCAUUGAGGGCCAGUCUUUGGUGAAUCAUAUUCCGGGUUAUAGGCAUAAGACUAUGAUUCUCCAUGCGGUAAGCCGCCUCGAGACUUGUGAUUUGUAUUUUCUUGCAGGGUAGUUAAAGACAACUAUUUCAGCUUAAGGAAUAUGACUGAUCAACUGUAACCCGGAGACAUAUAAGGAAGCAACUUUCAUAAGGAUUCAGCAUUCAACACGUGCACGAUGGCACAACACAGUUAAAGUGUUGACCCUAUUCUAUUACAAGACUCGUUGAGUCCAAAAGGGUGAAGCAUUGUUUCACAUAAAUCGUCUACAGAGUUAAGACGCUUGCUGGGUUGAAGUCUCCGGCUCAUCCCUCUCUUCUCCUCCGGCUGUUCCCAAGGUCUGGAAAGUCGACGACUUCCAGUCGAUGCUGCUCAGAGCUUCGAAUUGAGCUUCCACGUCAAUUAACCCCGCCGGGUCAAUCUCCGGGGCGAAGGUCUGCUUGCGAGUCGGCGGGAUUAAGCUGAGGGCCUCAUAGCGCGGAGUGGGGAUCCUCUGAUUCUCUGCAUUGUAACCCGGUUGAUACUUAGUCAGAUCUGUAUCAUUGCCAAUCAGAGUGGCCACCGGGCGUACGAUCUUCACGCAAGCUGCGAAGUCCUUCUGGUCGAAGGCGGUGCCGUCUUCCUUCAAACUGGGGUAGCCCAGAGCGAUGUCCGCCGGGUCUAGCUCUGGAAGGAACGCCUUAGCCCGGCUUAGAGCCGCUAUGGCUCCGGCUCUUGCAGAGGCCCGUCGCAGCUCUUGGAUGCAUUGAGGAAGAACGGCGAGCCGGCGAAGAACCUCAGCCAGGUGAGUCGGCACCUCGUUGGAUAGGGCCACCACAGCCAGAGCACGCUGUGACCCGGUGUAGAGUUGCUCCACCAGGGUGUACACGGCUUUCAGCUUGGUUACCACGCUUUGGUUGAGGUUGGCGCUUCUGGGACCUGUUUAACAGAAUAAGAUAAGCCGCCGACAAGGAUGAGUUAUGAGAUAUACAGAUUCUAAACUUGAUGAAAGCUGGUGAGAUGACUUACCGAAGAUUGCGGCAACCAUCUGGGACACUUGGCGCUUUAAGCCGGAGAGUUCGGCGGUCUUCUCUGAGAGAGCCUUCUCCGCCUGUUCGGCCCGGCUCACCAGAGUGGCCUUCUCUUCGGCCCAGGCUCUCCGUUCAGCAUCAAAGUCUGUCUUCAGCUUUUCUUGCGCGGCAAUGCUGGACACAAAUUUGGCGUUUGCUUUCCGGGUCUCCGUCUCUUGCGUCUUCAGACGGGUCUUGAGAUCAGCGAUGUCAGCUUCAAACUUCUUGCCAGCAUCCUGCAUAAUUUCCGGGUUAUAGCAUGAACAGUUACUAUGCAAAUUUAAAAGUCCCAAGCGUUUUCCAAGCAAAGACACUUGGCACUUGGGGGCUAAUGCGUAUCGAACGUUCCUAUCUACAAAUUUCCGGUUCAUGGAAGUAAGCCGGAACUUAAGUCUACAACAUAUUCUUUCAUAAGUCGUCGACUUGGGGGCUAGCAUGGUAAAGGUAACUAUGCAGUAAGUAAGAGGACAGAAGAGUGAUACCUCAGACUUCUGCUGAAUCUGGUUCACCAUGGCGAUCUCUAAGUCCCGGCUCUUGUGCACUUGGUUGAUAUAGCCGGAGAUGACCUCUCCGAUGCUCAGAUUGGCAUAGUCGGUGAGGUCCAGAUUGGCCUGGUGGCGCCCUAACAACUCCUCCUUAGCGGAGCACUUGGCCAGCGCAGUAGGUCUCCCCGGCUCAACAUAUUCCGUCCGGGUGAUUACUACAUCCGAGUCAUCUGCUGGUUGAGCCGAGCUGGAGGCCUCCGGGUUAGCAGAAGCUUCUGCUAUGGGCUUGUUGGUUGGAGCAGCGGCCUCAGGAGCAGAGGCAGCUGGCGGUUCUUGAGCGGCUAUCUCCGGCUCAAGCAAGUCCGGCUCAUCGGUUGGCUUGUUCUUCUUCGCCCUUUUGUUGAGUUUUGCUUGGGCACUGAAAAGACAAAAAGGUCAAGCACAAAAGUUUAAGUAAAGACAAAAUACAACAUGAGGUGAUCAUCAUUACCCGGGCACGGUCUUGAAAGCCGGAAGAUUCGACUGCAUAGAGUCGCCAGAAGAGGGGGAAGUUUCCUGAUAAUUUGAAUCAGAAGAGUUGAGCGGUUGACGUAUAACACUUGCCAAAGGAUGAAAAGGGUACAACUUUGAGAUCACCUCGGUCUGGCGUUUCUUCGAUGCGUCAGGUAACCCGGAGGAGAGGUCAGUGUCUUUGUUGUUCCGGGUGUGCCGCCGGCUUUCAUGAACCUGUCGCUUCAAAAUAAAUUGAGGAUCUUGAUAAGCUAAAGGAUGUGAAAAGCUUACUUUCCAGGUUACCCUUCGGACUUUCAGCCUUGGCAAGGGCUCCGAGUCAGAGGAAAGUGACAUUACCUCUUCAACCACCGGGUUACUUGCGCCGGUGUCAUCCUGUUGGUGAACAGUAUUGGUAAGGUGGACAGAAAUAAAUAGCAGAUAUAACAAGAGCUUACAGGUUCAGGGGUUACCUCUGACUCGGAGCUGUCGCUUAAUUGCAUCAGCUCUGAAGCAGUAGGCCUACUUCCCUUCUUGCGGGGAGCGGCUUUCUUCGCCUUCCUGGCCUUCUUGGCCGCCUCGUGGUCAUAUUUGACCUUCCAGAAUUUGUCAUCAGCCUGAAAAAUACAAUGAUGAUUUCUUAAAGAUUCAGAUGAAGGUUAUCUGCAGACGGAGAUAAAAUGUUGAAAUCAGCGGCUUACUGCUGGGGCUGGGUUGAUCUUGCAGAAGGGGGCUAACCCGGUCCUCCCGCAGUCUGCCAAGCUCUCGUUCAAAAGAGCCUUGGUCAUGUCCUCAGCAACAUCUUCAGGAAGAUCGUUGCGACUGUGUCUCUGGGGGUCAUCCUUUCAGCCCGUGUAUUCGCACAUUAAGCCGGGGCGGCGGCUCAAUGGGAUCACCCGCCACGACAUCCAGACCCGGACCAGAUCGAUUCCGUUGAGACCAUUGCCCAGGAGAGCCUUGAUCUUUUUUAUGGUGGGGAGCAGAGGUUGGCGCUCCGCCUGAGUCAACUUGUCAGACAGAGGGUGAGUUGGUUCCAGACGUGAAGGGCGAAAGCCGGGCAGAGGGCUCUCGUCAGCCGGCGACGUGUCUUGGCAAUAGAACCACGUCUGGUUCCAGUCUUUUGGGUGACUCGGCGGCUCGGCGUAAGGGAAGAGGCAGUCUCUCCGUCGCUGAAUGGAGAUUCCGCCGAGUUCCAAACUUGGCCCGUUGGCGCACUCAUUCUGGCGGUUCAGGUAGAAUAGCUCUCUGAAGAGCAGCAGGCUGGGCUCUUCUCCAAGAUAAACCUCGCAGAACACUUGGAAAUUGCAUAUGUUGGACACCGAGUUGGGUCCUAUAUCUUGUGGCCGCAGGUCAAAGAAGUUCAGCACAUCUCUAAAAAACUUUGAGCCGGGCGGUGCGAAGCCCCGGCUCAUGUGAUCCGCAAAAAUGACCACCUCCCCGUCCCUUGGCUGUGGUCUCUCCUCUGAUGGGUCGGGGGCGCGGUAGGACAUGAUGUCCUUCUUGGGUAGGUAACCUGACUUGACAAAAUCCGCUAAAGUCUCGUUGGUGACAUUGGACCUCAUCCAAUUGCAAGUGAUGGAGGCUUUAGGAGCUUUGGGAGGCAUGGUGAAAGUCGGCAGCCUAUGAUAAAAGGAAACGUCCGGUUUAAUUAUAAGCCGGAGGAAAUUUACAGUUCAAUGUUAAAGUGGCGGCUUAUGAAGGGGACUAAUGACAUAUAUCUAAGUGCACCGGGUUAUUUAAGCCGCCCGAAGUAUUGAGAGUAAUUCGAUUGUCUACGGCCUUAUCACAGAUGAGCCGGAAAAUUCUAUGGCGCAUGGUCUCUUUUGAGUCGGAAGGUUCUACGGCGCGUGGUUUCUUUAAACCGGAAAUGUAAACCGCCAUGACUCAAUGAGUGCAGUUUUUACUAAGUGUGGUGAAAACAAGUUUCACACAUUGCAGUAAAUAAUUUGGAUCAAAAUGGUCGGUCAAAAGGAAAGUUUCUAGACCUAAAAACAGACGCAGGGGAGUUCUUGAGCUCGAACGAGGCCUUUAUGCAGUAAAAAGAGGUCUACUUGCAUUUGAAAUGAGUACUAAACAGCCGCCGCACUGGUUCUAUACUGUCCUAAGAUCAAAAAGAGGCAGUAAAAAGGAAAACUACCAAGAACUCACGGGCGGCAGCGAAGAACACGGAAGAACAGGAUGAACCUACUGCAGAUCUGUUCUACGGGGCAGUCAGAACUUACAGGUGCUGGUGAGUCGCGGAGGUCGCCGCCGUUUUCUCUGGACACAACAGGUUGAUGCAGCGGCCGGAGUUGGUGAGGAGGAGGAGACCCGCGGCGGCGACGGCAACAGAGCUUGAGCGGAGGAACAGUGGCACGAGGAGGAAGAACGGGUGGCUGAAGGACCGACGGACCGGGCUAUUUAUAAGGACGAGCUCAUAAGUGGGCGCGAGAAACGAGGAGACCACGACGUGGUUAUCUCCCCAUGAAACGCCUCGAUUUUCGGGAUGGCAGUAAAGAUAAGAUCCGUUGCGGAUCUGGUGGAGUAAAAAACGGACUUAAUGGAAGAUGACGUCACGGCGGAUUACCCGGAGUCCAGAGGAUGACGUCACGCCGGGUUAUGGCCUUCACACAAUUAUAAGCCGGAGAUUUUUCUGUCGAAAGGAUUGAAAAUUGACAUGAGUCGGCUCAAAUCAAUCUGGGGCCUAAUGUUGAGGAUAUAGACCUUAGAGUCACCCGCCAGGAGGGGCCGGGUUACUCAUAAUGGUCAUUGCCAGAAGCCCGGCGCCAAGCUUGAAGACGGUGGGCCAAAGAUGGGCUUAAGACCCGGAUAUGGCUUAAGGCCCGUAGUUACAAUCAUUAUUAUGGUAGAACUUGUAGUGUAAGGCAAGAAUAGUUGAGAGUCCGAGCCGGACACUCUUAUGAGCCGGCCGGGACUCUGAGAGUUGCUGGGCGUCAGCCUCCCUAUAUAAAGGGACGACCCGGCGGCGGUUUAGGGACAAGAAAGAUCUGACCGAGAGCCAGGCAUAGCAGUUAAGCUCCCUGGUCAUCGAAACCCUAAUCAAUACCACCUCAACUGGACGUAGGCUUUUACCUUCACCGUAAGGGGCCGAACCAGUAUAAACCCUCGUGUUCCUUGUCCCGUUAACCCCUUCAAGCUUCCUAGCGGCGAUGGCUCCAUGACUAAGUCCUAGCUUGAGGACAUCUGCCGUGACAAUUCCACGACAAGAAGGGUUAUGCAAAAUGUCCAAGAAAGUAUUAGGCGGCACCGGCUUUCGCUGAGAGCCCAGCCGGCUUAAUGCAUCAGCCGCCUCGUUCUUCCUGCGAUCGAUGUGCUCUACUUGGUAACCCUGAAAAUGUCCAGCAAUGGCAUCAACUUCGCGGCGAUAAGCCGCCAUGAGGGGGUCCUUGGAAUCCCACUUGCCUGACACUUGUUGGGCCACUAAAUCUGAGUCGCCAAAGCACCUUACCCGGCUUAAGCUCAUCUCCUUAGCCAUCCGGACACCAUGGAGCAAGGCCUCGUACUCAGCUGCAUUGUUAGUACAGGGAAACAUCAACCGUAGCACAUAGCAAAACUUGUCACCUCGAGAGGAAGCUAGUACAACUCCAGCCCCCGAGCCCUCCAAUUGCCUGGACCCGUCGAAGUGAAUAGUCCAGUAUGUAUUAUCUGGCUUCUCUUCAGGCACCUGCAGCUUUGUCCAAUCGUUGAUGAAAUCCACCAAUGCUUGAGACUUGAUAGCAGUGCGUGGCACGUAUUUUAGACCAUGAGGCCCAAGCUCUAUAGCCCACUUAGCAACUCUUCCUGUGGCUUCUCGAUUUUGGAUGAUAUCUCCUAGGGGAGCAGAACUAACCACAGUGAUAGGGUGACCCUGGAAAUAAUGCUUAAGCUUCCGGCUUGCCAUGAACACCCCAUAAACAAGCUUCUGCCAAUGUGGAUACCGUUGUUUGGACUCAAUGAGUACUUCGCUGACGUAGUAAACCGGCCGCUGAACCGGAUGCUCCUUACCCGCUUCCUUACGCUCCACCACCAUAGCCACACAGACGGCUCGUGUGUUAGCGGCUACAUACAGCAAUAAAGGCUCCUUGUCAACAGGAGCAGCAAGGACUGGUGGCUCAGCUAGCUGUCUUUUCAAAUCCUCAAAAGCAGCAUUAGCAGCAUCAUUCCAGAUAAAGUCAUCUGUUUUCUUCAUCAUCUGGUACAGUGGCAUGGCCUUUUCACCCAAACGGCUUAUAAACCGACUCAAAGCAGCGAUGCGACCCGCGAGACGCUGGACGUCGUUUACACACGCCGGCUUAGCCAGAGAGGUGAUUGCCUUGAUCCUUUCCGGGUUAGCUUCAAGGCCUCUGUGAGAAACCAGAAAACCCAAGAGCUUGCCUGCGGGAACACCAAAACACACUUGGCCGGGUUAAGCAUCAUCUUGUAGACCCGGAGAUUGUCAAAGGUCUCUCUCAGCUCUUCUAUCAAGGUCUCCUUCUCCCUGGAUUUAACCACGAUAUCAUCCACAUAGGCAUGAAUGUUGCGCCCAAUCUGGUUAUGAAGACAAUUCAGCACGCAACGCUGGUAAGUCGCCUGUGCACUCUUGAGCCCAAAAGGCAUUAGACACAUAACAGAAGGCUCCAAAGGGAGUGAUGAACGCCGUCUUCUCCUGGUCCUUAACUGCCAUUUUGAUCUGAUGGUAUCCAGAGUAAGCAUCCAAAAAGCUUAAACGCUCACAACCCGCCGUAGCAUCAAUAAUUUGAUCAAUACGGGGGAGAGCAAAAGGAUCAGCCGGACAAGCUUUGUUUAAAUCCGUAUAGUCUACACACAUCCGCCAGGUGCCGUUCUUCUUGAGCACGAGCACCGGGUUAGCUAACCAUUCUGGAUGAAAAACCUCAACAAUAAACCUGGCCGCCAAGAGCCGGGCUACCUCCUCACCAAUGGCUUUCCGCCUCUCCUCAUUAAAUCGCCGGAGGAAUUGCCUGACCGGCUUAAAUUUCGGAUCAAUAUUAAGAGUGUGCACAGCGAGUUCUCUAGGUACACCCGGCAUGUCAGAAGGUUUCAAUGCAAAGAUGUCCCUGUUCUCACGGAUGAACUCGAUGAGCGCGCCUUCCUAUUUCGGAUCCAGAUUGGCACUGAUGCUGAACUGCUGAGAUGAGUCACCUGGAACAAAAUCAACAAGUUUAGUCUCAUCAGCUGACUUAAAUUUCAUUACCGGCUCAUGCUCCGUGGUUGGCUUUUUCAAAGACGUCAUAUCUGCCGGGUCAACAUUAUCCUUGUAAAACUUUAAUUCCUCUGUCGCACAAACAGAUUCAGCGUAAGCAGCGUCACCUUCCUCACAUUCCAAGGCUAUCUUUCGGCUGCCAUGAACCGUAAUGGUCCCAUUGUGACCCGACAUCUUGAGCUACAAAUACACGUAACACGACCGUGCCAUGAACUUGGCGUAAGCCGGCCACCCAAAUAGAGCAUGGUACGGGCUUUUUAUUUUAACCACCUCAAACGUGAGUUUUUCCGCUUUGUAGUUGUACUCAUCUCCAAAGGCUACUUCCAGCUCGAUCUUACCGACUGGGUAGGCCGACUUACCAGGCACCACCCCAUGGAAAACAGUAUUGGACUGGCUGAGGUUUUUAUUAGUUAGUCCCAUACGACAGCAGGUCUCAUAAUAGAGGAUGUUGAUGUUGCUGCCUCCGUCCAAGAGCACUUUAAUGAAUUUGUAUCCUCCAACCUGAGGAGCCACCACCAAGGCCAGGUGACCCGGAUUAUCAACCCGGGGAGGGUGAUCUUCCCUACUCCACACAAUAGGUUGUUCAGACCAUCUCAAAUAACGGGGAACCGCCGGCUCAACAGCAUUCACAGCCCUCUUAUGAAGCUUCUGGUCUCGCUUGCACAGACUGGUAGUAAACACAUGAUACUGCCCACCAUUAAGCUGCUUUGGAUUGGUCUGGUAUCCCCCCUGCUGCUGCUGCUGAUUACCCUGGCCAGACUGCUGAUUAAAGCCCCCUUGAAAAUUCUGAGAGUUGGAAUUUGAGCCACCGCCCGGGCCAUGAAAGCCGCCAGCUCCUGAGCCGCCGCCCUGCCCAUUGUUGCCAUUAAAAGCGUUGGAAUUUUUGAAGGCUUUCAUGAUUGCGCAGUCUUUCCAUAGAUGAGUGGCCGGCUUAUCCCUAGAGCCAUGCCUUGGACAGGGCUCAUUCAACAACUGCUCAAGCGUCGGGCCUGACCCGCCGGCUCGGGGAGGUGGUCUCCCCUUACGUCGGUGGUUGUUACCCUGCGCAUUGACGUUGGCCACAAACUCCACACUGCCAUCAGCCUUACGCUUGUUACCUCCCUGGUUCGCCGGGUUAUGCUGAGGGCCCUUGCCAUUGCCAUUCCGUUUUCCCUUCCCUGUCCUUUCAUCAUCCGACGCGGGAUCCUUGGUACUAUCCGAGUCGGCGUACUUGACCAGAGCUGCCAUCAGCGUACCCAUAUCAUUGCAAUCGCGCUUGAGCCGCCCGAGCUUCAUCUUCAGGGGCGCAAAACGACAGUUCUGCUCCAGGAUUAAGACUGCAGAGCCGGCAUCCAUCUUAUCAGAUGAAUGUAUUAUCUCUUUGACCCGGCGAACCCAAUGGGUUGUGGACUCUCCCUCUUGCUGUUUGCAGUUAGUCAAAUCCACAAUUGACAUAGAUUGCCUACAUGUAUCUUUGAAGUUCUGGAUAAACCGGGCUUUUAGCUCGGCCCAUGACCCGAUGGAGUUAGGCGGCAGUCCUUUCAACCAAGUGCGGGGAGUCCCAUCCAACAUCAUGGUGAAGUAUUUGGCCAUUGCCGCUUCACUAACCUCUAGUAACUCCAUAGCCAUCUCGUAGCUCUCGAUCCAUGCUCCGGGUUGUAAAUCAGCCGUGUAAUUAGGUACCUUCCGAGGUCCUUUAAAAUCCUUGGGCAGACGUUCAUUACGGAGAGCCGGCACCAGACACGGGACACCUCCGGCCCUUGUAGGUACGCCCGCAUCGACAGAAGCCGUCGGAUGAGCCGGGAGGGGCUGGUAAGCCGUCAACUGAGCCGCCUGUUCUGCCUCUUGUCGUGCUCUGUCAUGGUCUACCGCGUUAAAGGCUCCAUUAUGCGCCGGGCCGUGGCCAGCUGGCAAGUUACGGCGCCGGACGUUGCUUGAGCCGGUCGCUGAAUCCAUGUGCCUGCUAUAACUUGGGCUCCGGUUCGGACGAGGGGUUGAAUGAAUCCUGUCCCGGCUAUAUGAGUAUGCCUCUUGCUGCGCCAGAGCCGUCUGAAGAAGUUCUCUGACCCGGCGGGUUUCGACCGCCGUUGGAGAGUCGCCCUCAAUUGGAAGAGCCGCCAGUCGCGCCGCUGCGGCGAUCAUGUUUUCCAACGGGUUGGCAUAAUGACCUGGUGGUAUCGGUACAUACUGAGGCGGAGUAAUGUUCACACGAGGAGGCCCCAUCACUUGUGGUUGAAUCGGCGUUCCAGCCCUGGGUGCUAUGAUCUCCGGUGGGUUACUGGGCCCUGCACCUGGCGUGUUGAAGAGGUUUCGAGGAUCGUAAACCGGAGGGAGUCGGGAUUGAGCCUUCUGGUGCCUCCUUCUCAUGAUCUCAUUGGAUGCGUUCUGAUCCAUCGUGGGCCGGAAAGAUUGCGCCUGAAUCAGCUGAGUCUGGGCAUCGAGAGCCGCCCGCUCUGCAGCCAUCCUGAUCCCUUCUGCUGCCAGAUCUUCCUUGGCUCUUGCUAUAUCCAGCUUUAGCUGUGCCACCUCCGCAUCAUGUUGAGCUUGAUCCGCCGGGGCGACCAUAGCGGUUAACAGGGCCGUCAUCUUAUCUGUGAGAUCCUCAGCACCUGAGCCGGCGAGUGCACAGGGCCUCCUGCCCCAAUGGCGGAGUUUUGAACAGGUUGUGCGCCGGCCAUGAAGAUUCCAACCCGGCUCGGCGGCUCAAAGGGGUCCGGAAUACUGUCGCCAUCGGAACAACCCCAGAGCCUGCCAUCCUGAAGCUGGUAUAACAAGUUGGUCUCAUCCGUGGAUGACUCGCCGUCAGAGCGAGCGGCCGUCUCAUUGCCAGAUCCAGACCUUCAGAGAGUCCUCCAUGGACGCAUCCCACGAAAGCACUCUUCAAGGCAGGCAGAGUUCGGGCGGGUCUCGCACGCUGAGCCGUCUCGAUGAGGUUGGCGCAGAGGUCCGGCUCAGGGCCCGGCUCGCCAAUCUUGCCAAUGAAAACGUGCAUUCCGCUGAAGGGGACCCGAUACCCAUACUCGAUUGAGCCAGUGUCGGGGCCCCAGCUUGCAUCAUCGAUGUAGAGCUUGCCGCGACGACUCUUGGUCAUCCGGCCCACAGCUUAUCCCUUGAGCCCUUCGAAGUUGCCCUUCAAGAACUCAAAUCCCCCGUGCGCUGGCCCCACGGUGGGCGCCAACUGUCGUGGAAUUGUCACGGCAGAUGUCCUCGUGCAAGGACUUAGUCGUGGAGCCAUCGCAACUAGGAAGCUUAAAGGGGUUAAACGGGACAAAGGACACGAGGAUUAUACUGGUUCGGCCCCUUACGGUGAAGGUAAAAGCCUACUCCAGUUGAGGUGGAAUUACUUAGGGUUUCGAUGACCAGGGAGCUUAACCGCUAUGCCUGGCUAUCGAUCUGAUGUUGCCUAUCCUGAACCGCCGUCGGGUCGUCUCCUUAUAUAGGGAGGUUGACGCCCAGCGGCUCUCAGAGUCCCAGCCGGCUUAUAACAGCAUCCGGCUCGGACUCUUAACUAUUCUUGCCUUACACUACAAGUCUUUCCAUAACGGCGGUUUAUCACUACGGGCCUUAAGCCGCCUCCGGGUCUUAAACCCAUUACUGAACCGCCAUCCUCAAACUUGGUACUGGGCUUCACGUGAUGAUCAUUAUGACUUAACCCGGCCCCUCCUGGGCGGGUGACUCGAAUGGUUAUAUCCUCAACAUCUUCUAAGUUUCCCGGAGUUAUUCUCAAAUCCUUUUCGAAGUUUGACGUAAGUAGGAAUUUCAUCAGUCAGAUGCUUCUCCAAGAUCGCUUUCAAAUUCUUUCAUGAUCGGGUCAACCUUUUCCUCUUUUCAUUCUCCCGGAGUAUCUCAUCAAUUUUGGUGUUGUUUCUCGUCGUCAUUCUCAACAUUUGAGGACCGAAGAAGAGUUUCUUUUAAAUCUUGCCCGUUCUCUCGGAGAUUCGUGGUGCUAGCUUCAUGUUAUCCUCUCAAAUUGUUUCUAGUCGUGCAAUUCUUUUCAUCCAUCCGGAGUAUUUCAGGAGCUGUUUUCUCUCUCGAUCAUCUGAAGGCCACCUUUUCAGAAGAUUUCUUCAUCCCAAGUUUUCAGAUUCAUUCUCCAAUUAUUCUAUAUGCAUGCCCCUUCGUUCGUUUACAUAUUCUUCCGGUGCUUCGUUCAAGUAUGCUUCAAUCAGCUCAUGAUCUCUUCUUUCAAUUGCAUCUUGAUUCCCUCAAGUAUAUUCGUGCUUUUCCUAUUUUUCCGGGUGAGUCAUUCUCCUUCGUCAUUCAAUUUUGAAUUCUAACGGUGGUUCGUUCAAGACCCCUUGUCAUUUGUAAUCAUAUCAAUUAAUUCGUUCUUUCCAAAUCCUACCGGUGGUUCAUGAAGACUUUCUCAAGUUUUGCGCUAUAUCCCCCCUUAAUCUUUUCCAACGCGAAUAAGUGGUAUGCAAAUCCAUGGUAUCUCAUCAAUUUAAUUGAUGGAGGAUAGGCAUAACACAAUUCUUAUUCUUCCCCAUCAAGUUAUCUAAUCCCUCCCUUCAGAGUUGUUCAUGUUGAAUAUACUCUAAUCCCAAGUGAUUCCAUAUUACUUUCCGGAGUUCCAAGCUUCCUCGGCCAUCUCGUCGGAACCUCCAUCAGAAUCGCAAGGCUCAAACCUUAUUCUAUUCAUCCUUCAAUUCUAUCUCAGAAUCCUUUUUGCAACCAGAGUGGUUUCAAAUUCAUUCUUAUUCCUUGAGCUUUGAUUCCCAUCGUAAUCGUCGUUCCUCUUUUCUAUUCGGGUGCCCUCGACCUUGUUCUUUCUCUCUUUUUUGCUCUUAUUUCACCUCAUCUUCUUUCCCUUCCGUCUCGGUCCUAAGAUCUCGAGACGAGAUCUCUUGUUAGUGGACGAGUGUUCUAACGCCUCGGAUCCGAUGCGCCAGGUGUCUUCCAGUUUUUCGCCGUCUUUGUCAUGUCAUUUGAUUGCGUGUUGCAUUUUGCCAUGUCAUCAUCUGCAUUUAAUCUACAUGCUUUUCAAAACUUGCAUCCGGCCUUUUUCCCCGUUGUCCGUUUCGCGAUCCGACACACUCGCACGCGUCCGUCGCCCCUCUCAGACCUUGGUUCGUGAGCGGGAGAAAAAGUUCUUGGAAUGGGCCGAGAUUUGCCGAGUGGCCUUGCUAUAUCACCGGCAGACCGCCCGUCAAAUUUCGUUCCAUUUGGAGGUCGUUUGAUGCCCCAACAGUUAACCCCGUAGCCCGAAAGCCCCUUUUGUCUUGCAGCCCAACACCCCUCCAAAUCAGCCCACUAACCCAGCAAAAACCCCCUCCAUGCUCUCGGUCAUUCGAUCAUGAUUGUGUGGGCGAAAACCGCACCUCAUUUGGACUCUCCUAGCUCCCUCUACCUAUAAAUAUGUGACUUCCCCCGAAAAUCCCGGAUGAAACCCUAGCCUUCCUCUUCCUCGCGCCGCCGGACACAUCCGCCCGCCGCCGGACUUGUCCACCGCCGCCAGCCACGUUGUCGGGGAUAUACCCCGCGGUAUGACCCGGCCGGAGAUAGUACCCGGCUGGGACAUGAUCUUUCAUUGGUGACCCGGCAGACUAUAAGUCGGCGGGAACAGUUAGGCAUUGUAAGCCGGCAGGCACAGUCAUGUAACCCGGCAUACACAGUCAUGUAACCCGGCAGACAUGUCGGGUGGUUGAUGCGACAUAUGCCAAGGGAUGGCUUAUCAUUGUGGGAGCCAAUAAAACGUCGCCGGUGCCUGGAAACGGGAUGAGGCGAAGACAUGCACGCCGGCGAAUCUUACCCAGGUUCAGGGCUCUCCGAGGAGAUAACACCCCUAGUCCUGCUCUGCGGGGUCUCCGCAUGAUCACUAAAUCGAUAAAGGGUAGCUACAAUCGCUCCUAGAGCUGUUGGGAUCAAGGGAGAAGGAGCACAAGGCUAGCUCUUGCUUCUCUCUAUCUAUGUGUGCGCGUGUGUCAUCUUGGAUGCGAACCCUUUGCAUGGGUGCUCCGGGGGGUUUAUAUAGGCCUACCCCCCGGGGGUACAAUGGUAAUCCGACUGGGACCUGGCCCCAGCCGUCAGUGUCUACGCUCGCCGGCUUCUCCGCCGGCUGCUGGGUCCCGCCGGCUGGUGGGUCCCACCGGCUGCCGGAUACUCGGUCGACAGGCCGGUCCCACCGCCUAGGGUUUUGUCGGCGGCUACUUACUGUAGCCGCGCCUCGGAGGAUGAGGGCUUUGUCGAGGUGAGCGUGGCUACAGUGGGCCGCGUCGGCGGCUAUCACUGUAGCCUCACCUCGUCUUGUCUCCUUAAUGGGGCUCCUGCUUCGAGGAAGGGCAUGGCCGGCUUCUGGAGGCCGGCUAUGCUCCCGGCCGACUAGGGAAAGCCGGGCCGCCUUCACGCCUCUCUCUGGCUGAAGGGGCCCACAGUCCUUGGGUCGUGCAAGAACGGGUCGUGGAUGACGUCGAGGCUAACGUGGCUAUAGUGCCGGGCCGCACGGGAGACCUCCCUCUCGUACGGCCUCCUGUAGCCAUGCCCGCCUCGGGCUUCGGGGGUCGUGGGCCGCACUGUGGCCACGCCCCGUCAGGUCGGCGUUAAGUUGGAGUGGUUGUGGUCGUGGCCGGCUUCUAGGAGUCGGCGUCCUUCUGGGCCGGCUUCUUGGAGUCGGCGAGGCUGGGUCGUCUUCCGGGAGUCGGCUUUAGUGGUAGCCGGCCCGGGAAGGCGGCCCAAAUGCUUGGAGUGCUUGAAGGCCCAAAGGCCUGAUAAAUUUUCUGAAGAGCCAGGGGUAGCCGGUUUAGCUACCCGUGGCCACUUACUCAGACAGUAGUCCCCGAACCUGAUCGGGCUUCGAGGUGGAGUAGGGUUCGAGAAGCUCGAACAGCUUCCCAUCGCGACAAGCCGACAGCUGGGAGCCGGCCUUGGUCAGGCACGUCGCCUGAGCCGAAAUCUUCUGGAGUCGGAGGGCGGGAACCUGCUAGCAUGUGCGCCGGGCCGCGGGCCGAUGGCGCGCCACGUAGCCGGAAAGCCUGCCAGCCCACGCGCGAGACGGGACGUUGCCGCAGAGAGGGGGCCCGCCACGUCCACGCCCCGGCCCAGGCGCGGAUCUUUUGCAUCCCGGAACCGCCCGCACGUUCCAUGCGGCAGUUUCGGCUCGCACUUAUGCGUAAUAAACGCGAGACGUGGGGGGAGUGGGCGCAGUUAAUCCCACGUCUCCCCCCACGUCCGGCCUCUUCGGCCGCGUGAGGCUAUAAGUAGGGGGAGGUGGAGGGCGGUAGGCCCUCGCACGCUCCUCCUACUUCCGCCGUCUUCUUGCCUUGCUCGUUCUCGCAACAGCGCCUCGCCGCCGCGCUCUUCCUCCGCACGCUCCUCCGCCGCCGUGCUAGCUUCCGCCAUGCCUCCCCAUGUAGAGCAGCGUGGCGGGGAUUGGGACGGCUCCAUCGUCCACAACAACCACAUCGACUUCCUCCGCGACACACGGCGUCUGCCCAGUGCGGACAAAGUGGAGGUCCGCCUCGCGCCGGAGAAAAAAAUCAGGCCGGCGCCGCGGGAUGGCGAGCGGGUGGUCUUCCGCUCGCACUUCCUACGCGGCUUCGGCUUGCCAGUGAGCGCCUUCUUCCGCACCUGGCUGGACUUCUAUCAGCUCCAACCGCACCACCUCACCCCCAACGCGGUGGUGCUGCUGUCGGCCUUCGUCACCCUGUGCGAGGGCUAUCUAGGCGUCCUCCCCACCCUUGAGCUCUGGGGGGAGUUCUUCCAGUCGAAGCUGGGUACGCGCAGCCAGGGCGUGCCGGCCCACACUGGCGCCUUCAUCGCGUCGCGGAGAUCAGGCGCCGACAACCCCUUCCCCGUCAUCACGCUGAUCCAAUCGGUGAAGAAGUGGCAGAAAUCAUACUUCUACGUGCGGAACAUCGCUCCACGGGGCGACUACGUCAACCUGCCGGCUUACGUAGCCGGCCCGCCGGCGGGGAGGCUGCCCCAGUGGUCCUUCCGGGCGGUGACGCUGUCGCAGGGAGGAAACGCCACCAUCGCCCACCUGCGGGUGAUGGUCCAGACGGAGGGCCUGACGGGGCCCGACCUCCUGGCCGCGUUCGUCACACGCCGGGUCCUCCCGCUCCAGAGCCGGCCUCAUCUGAUCUGUCAGAUGAGCGGCCAGCUCGAUCCGAGCCGGAUGUGUACCAAGGAGAUGCCGCAGGCUGACGCUGCCGACAUGGUGAACUACCUCGCCAACUACCAGCUUCCCGACGACUGGCAAUUUGGCAAGGAGCCAUACAGCCGCGCCAAUCCUCCGCCUACGGUACGCUCCCCUUCUCUUUUUCUCUUUGUCGCCGAGUUCCUCCGGGCCGACUCUAACUCAGUCGGCUCACUCUUUUGACAGAAUCCUCUGCUUCGGCCGGCCGGCGGGGUGGACGUGGAGCGCCGCUUCGUCCCCGACCGGACCAAGCACGACCAGGAGGACCCCGAUCUGGGGGCGGUCCAUAUGGAGGAAGCCGCCGAGCCGGCUGGUGGCCAAGCCGCCGGCGAAGCAGGCGGCGCCGGGUUCUCCGCGACCUUCGACGAUUGGCCGGAUGAGGACGAAGCCGAAGUCGUCCCGCCCCGCCAGCCAGCCUCCGGACGCGGCGCGGGCUCCUCCGGCGCGCAGCCUGCUCGGGGUAGAGGCCAGAAACGUCGCGCCGCCCAGGGCAUGUUCGGUAGCUGGACGAAGAAGCCGAGGGGUGGGGCGGCGGCCACCAGGCAGGAAGAAGCGGCCGCGAAGGCGGCUCGCUUCCGUAAAGUGGUGAAGCAGCCGCAGGCUGUGUCAGCGUAAGCUUUCUUUCUUUCUGUGCAUUCUCCUUCUCUCUUUCUUGAGUGGUCUUCUGAACCUUUGUCUUCUUUUCUUUGAUCAGGGCUCCACUGUCGCUCGAGCGGGCGGCUGCCGGCUCCGUUGUCGAGUCGCCAGGGGGCUCUGGGAGCACCACCCGCCGCGUAGAUCCCCGCGCCGCCCUCCUGGAGGCGACGGAAAGGAACGCGCGGGAGGUGCGGGAGGAGCAGGAAGCGCGGGAGGCGGAGGCACGGAAGGCAGCCUCUGCCCAGGCAGCUCGGGACGAGGAGGCAGCGAAGGCGCUCGCCGAGGCUGCAGCCAAGGCCCAGGCAGAGGCCGAGGCCGAAGCGGCGGCAGGGGAGGCCUUGAUGGUCACCCCUCUGCGCGCCAUGGCGCCCGGGGACGCGGAUCCCUCGCCAGGGGGAGCCAGCGGUUCCCAGCCGGGUCUGGGCGGGAGCGGCGACGACGUCAUCUUCGUGAGGGAGGCGCCGGGGCCGACUCCUCCGACUAGGGCGGCUCGAGGCGGUCAGACUGAGCAUGCGCCUGCACAGUCGGCGGAAGGCGAGCCGGCCGCGGGAGCUGAGGUGGCGGUCCGGGUUCCGCCAAGCCGGCGCGCAGGGAAGGCCGCGUCGGAGCCGCAAAAGGCGGCGUCGGAGCCACGGCCGGCCGUGGGCUCCAGCUCGUCGGCCCGAGACGCGGAGGCGGCCAGCGCUACCUCCGGGUGGACGCCAGGCGGAGGGACAGCCGUGGUGAACAUCGCUGCACAAGACGUCCGGACCCGGCUCCAGAGCCAAGCCGCGACGCUGAGGCUGUUCACCGACGAAUUCCUCGCCACGCGGGCAGCCAUCCGGGUUCGUAUUCUCAAUUUCGCCCUUGAUUUUUCUCGUGGGGGAGCGUCAGCGCACCCACUGGGUGUAGUCCCCGAGUUCCGAGUCGGCUGCUGAGCAGGCGGCUUGGAACUUCUUGGUGGAUUUGCCUUUGCUAUUUUUGUUCUUACUUCGGUCUUCUGUCCAUCUUGCAGGACUACCACAACCUCCGAGCGGCCGCCUUCAACUCCCAGGCUCGGGAGCUGACGCAGAAGACCGCCGAUCUCACUGAAAGCCGAGGUAUGUGACUUGAUCUCUAUCUCAUGUGGGGGCGCGUCAGCGCACCCACUGGGUGUAGUCCCCGAGAUUCGGGCCGACUGCUGAGCAGUCGGCUCGGAUCUUCCUUGAUGAUUUCUCAUUGUUCUUCUUCUUCUGUCUCUGCAGCGGCCAACGCCAGUCUGAGGGCACAGCUGGGGGAGUCCCAGACUGCUCUUCGUGCCAAGGACGCGGAGCUCGCCGCCUUGGUGCAGAAGCGUGACCGCCUGGUCAAGAAGCUGGCCGACCAGGAGGAAAGCCACAAGGCGGCGCUGAAGGCCGCGCAAGACCGUGAAGCCGCCCUCCAGGCCGAGUUCGAGACGGAGGCGGCCGCCUGGGACGAGGCCAGGAAGACUCUGGUCUCCGGCUAUGGCCAGAUUGAGGAUCUGGUUGACGGUAAGUCGUCUACCCCUUCGUCCUUUCUUGCUAUCUGUCACUUUGACUUGUUUUUCUGAUUUGGGGUUCUUCUUUUCUUUUCUGCGCAGAGUACUUCCCCGGCUAUUCCACUGCCGCCAACCAGGCCAUCAAAGCUCGUCGCCAGGCGAAGAGGCAAGCCGACUUCGAGAUUUCGCCGACUGCCGGCCGCUCGCUGGAGGAGCAGCUCCUGGCGAUCCAGGCUCGCAUCCAGCCGGCUCACAGGCUUCUCCGCCGGCUUCAGCGUGCCGGGUCGCAGGUCCUGGCCGCCCUCUAGCCCGGCCAAGUGAUCCCGCGCACUCCUAGUCGGACCGCCGAUUGGCUGGAGGUGGCCGUCGGGCGCUUCGAGGCUUGGAAGGCAUCAGCGGCUCGCUCCGGCGUCGGGCGGGCGCUGGAGUUCGUCAAGGCCUGGUACCCAGGCCUGAAUCUGGACCAGCUGGCUACCUGGCGGCAGCAAGCCGACGCGGAGCUGGAGCCGGCGCGGCCGGCCAUCAUUCGACGGGCUUCGGCAAUCGCCGACUACACCGACACCAACGUCUUCGCCCCCGAGGUGGACGACAAUGGAGUCGCCUAGCCGGAAGAUUGGUUCGGGCUGGACCCGGCGUGCGGCGAGGACUCGGCGGAGGAGAUCGACUCCAGCGACGAGGGCGAAGAUGAGGAGGAGGAGGGUGAAGACGUCGAGCCGGCUGGUGGAGCAGCCGGCCAGCCUGACCGCGCCUCCAGCACUACGUUACGUGCGAGUGCGUCUCCUGUUGCGGGAGGCGGUCAAGCCGGGACCAGCUAGGCGGCCACUCCUUCAGCCGGCGAGCUGCCUUCACCGACCAACUCGGCCUUCGCGCCUUUGUCUUCUUUCUUUUGUUUCCUGUCUUGUUACUUUUGAACAAUGUUUUUGGUUAAGUCUGCGCAGUCCCACCCACUGGGUGUAUUGAAACUCAAGUCUGUUGCCGCCUAUCGGGGGCUUUAUGUAUAUAAGUUAUGCAAUCGGUCUUUCCUUGUACUUUCGCUUUUUGUCCUUCUGCUUUUUUCCUUUGCCGCCCUCCCUUGGUUUCCGCCUCCCUAGUCAAACAGUUGCUCUGCAAUCUGUAGCCGGGGAGUGCCUGGCCGAUUGGGGAGGGGGAAGUACUUUUAGCUCGGUCGGACUUAAGCUAAGUUUUUAGGAAGCCGGCAGGCAUAUAUGGAGGCCGUCUUUUUGCUAUAUAGGUUGGUUGUUCCUUAGCCGUUUUUUCGUGUGGGCAUCCUUUCUGUCUUCUCUCUUGCUAGCCGGACAGUCAGUUCUUUGAGCUGCGACUUUCAACAAGAGAGGACUUGGGAGCCGGCGCACUACUUUGCUGACUUUGGGAAGAACGUAGAAUAUAGCUCAAGGCGGCCAGUCCCCGGGCCGACUAGUCGGACCCGGUGCCGGACAAGAAUUCGAAAUGUAAUAAUACAUUCAUGGAUAUGACACUCGUCAUUCAUGAAUAAAUAAAAGGCAGUCCCCGAGUAGGUUUGUAACGUAAUACAAAAACAAGGGGUAGCGUGAUACAUACUGCUUUUCAGCUGUAAAAUCGUCUUAGGAGGUUUGCGUUCCAUGGUCGCUCUGACUCCUUGCCGGAGUCGUCUCUCUUGCGUGCUUUUGGCUUUUGCGCGUCGAUCAAGUAGUAGGAGUCGUUGCCGAGUGCCUUGCUGACGACGAAGGGGCCUUCCCAAGGGGCCGAGAGCUUGUGCUGGCCGUCUGUUCGCUGGAUCAGCCUGAGCACAAGGUCGCCCUCUUGGAAGGAUCUUGGCUUGACCUUGCGGUUGUAGUAGCGGCGCAGGCCUUGCUGGUAGAUGGCGGACCGGCUGAGGGCUCACAGCCGGCCUUCUUCCAGUAGGUCAACGCCGUCUUCUCUUGCUUCUUUGGCUUCCUCCUACGUGUACAUGGUGAUCCGAGGCGAGUCGAACUCGAUGUCUGUUGGGAUGACAGCCUCGGCACCGUACACGAGGAAGAAUGGAGUGAAGCCGGUUGACUUGUUAGGUGUAGUGCGCAGACUCCAGAGGACAGCCGGCAGCUCUUCGAGCCAGCAGCCGGCCAAUCGCUCCAGUGGUACAACCAGUCGGGGUUUGAUGCCGGAGAGGAUAAGUCCAUUUGCUCGCUCGACCUGGCCAUUUGACUGCGGGUGGGCAACGGACGCUAAGUCCAGUCGGAUGCUCUGUGUCGCGCAGAAAGGUGCCAGCGCGCCUUGGGCGAAGUUUGUGCCGUUGUCGGUGAUGAUGCUGUGCGGCACGCCGUACCGAGUGGUGAUGUCGGUGAUGAAUGUCACGGCAGUCGGCCCGUUCAGCUUCUUGAUGGGCUUGGCUUCGAUCCACUUUGUGAACUUGUCCACCGCAACGAGCAGGUGUGUCAUGCCACCGCGGGCUGUCUUGAAAGGGCCUACCAUGUCCAGUCCCCAGACGGCAAAAGGCCAGGUGAGGGGAAUGGUCUUGAGGGCGGAAGCCGGCAGGUGUUGUUAGGAACUGAAGACUUGACACCCUCUGCAGCUCUUUACUAUUUCUUUAGCAUCCUCCAAGGCAGUCGGCCAGAAGAACCCAUGGCGGAAAGCCUUGGCCACGAGGGAUCUUGAGGCGGCGUGGUGGCCGCAUUCGCCUUGGUGGAUGUCUUUGAGGAUUGCCACUCCUUUUUCUGGCUCGACGCAACGCUGGAAGACUCCAGUGACGCUGCGCUUCACAAGCUCCCUGUUGAUUAUUGUGUAUGCUGCGGCUCGUCGUUGCACUAGUCUUGCUGCGAUCUCAUCAGUCGGCAGCUCUCUGCUGACUAGGAACUUGAGGAUGGGCUGGGCCCAUGAGGGAGCUGUGACUUCUUCUGCUGUUGUCGUGGCCACCAUGACUCGGGUGGGUGGUUUGGGUGUUGUAUUGGAGUCGACCACUGCUUCUUGUGUCAUUGCAGUCCCCGGGCCGACUGCUGCAGUCCCCGAGCCGGGUUCUGAAGUCCCUGGGCCGGGUUCGACUACGUCAGUCCCCGGGGCAGUCGUCAACGUCCCCGUGCUGCCUGCAGGAUUUCUUGAGCCGGAUCCGGCUGUUUCUGGCGCAGGCGGUACGAAGAUGGAGUCCGACUCUGGAGACGGCUUGAUGGACGGCUUGAGGAGGCGUUGGAGGGAGACGCCAGUCGGUAUGGCUUGUCGGGUGGAGCCGAUCCGUGCUAGGGCAUCUGCUUGGUCGUUGUCGGCCCUUGGCACAUGAAGGAACUCGCACCCUUCGAAGUAUCCGCUCAUCUGCUGGACGAGGAAGCGGUAGCUCGCCAUGUUCGCGUCCUUGGCGUCCCAAUCGCCAGAUGAUUGCUGGACCACUAAGUCGGAGUCGCUGUAGCACAGGAUCCGGCGUAUGCCUAGCUCUUUGGCUAGCCGGAGCCCAUGUACGAGCGCCUCGUACUCGGCCACGUUGUUGGAGGCGGCGAAGUGGAUCUGCAGCGUGUACUUGAGCUUGUCGCCUUUGGGAGAGGUGAGGACGAUGCCGGCUCCCAAGCCGGUGCGCAUCUUGGACCAAUCAAAGUGCAUCCGCCAAUGGGUAGAGUCGGGAGCCGGCGGUAAGUACUGGGUCUCGGCCCAGUCGACGAGGAAGUCGGCCAAUGCUUGCGACUUGAUGGCGGUGCGGGCUUGAUAGAAAAUCGUGUAAGGCGCCAAGGCAAUGGCCCAUUUGGCCACCCGGCCGGAUGCAUCCCGGCUGCCUAUGAUCUCGGUGAGCGGGGCAGCGCACACGACCGUGAUGGGGUGCUCUUGGAAGUAGGGCUUCAAUUUCCUGGCAGCGAAGUACACCCCAUAGCACAUCUUCUGGUAGUGCGGGUAGUUUUGCUUUGAGCUGGAUAGUACUUCGCUGAGAUAGUAGACCGGCCUCUGGACCAGCUGGGCUCGGCCUUCCUCCGGGCGCUGGACCACAACAACAGUGCUGACGACUCGGCUUGUCGCGGCGAUGUAGAGGAGCAUGGGCUCCUUCUCAGUCGGCGCAGCCAGGACGGGUGGAGUGGUUAACAUUUUCUUCAACUCAUGGAAGGCUUGGUCGGCUUGAUCAUUCCACUCAAAGUGAGUGGACUUCUUCAUGAGUCGGUACAGGGGGAGGGCCUUCUCUCCUAGUCGGCUGAUAAAACGGUUCAGGGAGGCUAAGCAGCCAGUGAACUUCUGCACAUCUCGCAGCUUGGUGGGUAUCUCCAUCCUCUCGAUGGCCUUGAUCUUGACAGGGUUGCACUCAAUGCCGCGUUCGGAGACCAGGAAGCCUAGCAGUUGGCCGGCUGGUACUCCGAACACGCACUUCUCGGGGUUGAGCUUGAUCUGGAAUCGGCGCAAGUUGGCAAAUGUUUCCUUCAGGUCUUCCAGCAAGGUACCGCGCUUCUCUGUGUUCACCACAAUGUCGUCUACGUAGACGUGGGCAUUUCUGCCGAGUUGUUUCAAGAGACAUUUCUGCAUGCAACGCUGAAAAGUGGCACCGGCGUUUCUCAAGCCGAAUGUCAUUGUCAGGUAGCAGAAAGCUCCAAAGGGUGUGAUGAAGGCAGUCUUGAGGCGGUCAGCCGGGUCAAACUUGAUCUGAUGAUAUCCUGAGUAUGCAUCCAAUAUACUUAACAGCUCGCAUCCGGCUGUGGAGUCUAUCACUUGGUCAAUCCGUGGCAAAGCAAACGGAUCCUUUGGGCAGGCCUUGUUCAGACUUGUGUAGUCUAUACACAUGCGCCACUUGUUAUUCUUCUUCAAAACCAGAACUGGAUUGGCAAGCCAUUCUGGAAAGAACACUUCCAUGAUGAAGCCGGCUGCAAGGAGCCGGGCUAUCUCUUCUCCCACGAUUCUUCGCUUCUCUUCUGAUAGUCGGCGGAGGGGUUGCUUGACCGGCUUCGCAUCAGCUCGGACAUGUAAUUUGUGCUCGGCGAAAUCCUUCGGGACACCCGGCAUGUCCUUUGGGGACCAUGCAAAGAUGUCUCGAUUCUCACGGAGGAAGUCGGCGAGCUCGCCUUCCUAUUUACUGUCCAAGUUCGCCCCAAUCACGGCGAACCUCUCCGGGUGCUCCGGUUCUAGAGGUAUCUUCUUCGUCUCUUUUGCAGGCUGGAAGGAGCCCUGCGCGUCACAGUCCUUGGGGUUGGGGGGACAAGGCCGGCUCCUUGCCGGCCAUGGCCACAACCCGUUCCAACAUCUUCUUCUCUUUUGCCACCACAAGGGACUCGGCCAGCCGGCUGCUGGCCAUGGCACACUCGAUGGACUUCUUGUAGUCGCCGGCUAUCGUGAUGAUCCCUUUCGAGCUCGGCAUCUUCAUCUUCAGGUAGGCAUAGUGGGGCACAGCCAUGAACUUGGCCAAAGCAGGUCGGCCAAGCAGUGCAUGAUAGGGGCUUUCCAAAUCCACCACCUCGAACCAUAUUGCUUCCCGGCGAAAAUGAUCUUUGUCUCCGAAGAGAACAUCCAUCUUGAUCUUGCCGAUUGGAGAGCAAGAUAGGCCGGGUACGAUACCAUGGAAGACUGUGCGGCUCGGCAUGAGCUGCUUCGCUUUGAUGUUCAGCUUGUCCAUGGUAUCGCGGUACAGUAUGUUGAUACUGCUUCCGCCGUCUAUCAGGACGCGGGAAAAUCUGGCAGCUCGCCUCUCUGUCGCAAGGGUGACGUCCAAAACCAUAGCAUAGGAGCCAGGCGAAGGCAUCACCUCGGGGUGGUCGGCCUGGCUCCAGCUGAUGGGUUUUUCCGACCAGUGCAUGAACUCGGCGGUGCUAGAGGCGACUGCGUUUACUUCUUGGUGCUGCCGGCGUCGGCUGCGCUUGUCGUCGACUUGACUUGUGAAGACAACGUAGGCGUCGUGCGCUUCAGGGAACUCGUCUUGGAUGGCGCCGACUGCCGGCCGGGCCGCCGGCUGCGGGGGAGCUGGAGGCGGCGGGCCGGGAGGCGGAGGCGGCACCAUCCCUUCGCCCUUGGUGAUGCGGGUGAGCCAAUGGCAUUUCCGUGUUGUAUGGUUGGACGGCUUCGCGCCGCUGUGGAACUUGCAGGGAGCAUCGAGUGCUUGUUCGUAGGAGAAGGACGGCUGCCAGGGCGGCCGGCCUCCCUUCUUCUUGGGAGCAGGCCGCUCUUCGGGCUGCUCGUCUUCAAUGGUGGCCACCUGCCGACUGGAGCAAGUCGGCAUGGGGCCCUUGCGCUUGUGGUCGUUCUGGUAGGGGCGCCGGUUGGGGUCGCCAGCCGGCUGCUUGGGAGCCGGGGCGACCACUUUCCCCGAGGCGUCCACUCGGAGCUCGGUCUUCAUGGAGGAGUCGGCAGUAGCGUAUUUGUCGGCGAUGACGAGUAGCUCGUCGAGGGUGGCGGGCUCGUCGCAGAGGAGUCGGUGCUUGAGGAGGGUGCCCUCUCGGCACCCGGUAGUGAAGUAUUUGAUGGCCUGGACCUCGUGCACUCCCUCGCAGGAGUUGCGGAGCUCGGCCCAUCGCGUGAGGUAGUCGCGGGUCGACUCGUUGGGCCCCUGGACGCAGAGGGAGAGCUGGCGAGGCUUGGGAGGCCGCUUGUAGGUGCUGGUGAAGUUGCGAACGAAAGCUUCGGUGAAGUCCAGCCAACUGUUGAUGCUGUAGGGCUUGAGGCUGUUGAGCCAUGUGCGCGCCGCGCCCUACAGCAUCAGGGGGACGUACUUCACGGCAACGCGCCGGUUGCCGUUGGCGAUGCUGACGGCUGUGGAGUAGUCGAUGAGCCAAUCUUCCGGCUUCACCGAGCCGUUGUAUUUGGGCGUGUCUCUGGGGAACGAGAACCCUUUGGGAAAGGGCUCAUCGCGGAUGCGGGGGCCAAAGCAUGGCGGGCCGACAUCGUCUUCUUCUUCUAACGCCAAGGAUCAGGCCAGGCGGUCGAUCCUGUGGCGGGCGUCGCUCUCGCCGACUCCUUCUCGGCGGCCGAGUCGGCCGCCAAGGGUCGGAUGGGUGACAGGCGGUGGAGUGAGGCGUCUUUCUCUUCGCGGUGGGGGAGGAGGCAGGUUUCCCUGAUGUUCAACCGCCCGAGGGCGGCCUUCCGCGUCGCGCUCGAUAGUUAUGCGGGUCCGGCUGCGGCUGGCAGCCGGCUCCUUGUCUUUCUUCUGGCGCGCCGCUCGCAGUCGGCGAGCAGGACGUUGCCGCGUGCUCCCGGCGCGGAGGUUGACUAUCGGCACGGGCACCGGCUUCGUGCCGUUCUGCAGCCGCGUCGAUCAGCUGCUGGAUCCGUCUUGUCAUGUAGGGGAGAUCGUCGGCUCCCAGCUCAUUGAGCUCCUCUGCAGCCGCCUGAGCGGCCCGCAGAUUCUCGAGCGGGGUGGCGUAGACGGGGCGAUCUGCGCCCAACAUGCUGGCAACGGCUGCGCCGCGCUUCUGGACGAAACCGGCUCGGCUCGGGCCGCUAGGCGGCGGCGUCCCGAAGGCGGCGCGGUCAGCUUCGCGCUGGUGGGCCUCGGUGAGACGUCUCAUCGAGGCUAUCUUCUUGCCCUCCGUGAUGAGGGCAAGGCGGCGUGCCUCCAGGGUCUCGGCGUCGGCGUCGGCCGGGAUGGGGACGGAGAGGUCGUGCAUCGCCGCUCGCUGAGCGUCGCGGGCGUUCUCGCCCGAGUCGGAGACGUGGCCGAUGACCAUCACUUCGGUGACAGCGCUGCUGCCGCUGUCAGCUCGAGGGAGUGGGUCGUCGAAGACCACCACGUCGGAGGGGUAAGCGUCGAGCGACGCGGUGUCGGAGUCGAUGAGCAUCGGGUCGGUGGAGCCGACAAACUCCAUGUCCGCAGCAGGCUCGCCGGAGACGUGAAGUUGGUCGAGGAGGCUGACGAGGCAGCUCUCGGGGUAGUCGGUGCCUGCGUCGGACGCAGGCUCGUCGGAGAUGCGAGUCUCGCCGAGCUGAUCGGCGAGGCGGCUCGCUACGCAGGCGUCGCCGACGCCUUGCAGCGCGUCGGGGCAAGCGCCAUCGGGCGCAGCAGGCUGGCUGCGCUCGCGGGGAAGGAAGAAGAUUCCCGUCCAGAACAGGUCUCCGGACGACGGUGCACCUGGCCCAACGGUGGGCGCCAAAUGUCGGCUGGUUGAUGCGACAUAUGCCAAGGGAUGGCUUAUCAUUGUGGGAGCCAAUAAAACGUCGCCGGUGCCUGGAAACGGGAUGAGGCGAAGACAUGCACGCCGGCGAAUCUUACCCAGGUUCGGGGCGCUCCGAGGAGAUAACACCCCUAGUCCUGCUCUGCGGGGUCUCCGCAUGAUCAGUAGAUCGAUAAAGGGUAGCUACAAUCGCUCCUAGAGCUGUUGGGAUCAAGGGAGAAGGAGCACAAGGCUAGCUCUUGCUUCUCUCUAUCUAUGUGUGCGCGUGUGUCAUCUUGGAUGCGAACCCUUUGCAUGGGUGCUCCGGGGGGUUUAUAUAGGCCUACCCCCCGGGGGUACAAUGGUAAUCCGACUGGGACCUGGCCCCAGCCGUCAGUGUCUACGCUCGCCGGCUUCUCCGCCGGCUGCUGGGUCCCGCCGGCUGCCGGAUACUCGGUCGACAGGUCGGUCCCACCGCCUAGGGUUUUGUUGGCGGCUACUUACUGUAGCCGCGCCUCGGAUGAUGAGGGCUUUGUCGAGGUGAGCGUGGCUACAGUGGGUCGCGUCGGGGGCUAUCACUGUAGCCUCACCUCGUCUUGUCUCCUUAAUGGGGCUCCUGCUUCGAGGAAGGGCAUGGCCGGCUUCUGGAGGCCGGCUAUGCUCCCGGCCGACUAGGGAAAGCCGGGCCGCCUUCACGCCUCUCUCUGGCUGAAGGGGCCCGCAGUCCUUGGGUCGUGCAAGAACGGGUCGUGGAUGACGUCGAGGCUAACGUGGCUACAGUGCCGGGCUGCACGGGAGACCUCCCUCUCGUACGGCCUCCUGUAGCCAUGCCCGCCUCGGGCUUCGGGGGUCGUGGGCCGCACUGUGGCCACGCCCCGUCAGGUCGCCGUUAAGUUGGAGUGGUUGUGGUCGUGGCCGGCUUCUAGGAGUCGGCGUCCUUCUGGGCCGGCUUCUUGGAGUCGGCGAGGCUAGGUCGUCUUCCGGGAGUCGGCUUUAGUGGUAGCCGGCCCGGGAAGGCGACCCAAAUGCUUGGAGUGCUUGAAGGCCCAAAGGCCUGAUAAAUUUUCUGAAGAGCCAGGGGUAGCCGGUUUGGCUACCCGUGGCCACUUACUCCGACAAGACACAUUCAUGUAACCCGGCAUACACAGUCAUGUAAACCGGCAGACACAGUCAUAUAAGCCGGACAGUUAAGCCGGCAGAUGUUAAGCCAGAUGUUAAGCCAGACGGUAAGCCAGAUGGUAAGACAGAUCGUAAACCAGACCGCAAGUCAGAUUGUAAGCCAGAUUGUAGGAAACCCAAGACGUUAAGAAGCCCAUGGAGAGAGGCCCGUGAUGAGAGGUCAGAAUAGUUUAAGUCUUAGUCCGAGAUGGACUCUACAUGUAACCCGCCCCUUCAUCUUAUAUAAGGAGGGGCAGGGCUCCCCAAAGAGGGACAAGCAACAAGAAACAAUCUCUAGGGCUAGACACAAAGAGCCAGCUUACCGGCGACUCUCUCAUGAGCAUAAUGAGACCUAGCCACAAACAACAUGUAGGGCUAUUACCGGAUGAUGUUUCCCGGGGCCCGAAGCUGUGUAAAUCCUUGUCUUGUGUGCCGCGUCUCUCGUCCCGAUCAACCCCUCUCAAGCUACUACAUAGAUGCGUUGGCCUCACGACUAAGUCCUCACACUAGGACAUCUGUCGUGACAAUUCCUCGACAGUUGGCGCCCACCGUGGGGCUGUGCACGGUGGUGUUGAGUUCUUGGAGGGAUCUUUCCCAAGGUUUCAAGAAGUUCGUGAAUUUUCGGAUGAAGAAGAACCGGUUUGGAAGGGUCUACGUUUGCAAUCCGCGAGAUCUGCGUUCGAUGAAAAUUAGGGUUGCGUACAGUGCGACGGUUGAUCAUGAUCCGGCGAGUCAAAAGACGAAUCGGUAUCUGCUACAUUGAAAAUAUGGCUGUUGUGACCAGCCGUUGCGGUGACCCUUGGAGCAAGAGCCUCUGUUAAAUUUGCUGAGUCGCCGCCGGGUCAAGCCCUGCUUCCUCGCUAGGAUGUACAUGGAAGGAUUUACAUGGACUGCAAGUUCAUCAGAGAAGAUUGAAUAAAAAGGGAGGGGUCAUGGACUCGAUUUCGGCGGCCAUGGCCUGUCUCGACCUGACUUCGCCCCGUCUCGCUGGCUGCAUCGCCCUCAACCGCAGCGCCGCCUCAGCGCGCCUCCGCUCCAAGUGGCCCCAGCUGCCGACUGGUCGUCGCUGCGGUCGAGCCGCCUCCGCUGGUCGCCGUUUUUGCCUCGUCGGCCGCCCUUCCUCGCUCUGAGCCGCCUUGAGCCGCUGGAUUCUUCCGUCGCGGAUCACUUCCGCCGGCCGUCUUCAAGUCGGCAACGUUGAGCCGCCUCACGCCGCGGCCACGAUUGCCAUGCUUCAAGUCACGGCGAAUCGCCAAAUUGCCUCCGCCUUUAGAGCUGUCUGCCGGAGCUGUUGCCAUCGCCGAGAGCCGCCCAGUCUCUUUCUAUUUUCAACCCGGACUGGCCUCGCCCACCUCUGCUCUGCUCCGCGCGCGCGUGCGCGCACAGCCGUCUGGCUCACCUCUGCUGCUACCUGCUCUGAGCCGCCACUGCUGAAUCACCGGACUGCUCGUCCGCCGGGUAGCCACAGCCUCUCUCACCCCGGGUCGAGCUGCCGCGGCCGAACCGCACUACGGACUCAUAUCCGCAGCAGUCGCCUGCCUCCAUCAUUGCACGACCUGGAGGAGGUCUCAGUCAAUCAGAGUCGGCCUCUUUUCCGCGCGCUGCAUCAAGUCAUCGCCGCGCCUCCGAGCCAUUACGGCCGGCCGGGUCCCUACCGUCGCCGCCGCUGUACUUCUGAACCGCCACUGCGCCGGGUCAUCUUCCACCUCCGUCGACCUCCCGCGUCCUCGCCUUGAGACACCCACCUCUGCUGAGCCGCUCCGGGCCGAUCGUCGCCAUCGCACCCUUGUCGUUCGACUCGCCGGCGCCUCUCUGACCGCACCACGAGCAACUUCCCCUCAGCUGUGACAGGGUCGGGCCGCCCCCUACACAACCGAGCCGCCAAAUCAUCUCCGCCUUGGAUUCAAGUAACCAUCGCCACGCCAGAGUCAAUGGCCCCUGCACAACAUACGUUCGCAGCGUCUGAGCCGUCAUGGCCUGCCUGAGCCCUCGCCGAGCCGCCUGUUUAGAAUGGCUGUCAACAUACGGCCGUGUUAAAUCACCGUUGUUCCUUGCUGGGUCACUGGAGCCCCUCUGCCACUUGUGAGCCGCCACCACGGACACGACUCCGCUCCAAGUCGCCUCCGCCUUGGUCUGCCUGCUCGAACUCUGACCCCUGGGUUGUCCAUCUGCCGCGGCCGUCCCCCACGCUGGUUUUCUGUACCGCCCCGCGCGGCUCCAGCUCACGCCCGGUCUUCUCCGAUUCCCAGCUCGCUGUUCCGAGUCACUUAUGGCCUGAGUCACUGGUCUGGCCGGUUCUGGCACGCCAUGUAAGACGAAUCUCCGCAACCACAAGCGCGGAGGAAAAAUUCGCGCCGCAAUAGGGCAGCGGCAUGCUGGUCAAACUGGGAUGCAACGUCGCGUGUGAUCAAACCGCGGCUACAAAUCUCUGUUUCUUUACUUAAGAGCCAGGCGCUCUUUUCUGCUACUGCAAUUGUCGCGUGUACGAAGCAAAACAGUUCCAGGUCAAUGAAAAAUCUACCGAGGUUAGUCAAACAGGGGAGUCUAGCAGCACGAUUCAUGGGAGGACCAUCAAGUGCUUCGUCUACAGACAUCCGACAAGUCCAAAGUCUAGUUACCAUACUAGCACAUCUUACGGGAGGACCACCAGUGCUAUGUCUACGUACUGCAUCCGCCGACCACUACUGCUGAGUCGCCAUGGCCAUGUCUCACUGAGCCGUCUCUGCAUCAAAUCCGAUUGCCUACGGUCCCUCGUCAAGCCACUGUCUCACCUCGCCGGAUGCCUCCUCAAUUUCAGCAGUGCCGAGUUGAUCCGACCUGGCGCCCUUCCAAACUGCGGUGACCCGCCCCCUACAAACCGCCACCACGCUCGCCGGCUCGCAGCUCGGGCCGCCCAUGCGGUCCUUCCACGACCCUCGCCUCGCCUCGCUCUGCGCCCGGCCGCCGUCCAGGCUGGUGCCUUGCUUCACUGGCGUCACUCACUUGGCGUUUUCAAGCUGACCGGCCGCCGUUGAGCCGCCCCUGCUACGGCCGCCGUUGAGCAGCCCCCGCUGUCAUCGCUGGCCACGAACCGCCUUACCGCGUUGUUCUGUCGCGGUGUCUUGCAGCAAGUCGCCUCGGCCCCAUGCUACCGCGAGCCACCUUGCCGCCAGAACCGCUGUCAGGGCCUCCACAGGUUUGAGCCGCCCUCGCCUCUGACGCAAGUCGCCCUGUGUGGCCUCGUCCUGAGACGCCCCUGCCGGCUAUCCGUUUCGACCCCCACGACCUCAAGUUGACCUGCUUCUGAGACGCUGUGACUCAUGCUGCAAAUCGCCGCCUUUGAACUGCCGCUGCCAUUGAGAGCCUUUACCUCGCCUAACCGGGUGUUCCACCAGCACCGGCCCUUCGCGUUGCCGAGCUGCCCUUUGUUUGAAACCGCCGAGGCCGCAACCCACCGGUGCCUCCAUUGAGCCGCCGUUGCACGUCACCUCUAUCUUGGUCCGGAGCCUCUGGGCCAGCCUGUAACGCUGCUGAGUCACCACUCCGGGUUGCCUCCGUCGUCGUGCCUCGAGUUGCCAUGUUCCUCCUCCGCCUCGCCGGGGGCUUCCUUGAACCGCCUCGCUCUGCCACGGAUGCGCCACCCUGCCUUCGAGCUGCUCCAUUUGACCCGCCGGUGCGGCCUUGAGCCGUCCCUGCCGGUUGCGUUUUGCUUUAAGCCGCCCCUACUGGAGGACACCUUGCACCUUGCCGGCACGGUGCUGCAUGCCCUCUCUGUUUCAACGCAUGAGCCGCCAGAUGACAAAAGUUAUGCAAGACCAAAGCAAGGUGCCAUUAUUUCAUGCAAAAAUUGGCCAUGCAGUGAUCCCACUGGUUUGACCGGUGCUAAGUGGUACUUGAGGCUACCCACGUGGGAUUAAGCACAAAAGUACCAGCGAUUUGUGGUGAGCCACCCUGUUGUCGCCCGGCGCUUUAAACGCCUCUGUCGUCGUCUCACCCUUGCGGUGAGCCGCCGCUGCCCACUGGCCUUGACCCGCCUGUUGUCGCGCUUCAAACCGCCACCUCUGUCGUUGUUGCUGCAACCUACAGCUAAUAUUUCUUCAUAAAAAAUAUCAGAAUUCAUCAUUACAAAGGAUGCCAUCAAGCUAUGGCCCUUACCUGCACCGGAUGGGUUAAUGGACAGGGUCAAUUAUAACCCGCCAAGAAUAAACAUAUUCCAGUAAUCCAUUGGUCAUAUCAUGAUCAAGCAUGGAGAGUCUCAAGCCAACGCCUCAAGUAGUCUUAAGACUCAGGGGCUAGAAUGACAUGACUCAAAUAAACUUGCCAGUUUCAGCGGGCUCAAGAACUUCGGAUCAUUGGAGGGUAGAUAACCCGGUCCCAGAGGCUACCGCCAUAUCGGUAAAAAUUUAAGGGCCGUCAGAAAAUUUCUGGCUAAAAAUGAAGCAAUUCCGGUUUAAAAACCGGUUCAAGGGAAAUCUGUUAUGUCCCACAAAGCUCUGAAGCUCUCAAUAUCCGGCUCAACACCCGGUUCAAGAAGAAUUUAUCUUUUGCAAAAAGUUAAAGGUUGCCGAAGAGGACCUGCUGCCAUGAUGUGCAGUUCAAAAAUGGGUAUCCUGCCUAAUGGGCUUAUCACAUUAUUGGUCACUUGGGGGCUUCCUGUUCAAACAUAGGUCGUAUUCGAACCAAAGAGAACAUAGCUGUCGGUACCCUCUUGAUCAGCGCAAUGCCAAACCCACUAGGGGGCUUCUUGAUCAUAUUCGAAUCAUAGCUUAACCCCUUUUGGGUCCGACUUUGAUCGUAUUCGAAUCAGAGUCGUUAAAAAACUCUCAAGGUCCUCUGGGGGUUUCCUGUUCAAACAUAGGUCGUAUUCAAACCAAAUAGAACAUAGCUGUCGGUACCCUCUUGAUCGGCGCAACGCCAAAGCCACUGGGGGCUACAUGAUCGUAUUCGAAUCCUAGCUUAACCCCUUUGGAAUGGUUCACUGAUCGUAUUCGAAUCAGAAGCCUCGAUUUUUCUUUCUAUUUGGCUUAAGUUUUUUGAAAACAAUCUUUGAUUUUGUCUUGAGACUUUUCUGUUCAGAUCUAAGUAUAAGUGUGGUUUAAAUUUAACCCGGCUUGGUUUUGGACGAUAAGUUGCCAACAUAUGACAAACAUCAUACAUUUGGAAGUGAGUGGCUUCUAAGGAUUGGGUUAUCACCCAUACUGCACAGGUAUCCUAAACCGACAGUACGAUUCAAUAUCAUAGGAACCGGUUUUCCAAACCCGAUUAUAUUAUUCAAUUCUUUAAUAGCCAACAUGGCUGGAUUUUUAUUAUGGUUAUCAAUAGCCAGUAUUAUGAUGGAGGUCUUCAAAGUCGCUUCAGCGCAAUGACUAUUAUUUUAUCAAUGGGCAUGAUUUAUUUUACAAUCGAGGAAAUAGUCCCGAGUCGCUGCAGCUUACGACCCGGCACUUGAGGGCUACAUUAUUCAAGUUGAGAUUACAUCAAAUAUGCAAGUCUCAUGUCGCUGCGAGCAUGCACCAUGACACUUGGGGGCUAAUGCAAAGUCAUUUUUAUUGGCCUUAUUGAAGACCCGACUCAUCCCAUUGUAAUGAGCCGGCCCUUGUGGGCUACCAAUUGCUCCUGUCAAAAAUUCAAGGUACACAAGCUUCAGCCCAUUAUAUUGAAAGAUCCACUACUCAGUUGGUAGAGUACAAAGCUCUUAACCUUAUGUAUGGACAUGGGUUCAAGCCCCAUGGUGGAGAUUACACCAUAUGAUGUUAUCAUCAAUAAAUUAUAUACAAAGUCCCAGCUCAGUAUUAUCUUACUGAGCCGGCCCUUGGGGGCUACACGUUGCUACUCAAGUUUACAUGAUCAUAUUUACAAAAGUCCCUGCUCAUUAUUUCAUAAUGACCCGGCAUUUGGGGGCUACAAGUGAUAUGAAUAUAUUGGAGUUCUACAUCUUCAAGCUCGCUGAAAAUCAGAUGAGUAUUUCAUGUCCAAUGUUUUCUAUUAUGAAGCUAGUCUAUUGACUCGGAUUUUCUAGAAGAAGGAAAUACCAAGGAAUUAAGGCUGAUCAGGUGCCAGCUUACAAGAGCUUUUAACACGGAGCAUAAUCUGUCAAAAUUGUUCUUGUGUUUGUUUUACAGGAUCAGUUUAACAUGGAUGAAUCCAAAUUAAACUGGGGGCUAAUGUCGGGGAUAUACCCCGUGGUAUGACCCGGCCGGAGAUAUGACCCGGCUGGGACAUGAUGUUUCAUUGGUGACCCGGCAGACUAUAAGCCGGCGGGAACAGUUAGGCAUUGUAAGCCGGCAGGCACAGUCAUGUAACCCGGCAUACACAGUCAUGUAACCCGGCAUACACAGUGAUGUAACCCGGACAGACACAGUCAUAUAAGCCGGACAGUUAAGCCGGCAGAUGUUAAGCCAGACGGUAAGCCAGAUGGUAAGACAAAUCGUAAACCAGACCGUAAGUCAGAUUGUAAGCCAGAUUGUAAGAAGCCCAAGACGUUAAGAAGCCCAUGGAGAGAGGCCCGUGAUGAGAGGUCAGAAUAGUUUAAGUCUUAGUCCGAGAUGGACUCUACAUGUAACCCGCCCCUUCAUCUUAUAUAAGGAGGGGCAGGGCUCCCAAAAGAGGGACAAGCAACAAGAAACAAUCUCUAGGGCUAGACACAAAGAGCCAUCUUACCGGCGACUCUCUCAUGAGCAUAAUGAGACCUAGCCACAAACAGCAUGUAGGGCUAUUACCGGAUGAUGUUUCCCGGGGCCCGAAGCUGUCUAAAUCCUUGUCUUCGGUGUCGCGUCUCUCGUCCCGAUCAACCCCUCUCAAGCUACUACAUAGAUGCGUUGGCCUCACGACUAAGUCCUCACACUAGGACAUCUGCCGUGACAAUUCCACGACACACGUCGCCCCGGCCAAUGGCAGCGCACCACGUCAGCUCCGCCGCCGCCCACAACCAACCAGGAGGCGACACGUCACCCAUGCCUCGUCGGCGACCGCCGCCGCGCCUCCCCGAUCGCGUGCCCGCGCCUCCUCGCACGCCGCCUCGUUUGCCGAACCCCGUCGCCGACCGCCCCGCACCGGCGCACGAGCGCCGCCGUGUCCCGCGCCUCACCCAUCGCCGCCAGUUCAUCNNNNNNNNNNNNNNNNNNNNNNNNNNNNNNNNNNNNNNNNNNNNNNNNNNNNNNNNNNNNNNNNNNNNNNNNNNNNNNNNNNNNNNNNNNNNNNNNNNNNNNNNNNNNNNNNNNNNNNNNNNNNNNNNNNNNNNNNNNNNNNNNNNNNNNNNNNNNNNNNNNNNNNNNNNNNNNNNNNNNNNNNNNNNNNNNNNNNNNNNNNNCGCCGGCCCCAGAUCUGGACGCCGCCGUCCCGGAUCGGCUUCGCCCCCGAUCCAAACACGCGUCCCCCCCAAGAUCUCUCCAUCCCGCACGGUUCCGGCGCGAUUUCGCGGGGUGAGAUUUCUGCCAAGUCCCAACAUUCAUACAUCAUGUGUGCAUAUUCAUCAUGACAUAACUUAAUGUGCGCUGCUCCGUUUUAUGCGUGUGAUAUGUCAAAAUGUUCACCAUGAGAUGCUCUUCACCUCAUUCCAUUGUGCCAUGUUUUUUUGAGUCCAUCUUGAUGCCUUAAUCAUUGUUACAAAAGUGCUAUAUGAUGUUAACUGCUUACUGUUAUCAGAACUUGGUGAUUUGUCUUUUUCAUUGCAUUUUGUGUGUGCAUCCUAUGAGCAUGAGCUCUACACGUGUUUUGAACUACAUCAUGCCAUAUUUACAGGGGUGCUUGUCUUGAAUUUUAUUGAUAUAUGUGGUGUCUAGCACAAGCAUGCAAACUAGCCUCCUUGAUGUUGUUGAUUUCUGUGACUUGGUCAUUUCUGCUAAGUCUGUAGCUGUAACAUUGUGAUGCUAUGUAAACCUGCUGCUACCAUGAGUUCGAUGCAUAAUCUGGAGAUGUUAACUAAGGGUCUUUUGUUAUACAUGUUAUGGUGUAUCCAUCCAUGCCCUUGGUUGCAUUUAUAGCCUGCUGUAGCUUGCUUAAAACUUGCUCUCAAUUUGCUAAAUAAUGAUGCUGUCAGCCUGUUAAUAUGAAGUUCAGUUUUGACAUGUGUUUUGCUAGUGAUCCAUUCACCCUAUAAAUUUCUCUUGCCAUGCUUAGCUUCAUAAAUGUGCCUUAUUACUGUUUGUCACCUUGUCAUGCUAUGUAAUACUCUCUGGUGAGUGGUACAAGCUCACCAAAGUGCCUAGUUAUCGUUGUUGCAGCCAUGAACUGUUAUUUUCAUCGUCUGGAUCUGUUUAUGAAACUUGCUAUGUUUACAUGGGUGCCAUCAUAUCUUAUGUGCAUUUUUGGCUCAUGAUCAGUAAGAUACUUUUGUUCUAUAAAAUUAGUAGAUUCAUGCCAUCACUUUGUUUGCUACGAUAUGUUCCUGUAGCAUGUUGUUUGAUAGCUCUAAACUUAGCAACCUGAUGUUAUUUCUGCCAUGUCCAGUGAUUUCUGCUAAGUCUGUGAAACUGUUAUUAUUUGCAAUCUUGCCAUGUCCUUUUGAGCAUGCUCUAGUGAUUUCUAGAGAUAGCUCAGUGUUCAUGUUUUGUCGUGCUUUACCGGUACAUUUUGUCCAUGCCUUUUACUCUCAUGUUAGGAUGCUGUAGCAUACUGCUUUGAUGCCUGCAAAAUGCCUAGUUGCUGUUUUGGACAGAUUGUUAUUAUAUCUUGUUUGGAGUGUAUGUGUUGCACCGUUGCUCCGUUUUGAGCAUGCUCUAUAUGAAACUUGCUUAGUUUUGCAUGAGGUUCCAUAUUAUCAUGUUGCAUCCUUGUUUUGAGAGUGUUUGCUUGAUGUUUGAAUGCAUUUUGCAUCAAUGCUAUGUUUAACUUGGUUUGCUCAUAUCUUCUAGGCCGUAGGUCCGAACUAAAUGAACUUUAUAUGUAACUUGACUAGAAUUUCAUGUAGAUCAUCUUGGUGCAUCUUAACUUGCUGUUUAACAACUUGAACAUAAGGUUUAUUCCGAUCUGGACCAAUUUUGAAAUUUGCAUAUGGGGAUUUACCGGAAUUGUUAUAGGUUGUUUCCGGCCUCAUUUAAACUUUCUUUGAUGUGUUGCUCUUGUAUGCAUCAUCUCUUGCCAUGAGUAGCAUCACAUAGCCUUGUCAUGCAUCAUACUUGAUUGAGCAUCAUGCCUUGUUCAUGUGUGGUGUGUUUACCAUGUUGUGCUCCUUCUCGAUAGUUCCCGUAUCGUUGCGAUCGUGAGGAUUCGUUCGUCUACGCUUGGUUCGUCUUCGUGGCUUCAAUCUUCUUCAUGGACUCGUUCUUCUUCCUAGAGGGAGUUCAGGCAAGAUGACCGUAACCUUGGAUCUCAUUACUAUCAGUGCUAUGCUAGGUGCUUCGUUCUAUCGCUAUGCUGCGCUACCUAUCACUUGCUCUUCAAGCCUCCGAAAUUGCCAUGAAACCACGUCUAACCUUUGUCACCGUUCCUAGUAAACCAUUGUUUGGCUAUAUUACCGUUUUUGCUCAGCCCCUCUUAUAGCGUUGUUAGUUGCAGGUGAAGAUGAAGUUUUCUCCAUGUUGGAUUAUGCUUAUGUUGGGAUAUCACAAUAUCUCUUAUUUAAUUAAUGCAUCUAUAUACUUGGUAAAGGGUGGAAGGCUUGGCCUUAUGCCUGGUGUUUUGUUCCACUCUUGCCGCCCUAGUUUCUGUCAUACCGGUGUUAUGUUCCUUGAUUUUGCAUUCCUUACGCGGUUGGGUGUUAUGGGAACCCCUUGACAGUUCGCUUUGAAUAAAACUCCUCCAGCAAGGCCCAACCUUGGUUUUACCAUUUGCCUACCUAAACCUUUUUCCCUUUGGAGUCGCGCUCCCGAGGGUCAUCUUUAUUUUACGCCCCCGGGCCAGUGCUCCUCUAAGUGUUGGUCCAAACUAGAGCCCUUUGCAGCACCACCUCGGCGAAACUUGAGGCCUGGUUUUAGUUGUACGGAUUGCUCAUCCGAUGAGCCCUGAGAACGAGAUAUGUGCAGCUCCUAUCGGGAUUGGUCGGCACAUUCGGGAGGCUUUGCUGGUCUCGUUUUACCAUUGUCGAAAUGUCUUGUAAACCGGGAUUCCGAGACUGAUCGGGUCUUCCCGGGAGAAGAAUAUCCUUCGUUGACCAUGAGAGCUUAUAAUGGGCUAAGUUCGGACACCCCUGCAGGGUAUUAUCUUUCGAAAGCCGUGCCCGCGGUUAUGUGGCAGAUGGGAAUUUUUUAAUGUCCGGUUGUAGAGAACUUGACACUUGACUUAAAUAAAACGCAUCAACCGCAUGUGUAACCGUGAUGGUCUCUUUUCGGCGGAGUCCGGGAAGUGAACACGGUUUUGGGUUAUGUUUGAACGUAAGUAGUUUCAGGAUCACUUCUUGAUCAUUGCUAGUCUCACGACCGUUCCGUUGCUUCUCUUCUCGCUCUUAUUUGCGUAUCUUAGCCACCAUACAUUGCUUAGUCGCUGCUGCAACCUCACCACUUAUCCUUUCCAUACCCUUUAAGCUUUGCUAGUCUUGAUACCCAUGGUAAUGGGAUUGCUGAGUCCUCGUGGCUCAUAGAUUACUACAACAACAGUUGUAGGUACAGGCUUUGCAAUGAUCAUGACGCGAGAGCGAUGUUACUUGUUUUGGAGUUCUUCUUCUUCUUCUUCUUCGAUCAGGGGAUAGGUUCCAGGUCGGCAGCCUGCGCUAGCAGGGUGGAUGUCGUUUGAGUUUCUAUUUGUGUUUCAUCCAUAGUCGGAUGUUGAUCUUAUGUAUGAUGUAUUGGUGUAUUCUUGGGGUGUUUGUGCCUUUUGUAUGUUUCCCCAUCUAUUAUGUAAUGUUGAUGUAAUGAUAUCCACCUUGCAAAAAGCGUUUCAAUAUGCGGGUCUAUCCUUGGUGGGACAUUCGAGUUCCUCUCGGAUAGGGUCGCAUAUUGGGCGUGACAAGUUGGUAUCAGAGCCUCGACCGACCUUAGGAGCCCCCCUUGAUUGAUCGUAUAGUUUGGCCGUUGUUGAGUCUAGAAGAAAACUGUUUUUGGGAGUCUAGUUAUAUCGCAGAGUAGGAAUCCUUUUUACUCCUCAGCCCCUUCGUCGCUCUGGUGAGGAAUCUUGACGUUGGUGUUUCGACUUACUUCUCUUCCCCUUCAAUUUUUCUUUAGGAUCACGCGGAUAGUUUUCGUUCGUUGUCCAUCCUCUUUUCAAUCCGGCGCAUUUUUUCUCCGAGUGGUUUCGCUCCUCGCCAUCUUUUGCAAGAUCAGUCCUUAGUGCUUUCUCAACCAACGUUGUUUCCCCAUCCGAAGUUAUCCUUGUUUUUCCCACCCGCCCACCCUUCUUCUUCUCGGAGCCGGAGUCCGUAAUCGAGUAUCCAUCCUACUCGUGUGAAGCCUUUGCAUUCUUUCCUCAAGUAUUUAAACUCUACAAGCUAUUCAUCGGUUCUCCCUUUCAAGUUGCCUUUGUUUCCCGCCCUCCCACCCUCUUUUUCCCGGAGCUUGACUCUCUUUCGAGCAUCACUUUCAUUCGUGCGGAGUAUCUUCAGUCUUUCCUCAGUUGUCUCAACCGGUGAAUUCUCGCCUAGUUAAUCAAUGUUUGUCUCAUUUCCUUUUCCGAUGGAUUCAAUUCCAAUUUUCGGUAGUGAUUAUAUUCUUUCCUCGGCUCAAAUGUUUCCCGUUGCUCGUUCCCCUCUCGUCAUUUAAUCGUUCCGGAGUGAUGAAGACAUCUCAGGAGAUUUGUCUGUGUUCGAAUUAAUCUGAGGUUAUCACCUCAUUCAAAUAUUUCAAUUGUUCCGGUGCAUCAUCUAUCUCUGCAACAAUCUUUUUCAACGGUGUUUCUUUUUAGUGGGCCCUAACCCACAGGUCUUUUCCCAGGAUCUUACCUGACUCUUCUAAGUUUCCCGGAGUUAUUCUCAAAUCCUUUUCGAAGUUUGACGUAAGUAGGAAUUUCAUCAGUCAGAUGCUUCUCUAAGAUCGCUUUCAAAUUCUUUCAUGAUCGGGUCAACCUUUUCCUCCUUUCAUUCUCCCGGAGUAUCUCAUCAAUUUUGGUGUUGUUUCUCGUCGUCAUUCUCAACAUUUGAGGACCGAAGAAGAGUUUCGUUUAAAUCUUGCCCAUUCUCUCGGAGAUUCGUGGUGCUAGCUUCAUGUUAUCCUCUCAAAUUAUUCUAGUCGUGCAAUUCUUUUCAUCCAUCCAGAGUAUUUCAGGAGCUGUUUUCUCUCUCGAUCAUCUAAAGGCCAUCUUUUCAGAAGAUUUCUUCGUCCUAAGUUUUCAGAUUCGUUCUCCAAUUAUUCUAUAUUCGUGCCCCUUCGUUCGUUUACAUAUUCUUCCGGUGCUUCAUUCAAGUAUGCUUCAAUCAGCUCGCGAUCUCUUCUUUCAAUUGCAUCCUGAUUCCCUCAAGUAUAUUCGUGCUUUUCCUAUUUUUCCCGGUGAGUCAUUCUCCUUCGUCAUUCAAUUUUGAAUUCUAACGGUGGUUCGUUCAAGACCCCUUGUCAUUUGUAAUCAUAUCAAUUAAUUCGUUCUUUCCAAAUCCUACCGGUGGUUCAUGAAGACUUUCUCAAGUUUUGCGCUAUAUCCCCCCUUAAUCUUUUCCAACGCGAAUAAGUGGUAUGCAAAUCCAUGGUAUCUCAUCAAUUUAAUUGAUGGAGGAUAGGCAUAACAUAAUUCUUAUUCUUCCCCAUCAAGUUAUCUAAUCCCUCCCUUCAGAGUUGUUCAUGUUGAAUAUACUCUAAUCCCAAGUGAUUCCAGCUUUCUUUCCGGAGUUCCAAGCUUCCUCGGCAAUCUCGUCGGAACCUCCAUCGGAAUCAUCGCAAGGCUCAAAUCUUAUUCUAUUCAUCCUUCAAUUCUAUCCCAUAAUCCUUUUUGCAACCGGAGUGGUUUCGAAUUCAUUCGUAUUCCUUGAGCUUUGAUUCCCAUCGUAAUCGUCGUUCCUCUUUUCUAUUCGGUUGCCCUCGACCUUGUUCUUUCUCUCUUUUUUGCUCUUAUUUCACCUCAUCUUCUUUCCCUUCCAUCUCGGUCCUAAGAUCUCGGGACGAGAUCUCUUGUUAGUGGAGGAGUGUUGUAACGCCCCGGCUUCGAUGCGCCAGGUGUCUUCCAGUUUUUCGCCGUCUUUGUCAUGUCAUUUGAUUGCAUGUUUCAUUUUGCCAUGUCAUCAUCUGCAUUUCAUCUGCAUGCUUUUCAAAACUUGCAUCUGCCCUUUUUCCCCGUUGUCCGUUUCGUGAUCCGACACACUCGCACGUGCCCGUCGCCCCUCUCAGACCUUGGUUCGCGAGCGGGAGAAAAACGUUCUCGGAAUGGGCCGAGAUUUGCCGAGUGGCCUUGGUAUAUCACCGGCAGACCGCCCGUCAAAUUUCGUUCCAUUUGGAGGUCGUUUGAUUCCCCAACGGUUAACCGCAUAGCCCGAAAGCCCCUUUUGUCUUGCAGCCCAACACCCCUCCAAAUCAGCCCACUAACCCAGAAAAACCCCUCCAUGCUCUCGGUCGUUCGAUCACGAUGGUGUGGGCGAAAACCGCACCUCAUUUGGACUCUCCUAGCUCCCUCUACCUAUAAAUAUGUGACUUCCCCCGAAAAUCCCAAAUGAAACCCUAGCCUUCCUCUUCCUCGCGCCGCCGGACUUGUCCACCGCCGCCAGCCACAUCGCUCCGGCCAAUGGCAGCGCGCCAUGUCAGCUCCGCCGCCACCCACAGCCAACCAGGAGGCGACACGUCGCCCCUGCCUCGUCCCACUCCGUCGCGGCCCGCCAGGCCCAUGGGGAGCCCGCCCCAGGCCCGAUCUCGCGCCCGCUCGCCCGUGCCACUGCCGGAGAGCGCGGCCCGCUGCCUCAUCGACGACCGCCGCCGCGCCUCCUCGCCCGCUACCUCNNNNNNNNNNNNNNNNNNNNNNNNNNNNNNNNNNNNNNNNNNNNNNNNNNNNNNNNNNNNNNNNNNNNNNNNNNNNNNNNNNNNNNNNNNNNNNNNNNNNNNNNNNNNNNNNNNNNNNNNNNNNNNNNNNNNNNNNNNNNNNNNNNNNNNNNNNNNNNNNNNNNNNNNNNNNNNNNNNNNNNNNNNNNNNNNNNNNNNNNNNNNNNNNNCCGGCCCCAGAUCUGGACGCCGCUGUCCCGGAUCGGCUUCACCCCCGAUCCAAACGCGCCUCCCCGCCCGGAUCUCUCCAUCCCGCACGGUUCCGUCCCAAUUUCGCGGGGUGAGAUUUCUUCCAAGUCCCAGCGUUCAUACAUCAUGUGUGCAUAUUCAUCAUGCCAUAACUUCAUGUGCGCUGCUCCGUUUCGUGCGUGUAAUAUGCCAAAAUGUUCACCAUGAGAUGCUCUUCGCCUCAUUCCAUUGUGCCAUAUUUGUUUGAGUCCAUCUUGAUGCCUUAAUCAUCGUUGCAAUAGUGCUAUAUGAUGUUAACUGCUUACUGUUAUCAGAACUUGGUGAUUUGUCUUUUUCAUUGCAUUUUGUGUGUGCAUCCUAUGAGCAUGAGCUCUACACAUGUUUUUAACUACAUCAUGCCAUAUUUGCAGGGGUGCUUGUCUUGAAUUUUUUGGAUAUAUGUGGUGUCUAGCACAAGCAUGCAAAGUAGCCUCCAUGAUGUUGCCGAUUUCUGUGACUUCUCAUUUCUGCUAAGUCUGUAGCUGUAACAUUGUGAUGCUAUGUAAACCUGCUGCUACCAUGAGUUCUAUGCAUAAUCUGGAGAUGUUCACUAAAGGUGUUUUGUUAUACAUGUUAUCAUGUAUACAUCCAUGCCCUUGGUUGCAUUUAUAGCCUGCAGUAACUUUUUGCGAACUUGCUCUCAAUUUGCUAAAUAAUGUUGCUGUCAGCCUGUUAACAUGAAGAUCAGUUUUGACAUGUGCUUUUCUAGUGAUCCAUUCACCCUAUAAAUUUUCUUUUGCCAGGCUUAGCUUCAUAAAUGUGCCUUCUUACUUUUUGUCACCUUGUCAUGGCAUGUCAUGCUCUGUGGUGAGUGGUACAAGCUCACCAACAUGCCUACUUAUCAUUGUUUCUGCCAUGAACUGUUAUUUUCACCGUCUGAAUCUGUUUAUGAAACUUGCUAUGUUUACAUGAGUGCCAUCAUAUCUUCUGUGCCUUUUUGGCUCGUGAUCAGUAAGGGACUUUUGUUCUAUGUAAUUAGUAGAUUCAUGUCAUGCGUUUGUUUGCUAUGAUCUGUGCCUGUAGCAUAUUGUUUGAUAGCUCUAAACUUAGCAACCUGAUGUUAUUUCUGCCAUGUCCAGUGAUUUCUGCUAUCUGUGAAACUCUUAUUAUUUGCAAUGUUGUCAUGUCCUUUUGAGCAUGCUCUAUUGAUUUCUAGAGAUAGCUCAGUGUUCAUGUUUUGUCAUGCUUUACCUGUACAUCAUGUCCAUGCCUUUUUCUCUCAUGUUAGGAUGCUGUAGCAUAUUGUUUUGAUGCGUACAAAAUGUCUAUUUGCUGUUUUGGACAGAUUGUUGUUAUAUCUUGUUUGGAGUGUAUGUGUUGCACCGUUGCUCUGUUUUGAGCAUGCUCUAUAUGAAAUUUGCUUAGUUUUGCAUGAGGUUCCAUAUUAUUUUGUUGCAUCCUUGUUUUGAGAGUGUUUGCCUGAUGCUUGAAUGCAUUUUGCAUCAAUGUUAUGUUUAACUUGGUUUGCUCAUAUCUUCUAGGCCGUGGCUCCGAACUAAAUGAACUUUAUAUGUAACUUGACUAGAAUUUCGUGUAGAUCAUUUUGGUGCAUCUUAACUUGCUGUUUAACAACUUGAACAUAAGGUUCAUUCCGAUCUGGACCAAUUUUGAAAUUUGCAUAUGGGGAUUUACCGGAAUUGUUAUAGGUUGUUUCCGGCCUCAUUUAAACUUGCUUUGAUGUGUUGCUCUUGUAUGCAUCAUCUCUUGCCAUGAGUAGCAUCACAUAGCCUUGUCAUGCAUCAUACUUGAUUGAGCAUCAUGCCUUGUUCAUGUGUGGUGUGUUUACCAUGUUGUGCUCCUUCUCGAUAGUUCCCGUUUCGUUGCGAUCGUGAGGAUUCGUUCGUCUACGCUUGGUUCGUCUUCGAGGCUUCAUCUUCUUCAUGCACUCGUUCUUCUUCCUAGCGGGAGUUCAGGCAAGAUGACCGUCACCUUGGAUGUCAUUACUACCAUUGCUAUGCUAGUUGCUUUGUUCUAUCGCUAUGCUGCGCUACCUAUCACUUGCUCUUCAAGCCUCCCAAAUUGCCAUGAAACCACGUCUAACCUUUGUCACCCUUCCUAGCAAACCAUUGUUUGGCUAUGUUACCUCUUUUUGCUCAGCCCCUCUUAUAGCGUUGUUAGUUGCAGGUGAAGAUGAAGUUUGCUCCAUGUUGGAUUAUGCUUAUGUUGGGAUAUCACAAUAUCUCUUAUUUAAUUAAUGCAUCUAUAUACUUGGUAAAGGGUGAAAGGCUUGGCCUUAUGCCUGGUGUUUUGUUCCACUCUUGCCGCCCUAGUUUCCGUCAUACCGGUGUUAUGUUCCUUGAUUUUGCAUUCCUUACGCGGUUGGGUGUUAUGGGAACCCCUUGACAGUUCGCUUUGAAUAAAACUCCUCCAGCAAGGCCCAACCUUGGUUUUAUCAUUUGCCUACCUAAGCCUUUUUCCCUUGGGAGUCGCGCUCCCGAGGGUCAUCUUUAUUUUACGCCCCCGGGCCAGUGCUCCUCUGAGUGUUGGUCCAAACUAGAGCCCUUUGCAGCGCCACCUCGGGGAAACUUGAGGCCCGGUUUUAGUUGUACGGAUUGCUCAUCCGAUGUGCCCUGAGAACGAGAUAUGUGCAGCUCCUAUCGGGAUUUGUCGGCACAUUCGGGCGGCUUUGCUGGUCUUGUUUUACCAUUGUCGAAAUGUCUUGUAAACCGGGAUUCCGAGACUGAUCGGGUCUUCCCGGGAGAAGAAUAUCCUUCGUUGACCAUGAGAGCUUAUAAGGGCUAAGUUCGGACACCCCUGCAGGGUAUUAUCUUUCGAAAGCCGUGCCCGCGGUUAUGUGGCAGAUGGGAAUUUUUUAAUGUCCGGUUGUAGAGAACUUGACACUUGACUUCAAUAAAACGCAUCAACCGCGUGUGUAACCGUGAUGGUCUCUUUUCGGCGGAGUCCGGGAAGUGAACACGGUUUUGGGUUAUGUUUGAACGUACGUAGUUUCAGGAUCACUUCUUGAUCAUUGCUAGUCUCACGACCGUUCCGUUGCUUCUCUUCUCGCUCUUAUUUGCGUAUGUUAGCCACCAUACAUUGCUUAGUCGCUGCUGCAACCUCACCACUUAUCCUUUCCAUACCCUUUAAGCUUUGCUAGUCUUGAUACCCAUGGUAAUGGGAUUGCUGAGUCCUCGUGGCUCACAGAUUACUACAACAACAGUUGUAGGUACAGGUUUUGCAAUGAUCAUGACGUGAGAGUGAUGUUACUUGUUUUGGAGUUCUUCUUCUGCUUCUUCUUCGAUCGGGGGAUAGGUUCCAGGUCGGCAGCCUGGGCUAGCAGGGUGGAUGUCGUUUGAGUUUCUGUUUGUGUUUCAUCCGUAGUCGGAUGUUGAUCUUAUGUAUGAUGUAUUUGUGUAUUCUUGGGGCGUUUGUGCCUUUUGUAUGUUUCCCCAUCUAUUAUGUAAUGUUGAUGUAAUGAUAUCCACCUUGCAAAAAGCGUUUCAAUAUGCGGGUCUAUCCUUGGUGGGACCUUCGAGUUCCUCUCGGAUAGGGUCGCAUAUUGGGUGUGACAAGUUGGUAUCAGAGCCUCGACCGACCUUAGGAGCCCCCCUUGAUUGAUCGUAUAGUUUGGCCGUUGUAGAGUCUAGAAGAAAACUGUUUUUUGGAGUCUAGUUAUAUCGGAGAGUAGGAAUCCUUUUUACUCCUCAGCCCCUUCGUCGCUCUGGUGAGGAAUCUUGACGUUGGUGUUUCGACUUACUUCUCUUCCCCUUCAAUUUUUCUUUAGGAUCACGCGGAUAGUUUUCGUUCGUUGUCCAUCCUCUUUUCAAUCCGGCGCAUUUUUUCUCCGAGUGGUUUCGCUCCUCGCCAUCUUUUGCAAGAUCAGUCCUUAGUGCUUUCUCAACCAACGUUGUUUCCCCAUCCGAAGUUAUCCUUGUUUUUCCCACCCGCCCACCCUUCUUCUUCUCGGAGCCGGAGUCCGUAAUCGAGUAUCCAUCCUACUCGUGUGAAGCCUUUGCAUUCUUUCCUCAAGUAUUUAAACUCUACAAGCUAUUCAUCGGUUCUCCCUUUCAAGUUGCCUUUGUUUCCCGCCCUCCCACCCUCUUUUUCCCGGAGCUUGACUCUCUUUCGAGCAUCACUUUCAUUCGUGCGGAGUAUCUUCAGUCUUUCCUCAGUUGUCUCAACCGGUGAAUUCUCGCCUAGUUAAUCAAUGUUCGUCUCAUUUCCUUUUCCGAUGGAUUCAAUUCCAAUUUUCGGUAGUGAUUAUAUUCUUUCCUCGGCUCAAAUGUUUCCCGUUGCUCGUUCCCCUCUCGUCAUUUAAUCGUUCCGGAGUGAUGAAGACAUCUCAGGAGAUUCGUCUGUGUUUGAAUUAAUCCGAGGUUAUCACCUCAUUCAAAUAUUUCAAUUGUUUCGGUGCAUCAUCUAUCUCUGCAACAAUCUUUUUCAACGGUGUUUCUUUUUAGUGGGCCCUAACCCACAGGUCUUUUCCCAGGAUCUUACCUGACUCUUCUAAGUUUCCCGGAGUUAUUCUCAAAUCCUUUUCAAAGUUUGACGUAAGUAGGAAUUUCAUCAGUCAGAUGCUUCUCCAAGAUCGCUUUCAAAUUCUUUCAUGAUCGGGUCAACCUUUCCUCUUUUCAUUCUCCCGGAGUAUCUCAUCAAUUUUGGUGUUGUUUCUCGUCGUCAUUCUCAACAUUUGAGGUCCGAAGAAGAGUUUCUUUUAAAUCUUUCCUGUUCUCUCGGAGAUUCGUGGUGCUAGCUUCAUGUUAUCCUCUCAAAUUGUUUCUAGUCGUGCAAUUUCUUUUCAUCCAUCCGGAGUAUUUCAGGAGCUGUUUUCUCUCUCGAUCAUCUGAGGGCCAUCUUUUCAGAAGAUUUCUUCGUCCUAAGUUUUCAGAUUCGUUCUCCAAUUAUUCUAUAUUCGUGCCCCUUCGUUCGUUUACAUAUUCUUCCGGUGCUUCGUUCAAGUAUGCUUCAACUAGCGCGCGAUCUCUUCUUUCAAUUGCAUCUUGAUUCCCUCAAGUAUAUUCGUGCUUUUCCUAUUUUCCCGGUGAGUCAUUCUCCUACGUCAUUCAAUUUUGAAUUCUAACGGUGGUUCGUUCAAGACCCCUUGUCAUUUGUAAUCAUAUCAAUUAAUUCGUUCUUUCCAAAUCCUACCGGUGGUUCAUGAAGACUUUCUCAAGUUUCACGCUAUAUCCCCCCUUAAUCUUUCCAACGAGAAUAAGUAGUAUGCAAAUCCAUUGCUUCUCAUCAAUUUAAUUGGUGGAGGAUAAGCAUAACGUAAUCCUUAUUCUUCUUUCUUCAAGUGGUUUUAUCUCUUCUUUUCGGAGAUUUUUCAUCUUAUCACAUUCUCGGUUCAAAGUGUUUUCAUCUUUUCUUUUCCGGAGUUCGAAGCUUCUCGCCGAUUUCGUCGCGAACCUCCAUCCAAAUGAUCGCAAGGAUUUCAUCUUAUCCCUUUCAACCUUCAAUUUUAUCUCGUCAUUCUUUUGUUACCGGAGUUCAUCAUGGCGGCUCGUCAUGAUUUAAUUCAUUCUUCAAGUGUUCAUCAAGAUUCUUGUAGGCAUAGCUCAAGUAUCUUCUUCUUGCUUCUCAAAGUGCAAUUAAUUCUCCAUAUUCUUCUGAAGUGGAGUUUUUCAUUUCCUCGUUCUUCUCAGCUUUUCAAUCUUUUCCGCUUGUGGUAGGUUACCACCUCAUAAUUUUGAGAUGUUAUCCAUAAGUCCACAACAAUCUUAUUCUUUUGUUGUUGAUUUUCCAACAACUCCAUUCAAUGUUUCCUUCUAAGGAUGCUCUCUAUUUCAUUCAUGGUAGAAGUUGUCAUCUUCUUCCCCGUUCUUCUCAUUCCACUCAUUCAAGUCUUCCGGAGGUUUUGUGUUGUUCCUCAAGUCAAGUAUCGUUCCAUUUCUCAAGUUCAUGUUCUAUUCUUUCCUUAUUCAGCCGGAGUGCUGGAUAAAUUCCUUCAUUAUUAUUCCUUUUCUAUCUUGUCCUAACCGGAGUGGUUUCAAAUUCAGCCUUAUUCCUUGAGCUUUUGCUUCUUGUCUCAUUCAACAUUCCUCUUUCCUACUCGAGUGUUCUUAACUUUGUUCAUCCUCACUGUUUUGUUCUUAUUUCACCUCAUCCCUAUUUCCUUCCGUCUCGGUCCUAAGAUCUCGGGACGAGAUCUCUUGUUAGUGGAGGAGUGUUGUAACGCUCCGGAUCCGAUGCGCCAGGUGCAAUCCAUUUAUUCGCCGUCGUUGCCAUUUCAUUUGCUUGCGUGUUGCAUCUUGCCAUGUCAUCAUCUGCAUUUCAGCUGCAUGUUUUUCAAACCUUGCAUCCGGUCCUUUUCCGCGUUGUCCGUUUCGCGAUCCGACACUCCCACAAGCGCCCGUCGCCCCUCUCAGACCUUGUUUCGUGAGCGGGAUAAAAACCGUUCUCGGAAUGGGCCGAGAUUUGGCAAGUGGCCUUGGUAUAUGACCGGCAGACCGCCCGUCAAAUUUCGUUCCAUUUGGAGGUCGUUUGAUGUCCCAAUGGUUAACCGCGUAGCCCGAAAGCCCAUUUUGUCUUGCAGCCCAACACCCCUCCAAAUCAGCCCACUAACCCAGCAAAAACCCCUCCAUGCUCUCGGUCAUUCGAUCACGAUCGUGUGGGCGAAAACCGCACCUCAUUUGGACUCUCCUAGCUCCCUCUACCUAUAAAUAUGUGACUUCCCCCGAAAAUCCCGGAUGAAACCCUAGCCUUCGUCUUCCUCGCGCCGCCGGACACAUCCGCCCGCCGCCGGACUUGUCCACCGCCGCCAGCCACGUCGCCCGGCCAAUGGCAGCACGCCACGUCAGCUCCGCCGCCGCCCACAGCCAACCAGGAGGCGACACGUCGCCCCUGCCUCAUUCCACUCCGCCGCGGCCCGCCAGGCCCACGGGGAGCCCGCCCUGGGCCCGAUCCCACGCGCGCUCGCCCGCGCCACUGCCGAAGACCGCCGCCCNNNNNNNNNNNNNNNNNNNNNNNNNNNNNNNNNNNNNNNNNNNNNNNNNNNNNNNNNNNNNNNNNNNNNNNNNNNNNNNNNNNNNNNNNNNNNNNNNNNNNNNNNNNNNNNNNNNNNNNNNNNNNNNNNNNNNNNNNNNNNNNNNNNNNNNNNNNNNNNNNNNNNNNNNNNNNNNNNNNNNNNNNNNNNNNNNNNNNNNNNNNNNNNNNNNNNNNNNNNNNNNNNNNNNNNNNNNNNNNNNNNNNNNNNNNNNNNNNNNNNNNNNNNNNNNNNNNNNNNNNNNNNNNNNNNNNNNNNNNNNNNNNNNNNNNNNNNNNNNNNNNNNNNNNNNNNNNNNNNNNNNNNNNNNNNNNNNNNNNGCGCUGCCCGGAUCCGGCUGCCCUGCGCCGCCCCGCCGUCAUUCGGACCUCGCCGCCCCCCUCCCCCGCUCGCCGGAGCCCCGGCGCCGGCCACCUCGUCGCCGGCCCCAGAUCUGGACGCCGCCGUCCCGGAUCGGCUUCGCCCCCGAUCCAAACGUGCGUCCCCGCCCGAAUCACUCCAUCCCGCACGGUUCCGUCCCGAUUUCGCGUGGUGAGAUUUCUUCCAAGUCCCAGCAUUCAUACAUCAUGUGUGUAUAUUCAUCAUGUCGUAACUACAUGUGUGCUGCUACGUUUUGUGCGUAUAAUAUGUCAAAAUGUUCAUCAUGAGAUGCAAUUCAUUUCAUUCCAUUGUGCCAUGUUUGUUUGUGUCCAUGUUGAUGCCUUAAUCAUCGUUUCAAAAGUGUUAUAUGAUGUUAACUGCUGUCUGUUAUCAGAACUUGGUGAUUUGUCUUUUUCAUUGCAUUUUGUGUGUGCAUCCUAUGAGCAUGAGCUCUACAUGUGUUUAUAACUACAUCAUGCCAUAUUUACAGCGGUGCUUGUCUUGAAUUUUUGUGAUAUAUGUGGUGUCUAGCACAAGCAUGCAAAGUAGCCUCCAUGAUGUUGCUGAUUUCUGUGACUUAGUCAUUUCUGAUAAAUCUGUAGCUGUAACAUUGUGAUGCUAUGUAAACCUGCUGCUACCAUGAGUUCUGUGUAUAAUCUGGAGAUGUUCACUAAGGAUGUUGUGGUAUACAUGUUAUGCUAUAUCCAUCCAUGCCCUUGGUUGCAUAUAUAUCCUGUUGUAGCUUGUUGCAAACUUGCUCUCAAAUUGCUAAAUAAUGUUACUGUCAGCCUGUUAACAUGAAGUUCAGUUUUGACAUGUGUUUUGCUAGUGAUCCGUGAACCCUAUAAACUUGCUCUUGCCAUGCUUAGCUUCACAAAUGUGCCUUCUUACUGUUGGUCAUCUUUUCAUGCCAUGUAAUGCUUUGUGGUGAGUGGUACAAGCUCUUACUGUGCCUUCUUAUCGUUGUUUCUGCCAUGAACUGUUAUUUUCUGCUGUCUGAAUUUGUUUAUGAAACUUGCUAUGUUUAUAUGAGUGCCAUCAUAUCUUCUGUGCCUUUUUGGCUCGUGAUCAGUAACGGACUUUUCUUCUAUGAAAUUAGUAGCUUCAUGCCAUGCCUUUCUUUGCUAUGAUCUGUUCCUUUAGCAUGUUGUUUGAUAGCUCUAAACUUAGCAACCUGAUGUUAUUUCUGCCAUGUCCAGUGAUUUCUGCCAAGUCUGUGAAACUGUUAUUACUUGCAAUCUUGACAUGUCCUUUUGAGCAUGCUCUAAUGAUUUCUAGAGAUAGCUCAGUGUUCAUGUUUUGUCAUGCUUUACCUGUACAGCAUGUCCAUGCCUUUUUCUCUCAUGAUAGGAUGCUGUAGCAUAUUGCUUUGAUGCGUGCAAAAUGCCUAGUUGCUGUUUUGGACAGAUUAUUGUUAUAUCUUGUUUGGAGUGUGUGUUGCACCGUUGCUCCGUUUUGAGCAUGCUCUAUAUGAAACUUUCUUAGAAUUGCAUGUAGUUUCAUCUUAUCAUGUUGCAUCCUUAUCUUGAGUGUGUUUUCUUGAUGUUUGAAUGCAUUUUGCAUCAAUGCCAUGUUUGACUUGUUUUGCUCAUAUCUUCUAGGCCGUAGCUCCGAACUAAAUGAACUUUGUAUGUAACUUGACUAGAAUUUCGUGUAGAUCAUCUUGGUGCAUCUUAACUUGCUGUUUAAUAACUUGAACAUAAGGUUGAUUUAGAUCUGGACCAAUUUCGAAACUUGCAUUUAAGGACUUACCGGAUUUGUUAUAUGUUAGUUCCGCCUCAUUUAAACUUGCUUUGAUGUGUUGUCCUUGUAUGCAUCAUCUCUUGCCAUGAGUAGCUUCAUGUAGCCUUGUCAUGCAUCAUACUUGGUUGAGCAUCAUGUCUUGUUUAUGUGUUGAGUGUUUACCGUGUUGUUUGCUUUUUUCCGGGUGUGCUCCUUCUCGUUAGUUCCUGUUUCACUGCGAUCGUGAGGAUUUGUUCGUCUUCGUGGCUUCAUCUUCUUCAUGGAGUCGUUCUUCUUCCUAGCGGGAUUUCAGGCAAGAUGACCGUCACCUUGGAUCUCACUACUAUCAUUGCUAUGCUAGUUGCUUUGUUCUAUCGCUAUGUUGCGCUAUCAGUUGCUCUUCAAGCCUCCCAAAUUGCCAUGUCAGCCCCUAAGCUUUUCACCCUUCCUAGCAAACCGUUUUUUGGCUAUGUUACCGCUUUUGCUCAGCCCCUCUUAUUGCGUUGCUAGUUGCAGGUGAAGAUGAAGUUGUUCCAUGUUGGAACAUGGAUAUCAUGAACUUUGUUGGGAUAUCACAAUAUUCUCUUAUUGAAUUAAUGCAUCUAUAUACUUGGCAAAGGGUGGAAGGCUCGGCCUUAUGCCUGGUAUUUUGUUCCACUCUUGCCGCCCUAGUUUCUGUCAUGCCGAUGUUAUGUUCCUUGAUUUUGCGUUCCUUACGCGGUUGGGUGUUAUGGGGACCCCUUGACAGUUCACCUUGAAUAAAACUCCUCCAGCAAGGCCCACCCUUGGUUUUACCAUUUGCCUACCUAAGCCUUUUUCCCUUGGGAGUCGCGCUCCCGAGGGUCNNNNNNNNNNNNNNNNNNNNNNNNNNNNNNNNNNNNNNNNNNNNNNNNNNNNNNNNNNNNNNNNNNNNNNNNNNNNNNNNNNNNNNNNNNNNNNNNNNNNNNNNNNNNNNNNNNNNNNNNNNNNNNNNNNNNNNNNNNNNNNNNNNNNNNNNNNNNNNNNNNNNNNNNNNNNNNNNNNNNNNNNNNNNNNNNNNNNNNNNNNNNNNNNNNNNNNNNNNNNNNNNNNNNNNNNNNNNNNNNNNNNNNNNNNNNNNNNNNNNNNNNNNNNNNNNNNNNNNNNNNNNNNNNNNNNNNNNNNNNNNNNNNNNNNNNNNNNNNNNNNNNNNNNNNNNNNNNNNNNNNNNNNNNNNNNNNNNNNNNNNNNNNNNNNNNNNNNNGCCACCUCGGGGAAACUUGAGGCCUGGUUUUAGUUGUACGGAUUGCUCAUCCGGUGUGCCCUGAGAACGAGAUAUGUGCAGCUCCUAUCGGGAUUUGUCGGCACAUGUGGGCGGCUUUGCUGGUCUUGUUUUACCAUUGUUGAAAUGUCUUGUAAACCGGGAUUCCGAGACUGAUCGGGUCUUCCCGGGAGAAGGAAUAUCCUUCGUUGACCGUGAGAGCUUAUAAUGGGCUAAGUUGGGACACCCCUGUAGGGUAUAAACUUUCGAGAGUCGUGCCCGCGGUUAUGUGACAGAUGGGAAUUUGUUAAUGUCCGGUUGUAGAGAACUUGACACUUGACUUAAAUAAAACGCAUCAACCGCAUGUGUAACCAUGAUGGUCUCUUUUCGGCGGAGUCCGGUAAGUGAACACAGUUUUUGGGUUAUGUUUGACAUAAGUAGGAGUUCAAGAUCACUUCUUGAUCGUUGCUAGUUUCACGACCGUUCCGUUGCUUCUCUUCUCGCUCUUAUUUGCGAAUGUUAGCCACCAUACAUGCUUAGUCGCUGCUCCAACCUCACCACCUAUCCUUUCCUUACCCAUUAAGCUUUGCUAGUCUUGAUACCCAUGGUAAUGGGAUUGCUGAGUCCUCGUGGCUCACAGAUUACUACAACAACAGUUGCAGGUACAGGUAUUGCGAUGAUCAUGACGCGAGAGCGAUGUUACUUGUUUUGGAGUUCUUCUUCUGCUUCUCUUCGAUCUGGGGAUAGGUUCCAGGUCGGCAGCCUGGGCUAGCAAGGUGGAUGUCGUUUGAGCUUCUGUUUGUGUUCCAUCCAUAGUCGGAUGUUGCUCUUAUGUAUGAUGUUGUUGUAUUCAUGUGGCAUUGUAUGCCUCUUCUAUGUAUCCCCAACUAUUACGUAAUGUUGAUGUAAUGAUAUCCACCUUACAAAAGUGUGUCAAUAUGCGGUUCUAUCCUUGGUGGGACCUUCAAGUCUCUUUAGGAUAGUAUCGCAUAAUGGGCAUGACAAGUUGGUCGGGUCGCUACAAGAUGGUAUCAGAGCACACGUUGAAUGUAGGACACGACCACUAAGAAAAGCCAUAGGUCACUCUUCUCUACUCAUUUCUUACUCCUCUCCAUUUUCUACUUUUUAGGAUGGCAGACUCGAGGAAUAAGUUUGCACAACCGGAUGAAGACAUACCUUUUGGACGACACUUGAAGGAAGUCACUAGGUACCUGAACAUCGGAAUACCAAGCUUCAUCGGGACCUACACCGCCACUAUUCCAGAAGAGGAUCGAUGGAUGAUUCGAGUUCAAGUUCCAGGAAGGACAUGUAUGCCAGUUACAGAGCCCAUAGAGUUUUCCUUUGAUGCACCCACCUGGAGCCUAGGCAAGAGCAUGGCAGCCCACAUUGCUAUGGGACGUAUUGGAGAAGUCUACAAAAAGGAGCUGAAGGACACUAUCUACCAGAUAUGUGGGCGCCGAGAUGAGAAAUGGGAGAUAGUCAGCGCCAGGAGAGACAGGUCCAUUGCAACAUUCAUCCAGGAGCUAAACCAGCACAUUAGACGCCAGGAGAACCAGAUGUGCACAAGCAUGAUAGAUUUGAAGAAGGCGAUGACAAGGAUCACCGAGCUAGAAGAGGAACUUAAGUCCACGCACGACGGAUAUGAGGAGGAAAUUGCAAUACUAUUGGAGAAGAAUGACGACCUGAUAAAGAAGAUCGGCGUGUUCAUGGGAGAUCCCCCACCAGGAAGAGAUGAAGAUGAACCCUAGGAGAUUCGUUUUGAAGACUACAUCAUCAUCGACGACACCGACUCUGACUCCGAUGAUAGUGAUGAUGAUUAUGAAGACGAAGCUGGAGCGGAUAUCAUGGAGUCUUCCACCGAUCAAAAUUUCUAGAUGACCACCAUAUGACUAGAAGUAUUCCCCCUGUAUAUAGUAGUAGUCUGAGCAUUUUCAACGAUAGUUCUAGACCGAUUGUAUGCCCUUGCUUGAUUGAUUGAGUGAUAUGAUUGUGUUUGUCUCAUGUGCAUAUGGUUAGUGCCUUCUCACUAGACCUCAUUUCUAUUCUAAUCUCUCCCCUCUAAACCCAUCAGAUGCCUCCGAGACGUGACACCGGAUUUUUCUUCCCAUCGGAGAUCUCCCAAUUGAUCCAGCAGCAGAAUGCCUUGAUGCAGAUAUUAGUCCAGAACCAAGGCAACAACAACAACAACAACAACAACAACAACAACCACCCACCUCCAGUUGACAGCUUAGCCCGUUUUUUGAUGUUACAGCCGCCGGUGUUUUCUAGUAGCAUCGAGCCAAUAGUUGUGGAUGACUGGCUACGUAGGAUUGGAAGGGAGUUGACCACCACAGGUUGCACAGAUGCAGAGAAGGUGCGUUUGGCCGCACACCAGUUGGAUGGACCAGCAGCCUCAUGGUGGGAGAAUUACACAGCCACCUUCCUAUAGCCAAUAUCACUUGGGAUCAGUUUCAGCAAGCAUUCCGCACAGCUCAUGUCUCAACUGGAGCUAUGAGCAUGAAGAAGCGUGAGUUUUGCAACUUGCGCCAGGGAAAUCGUACAGUGUCUCAGUACGUAGAUGAGUUUAGUAAGUUGUCUCGUUAUGCCCUUGAUGAUGUGGCCACGGAUGCCGCGAAGCAGGGGAAGUUUAUGGAAGGGCUUAAUGAUGAGAUGAGCAUGCAGUUGAUGGUGGCAACAUUCACCAACUACCAGGAGUUGGUAGACAAGGCCCUUAUGAUUGAAGGGAAGCAGCAGCAGAUUGAGAGCCGCAAGAGGAAGUAUGGACAAGGAAGGUACAACUCAGGAGCUCAGCAGAAGCCUUGUUUAACCCCGAACUCGGGAGGAUUCACCCAUAACCAUGGAGGCCACACCCACAAUGGAGGGAGUUCUCACAACCACAAUGGCCCCAAGAAUGGCAAUGGGAAUGGAGCAAGCAGUAAUUAGAACCGCUCCAAUACAGCCACACCCGCCAAGAAGGACCUAAGUCACAUUACUUGUUUCAAGUGCGCGAAGACUGGACACUAUGCCACUGAGUGCCCUGAAGCGAAGAAUGGGAGUGGAAAUGGAAGCGCUGGGAAGAAGCCCAACCCUUUCAACAGAGGACAAGUGAACCACGUGAACGUGGAGGAGGUUGAGGAGCAGCCUGAUGCAGUUAUCGGUAAGUUUUCGGUUAAGUCAUUUACUGCAAUUGUUCUUUUUGAUACCGGUGCAUCGCAUUCAUACAUAUCAAGGGGAUUCGUGGAUAAGUAUAAGUUGCCCACUAAAGUACUAAGGACACCUAUGUUAGUAAGCUCACCAGGAGCGGAGUAUAUGGCAAGUCAAGGAUGUUUUCAGAUGCCAUUGACCAUUGGAAGCCAUGUUUUCCCCUCAGACUUGAUAAUUUUGGAGUCACAAGGAUUGGAUGUGAUACUAGGCAUGGAUUGGCUAUCGAUGUAUGGGGGCAACAUCGAUUGCAUGAGUAAGUCAAUUUUACUCACCACCCCGGAGGGAAAAAGGAUCAAGUAUGUUUCCAGGCAUACGCCGAGGAGGACCCAAGUAAAUUCUCUCAAGGGAGUUGUUCAGGAGGAAGUGCUUGUUGUGAAGGAUUACCCAGAUGUAUUUCCAGAGGAGUUACCAGGCAUGCCGCCAGAUCGAGACAUCAAGUUUUUGAUAGAACUAUUGCCAGGCACCGGGCCUAUAUCGAAGUGACCAUACCGGAUGCCCGCGAAUGGUUUGGAAAAGAUCAAGAAGCAGAUUAAGGAGUUGUUGGAGAAAGGUUACAUUCGACGAAGUUCAUCACCAUGGGGAUCCCCAGUGCUCUUGGUUGAUAAGAAGGAUGGAUCGUUAAGAAUGGUUGUUGAUUAUCGUGCGUUGAAUGAAGUAACAAUCAAGAAUAGUACCCACUGCCAAUGAUCAAUGAUUUGUUUGACCAGCUGCAAGGAGCUAAAGUGUUUUCGAAGAUCGAUCUGCGAGAAGGAUAUACCUAAAAUAGCUUUCACCACAAGGUAUGGGCUGUAUGAGUAUACGGUUCUGUCGUUUGGAUUGACCAACGCCCCUGCCUAUUUCAUGAGUAUGAUGAACAAGGUGUUCAUGGAGUUCUUGGAUAAGUUUGUCGUGGUGUUCAUUGAUGAUAUCUUGGUAUACUCGAAGAAUGAAGAGGAACACAAGGAGCAUUUGCGUUUAGUUCUCGAGAAGCUCAGGGAACAUCAGUUAUAUGCCAAGUUCAGCAAAUGUGAGUUUUAGUUGAAGGAAGUUGGAUUUCUUGGGCAUGUUAUAUCUGGGGAAGGUAUAGCAGUGGAUCCCACCAAGGUUCAGUUAGUCACUGAGUGGUUGGCACCCACCUCAGUUGGAGAGAUCCGCAGUUUUCUUGGACUCGCGGGAUAUUAUCAGAGAUUUAUUGAUAAUUUCUCCAAGAUUGCGAUGCCGAUGAUAGUAUUAUUCAAGAAGGACACCAAGUUCCAUUGGACUGAAGAAUGUGAAGCAAGUUUCCAGGAGUUGAAGAAACGUCUGACUACAGCCCCAGUGCUGAUUCUGUCGGAUAUACGCAAGGAUUUCCAAGUGUAUUGCGACGCCUCUCGCUUAGGACUUGGAGGAGUACUUAUGCAAGACGGAAGAGUUGUUUCGUAUGCCUCACGACAAUUUCGACCGCAUGAGUUGAAUUACGCCACGCAUGACCUACAGUUAGCAGCAGUAGUGCAUGCGCUUAAGACCUGGAGACAUUUUCUUAUUGGAAACCGUUGUGAUGUGUACACGGAUCAUAAGAGUUUGAAGUACAUAUUCACCCAGAAGGAGCUGAACCUCAGACAGAGGAGAUGGUUUGAGCUUAUAAAGGAUUAUGACAUGAAGUUGCACUAUCAUCCAGGUAAGGCCAAUGUCGUAGCAGACGCUUUGAGCCGGAAGAGUUAUGUCAAUACCCACGUAAGCGGAGGAAUGCCAAAGGAGUUGAUAGAAGAUCUCAGGGUUUCGCUUGGAGAUAGUCCCUAGAGGUUUUGUUGCAGCGUUGGAGGUUCAGUCAACAUUAUUGGGAAAGAUUCGAGAAGCUCAGAAAGAUGACAAAGAAAUUGCCGAAAUAAAGGAGAAGAUGAGUGAAGGGAAAGCCAAAGGUUUCCGUGAGGAUGAGCACGACACCUUGUGGUUUGUGGAACGUGUAUAUGUGCCCAAUAAUGCGGAGCUCAGGAAGUUGAUACUACAAGAAGCUCAUGACUCACCAUACUCGAUACACCCCGGCAAAACCAAGAUGUUUUUGGACUUGUUGAGGAUAUAGACCUUAGAGUCACCCGCCAGGAGGGGCCGGGUUACUCUUAAUGGUCAUCGCCAGGAGCCCGGCGCCAAGCUUAAAGACGGUGGGCCAAAGAUGGGCUUAAGACCCGGAUGUGGCUUAAGGCCCGUAGUUACAAUCAUUAUUAUGGUAGAACUUGUAGUGUAAGGCAAGGAUAGUUGAGAGUCCGAGCCGGACAAUCUUAUGAGCCGGCCGGGACUCUGAGAGCUGCUGGGCAUCAACCUCCCUAUAUAAAGGGACGACCCGGCGGCGGUUUAGGGACAAGAAAGAUCUCAUCGAGAGCCAGGGAUAGCAGUCAAGCUCCCUGGUCAUCGAAACCCUAAUCAAUACCACCUCAACUGGACGUAGGCUUUUACCUUCACCGUAAGGGGCCGAACCAGUAUAAACCCUCGUGUUCCUUGUCCCAUUAACCCCUUCAAGCUUCCUAGCAGCGAUGGCUCCACGACUAAGUCCUAGCUUGAGGACAUCUGUCGUGACAAUUCCACGACAGUUGGCGCCCACCGUGGGGCUAGCGCACGGUGGAUUUGAGUUCUUGAAGGGCAGCUUCGAAGGGCUCAAGGGAUACGCUGUGGGCCGGAUGACCAAGAGUCGUCGCAGAAAGCUCUACAUCGACGAUGCAAACUGGGGCCCCGAUGCCGGCUCAAUUGAGUACGGGUACCGGGUCCCCUUCGGCGGAAUUCAUGUUUUCAUUGGCAAGAUUGGUGAGCCGGGCCCUGAGCCGGAUCUCUGCGCCGAUCUCAUCGAGACGGCUCAGCGUGCACGACCCGCCCAGGCCCGGCCUGCCUUAAGGCAUGCUUUUGUGGGAUGUAUCCAUGGAGGGCUCUCUGAUCGAUCUGGAUCUAGUGAUGAGACGGCCGCCGGCUCUGACGGCGAGUCGUCCACCGAUGAGUCAAACUCGUUGUAUCAACUUCAAGAUGGCAGGCUCAUGGGUUGUUCCGAUGGUGAUAGUAUUCCGGACCCGUUUGAGCCGCCAAGCCGGGUUGGAAUCUUCAUGGCCGGUGCGCAGCCUAUUCAGAACCCUGCUGCUGGAGCGGGAAACCCGGUGCCCUCGCCGGCUCAGGUGCUAAUGGAUCUCACGGACAAGAUGACGGCCCUGUUAACCGCCACGGUUGACCCGGCGGAUCAAGCUCAGCAUGAUGCGGAGGUGGCGCAGUUAAAAUUGGAUCUAGUGAAAGCUAAGGAGGAUCUAGCAGUAGAAGGGAUCAGGAUGGCGGUGGAGAGGGCGGCUCUCGAUGCCCAAACCCAGUUGAUUCAAGCGCAGUCCUUCCGGCUCACGAUGGAUCAAAACGCGUCCAAUGAAGUCCUGAGAAGGAGGCAUCAAAAGGCCCAAUCUCGACUCCCUCCGGUUUACGAUCCACGAAACCUCUUCAACACGCCAGGUGCAAGGUCUAGUAACCCGCCAGGGGUCAUAGUGCCCGGGUCUGGGACCCCUAUUCAGCCGCAAGUAAUGGGGCCUCCCCAGGUGCACCCUGCCCCGCCUCAGUACGUGCCAAUACCACCGGGUCAUUAUAACAACCCGCUGGAGAACAUGGUCGCCGCGGCAGCACGGCUGGCGGCUCUCCCAGUCGACGGUGACUCUCCGACGGCUAUUGAGACCCGCCGGGUCAGGGAACUCCUUCAGACAGCACUGGCGCAGCAAGAGGCGUACUCCUACAGCCGGGACAGGAUCCACUCGACCCCUCGUCCAGGCCGGAGCCCGAAUUACAACAGACACAUGGUCUCAGCGACAGGCUCAAGUAACGUCCGACGCCAUGACCCGCCCCCUGGCCAUGGCCCGGCUCAUAACGGAGCCUUUCACGCAGCAGACCAAGACAGAGCGCGGCAAGAGCCAGAGCGGGUGCCUCAAUUGACGGCGUACCAGACUCCCCCGGCUUAUCCGACGACUUCCGUCGACGUGGGUAUCCCUACCAGGACUGGGGGUCUCCCUUGCUUAGUGCCAGCUAUCCGCAAUGAACGUCUACCCAAGGACUUCAAAGGCCCUAGGAAGGUGCCCAAUUACACGGCAGACUUACAACCCGCAGCCUGGAUCGAGAGUUAUGAGAUGGCCAUGGAACUGCUGGAGGUCAGUGAAGCGGCCAUGGCUAAGUACUUCACCAUGAUGUUAGAUGGUACUGCCCGCACUUGGUUGAAAGGGCUACCACCGAAUUCCAUUGGGUCUUGGGCGGAGCUGAAGGCCCGGUUCAUCCAAAACUUCAAGGAUACCUGUAGGCAGUCUAUGUCAAUUGUGGAUUUGACUAACUGCAAGCAGCAGGAGGGUGAGUCUACGACACAUUGGGUUCGCCGGGUUAAGGAGAUAAUACAUUCCUCGGAUAAGAUGGAUGCCGGCUCUGCAGUCUUAAUGUUGGAGCAGAAUUGUCGUUUUGUGCCCCUGAAAAUGAAACUCGGGCGGCUUAAGCGCGACAGCAAUGAUAUGGGCACACUGAUGGCGGCUCUUGUCAAGUACGCCGAUUCUGAUGGUACCAAGGACCCCGCUUCAGAUGAUGAAAGGACAUGGAAGGGAAAGAAGAACGGCAAUGGCAAGGGUCCGUCAGCAUAACCCGGGAAACCAAGGAGGAGGCAAGCGCAAGGCCGAUGGCAGCCUAGAGUUUGUAGCCAACGCCAGCUCACAAGGUAAUAACCAGCGACGCAAGGGGAGGCCCCUUCCCCGAGCCGGCAGGUCAGGCCCGACGCUGGAGCAGCUGUUGAAUGAGCCUUGUCCAAGGCAUGGCUCUAGAGAGAAGCCAGCUACCCAUCUAUGGAAGGAUUGUGCAAUCAUGAAGGCCUUUAAGAAUUACAAUAGCCCGGGCGGCGGCUCAGGCGCCGGCGGCUUUCAUGGCCCGGGCGGCGGCUCAAAUUCUAAUCCUCAGAAUGGUCAAGGGGGCUUUAAUCAGCAGGCUGGCCAGGGUCAUCAACAACAGCAGGGGGGUUAUCAGACCAAUCCAAAGCAGCUUAGCGGUGGACAGUAUCAUGUUUUUACCACCAGUCUGUGUAAGCGAGAUCAGAAGCUUCAUAAGAGGGCUGUGAAUUCUGUUGAGCCGGCGGUUCCACGCUACUUGCGGUGGUCUGAGCAGCCUCUAGUGUGGAGUAGGGAGGAUCACCCUCCCCGGGUGGAUAACCCGGGCCACUUGGCCUUAGUGAUGGCUCCUCAGGUGGGAGGAUAUAAGUUCACUAAGGUGCUCAUGGAUGGAGGCAGCAGCAUCAACAUCCUCUAUUAUGAGACGUUCCGUCGUAUGGGGUUGAUUGAUAAGAACCUCAGCCAGUCCAGCACUAUUUUCCAUGGUGUGGUACCUGGUAAGUUGGCUUAUCCAGUCGGCAAGAUCGAAUUGGAAGUGGCCUUUGGAGAUGAGCACAACUACAGGGUGGAAAAAUUGACCUUUGAGGUGGUCAAGAUAAGAAGUCCGUACCAUGCCAUAUUUGGGCGGCCGGCUUACGCCAAGUUCAUGGCACGGCCGUGUUACGUGUAUUUACAGCUCAAGAUGCCGGGUCAUAAUGGGACCAUUACGGUUCAUGGAAGCCGGAAGGUGGCCCUGGAGUGUGAGGAAGGCGAUGCAGCUUAUGCAGAAUCUGUUUGUGUAACAAAGGAGUUAAAAUUUUACAAAGACAACGUUGACCCAACAGAUAUGACCUCUCUGAAAAAGCCGACUACGGAGCAUGAGCCGGCAAUGAAAUUCAAGUCGGCUGAUGAGACUAAACUUGUUGAUUUCAUUCCAGGAGAUUCAUCUCAGCAAUUUAGCAUCAGUGCCAAUCUGGAUCCAAAAUAGGAAAGCGUGCUCAUUGAGUUCAUCCGUGAGAAUAGGGACAUCUUCGCGUGGAAACCUUCUGACAUGCAAGGUGUACCUAGAGAACUCGCUGAGCACACUCACAAUGUUGAUCCGAAAUUUAAGCCGGUCAGGCAGUUCCUUCGGCGGUUCAAUGAGGAGAGGCGGAAAGCUAUUGGUGAAGAGGUGGCCCGGCUCUUGGGGGCCGGGUUUAUUGUGGAAGUCUUUCACCCAGAAUGGUUAGCUAACCCGGUCCUCGUACUCAAGAAGAACGGCACUUGGCGGAUGUGUGUGGACUACACGGACUUAAACAAGGCGUGUCCGGCUGAUCCUUUUGCCCUUCCCCGUAUUAAUCAAAUUAUUGGUGCUACGGCAGGUUGUGCGCGCUUAAGUUUCUUGGAUGCUUCUUCCGGAUACCAUCAGAUUAAAAUGGCAGUUAAGGACCAGCAGAAGACGGCAUUCAUCACUCCCUUUGGAGCCUUCUGCUAUGUGUCUAUGCCCUUUGGACUCAAGUGUGCACAGGCGACUUAUCAGCGUUGUGUGCAGAACUGUCUUCAUAACCAGAUUGGGCGCAAUGUUCAUGCUUAUGUGGACGAUAUUGUGGUUAAGUCCAUAAAGGAGGAAACCCUGAUAGAUGAUUUAAGGGAAACCUUUGAUAAUCUCCGGGUUUACUAGAUGAUGCUUAACCCGGCCAAGUGUGUUUUUGGUGUUCCUGCAGGCAAACUCUUGGGUUUCUUGGUUUCUGACAGAGGCAUUGAAGCUAACCCGGAGAAGAUCAAGGUCAUCACCUCCCUGGCUAAGCCAGCGUGUAUAAAUGACGUUCAGCGCUUGGCGGGUCGCGUCGCUGCUUUGAGCCGGUUUAUAAGCCGUUUGGGUGAGAAGGCUAUGCCAUUAUACCAGUUGAUGAAGAAAACUGAUAACUUUGUCUGGAAUGAUGCAGCCAAUACUGCUUUUGAGGAUUUGAAGAAGCAGCUGGCCGAGCCCCCAGUCCUUGCUGCUCCAGUUGACAAGGAGCCUCUAUUGCUGUAUGUGGCUGCUAACACACGAGCCGUCAGUGUGGCUGUGGUGGUGGAGCACAAGGAAGAGGGUAAGGAGCAUCCGGUUCAACGGCCGGUUCAUUAUGUCAGCGGAGUGCUCAUUGAGUCCAAGCAACGGUAUCCGCAUUGGCAGAAGCUUGUUUAUGGGGUGUUCAUGGCAAGCCGGAAGCUUAAGCAUUAUUUCCAGGGUCAUCCCAUCACUGUGGUCAGUUCUGCCCCCCUUGGUGAUAUCAUUCAAAACAGAGAGGCCACAGGGAGAGUGGCUAAGUGGGCUAUAGAGCUCGGACCCCAUGGUCUGAAAUACGUGCCACGCACUGCUGUUAAAUCUCAGGCCUUGGUGGAUUUCAUCAAUGAUUGGACAGAGUCACAAGUGCCCGAGCAAAAGCCGGAUAACACAUAUUGGACUAUUCACUUCGAUGGGUCCAGGCAGUUGGAGGGUUCGGGGGCUGGAGUCGUAUUGGCUUCCCCUAAGGGUGAUAAGUUCCAUUAUGUGCUACAAUUGAUAUUUCCUUGUACCAACAACGCAGCUGAGUACGAGGCCUUCCUCCACGGUCUUCGGAUGGCUAAGGAGAUGAGCUUGAGCCGGGUAAGGUGUUUCGGUGACUCAGACUUGGUGGCUCAACAAGUAUCAGGCAAGUGGGACUCUAAGGACCCUCUCAUGGCGGCUUAUCGCCGCGAAGUUGAUGCCAUUGCUGGGCACUUUCAGGGCUAUCAAGUAGAGCACAUUGACCGCAGGAAGAACGAGGCGGCUGAUGCCCUAAGCCGGCUGGGCUCUCAGCGAAAGCCGGUGCCGCCUAAUACUUUCCUGGAUGUCCUGUAUAACCCUUCUGUUAAGCUGCCUAUAGAGGAAGACUUGGCUGUCCCUGACCCGGAGGCACGAUUGGUGGCGGCUCUCCACAUCAUACCGGACUGGACAAUGCCCUAUCUGGCUUACAUGACCCGGGGAGAGUUGCCUGAGGAUGAAACUCUAGCCAGACAAAUAACCCGGCGGGCUAAGUCAAUGAUUGUUAUCAAUGGCGAGUUGCAUCACCGCAGUGUUACGGGAGCAUUCCAGCGUUGUGUCUCCCCUGAGGAAGGUCAAGAGAUCUUGCGUGAGAUUCAUGAAGGGGAUUGUGGCCAUCACGCCGGCUCAAAAUCUCUUGUGACCAAGGCUUUUCGUCAUGGUUUUUAUUGGCCGACGGCUCAUGCUAAUGCGGAGGACUUGGUCAGUAAAUGUGACGGUUGCCAAAGGUUCUCACGACGGGCUCAUGUGCCGGCUCAGGAGCUGAGGAUGAUCCCAAUUACUUGGCCCUUUGCGGUCUGGGGGCUUGAUAUGGUUGGGCCUUUUAAAAGGUCCAAAGAUAAGAAGACCCACCUCUUAGUGGCAGUUGACAAAUUUACCAAGUGGGUUGAAGCGGAGCCAGUUAGCAAGUGUGAUGCAGCCACGGCGGUUCAAUUUAUGAAAAAGGUGAUUUUUCGCUUUGGCUUUCCGCACAGCAUUAUAACUGACAAUGGCACCAAUCUAUCCAAAGGCGCCAUGGAAGAGUUUUGUCAACGAGAGCAUAUCCAACUUGAUGUUUCCUCGGUGGCUCAUCCUCAAUCCAAUGGGCAAGCUGAGAGAGCUAAUCAAGAGAUUCUGAAGGGCAUCAAGCUCCGGCUUUUGGUCCCUUUGCAACGGACGCCGGGUUGUUGGGUGGAGGAGUUGCCCUCCGUGUUAUGGAGCAUCAACACUACUCCUAACAGGUCUACAGGUUUUACGCCUUUUUUCAUGGUUUAUGGGGCAGAAGCAGUCCUCCCCAGUGACAUCCGUCAUGACUCGCCUCGAGUGGCGGCUUAUGUUGAGGCGGAUAAUGAGCAGGCGCGCCAAGAUGCUCUUGACUUGUUGGACGAACAGCGUGAUGUGGCAGCAGCUCGCUCAGCGAUUUACUAACAAGACCUGCGUCGUUAUCAUAGUUGCCGGGUUAAAUCCCGGGUCUUCCAGGAAGGUGAUCUCGUGCUCCGGCUCAUCCAAGAUCAAACAGAUGCGCACAAGCUAUCCCCGCCUUGGGAAGGGCCCUUUGUGGUCAGCAAGAAUUUGCACAGCGGGUCAUAUUACCUCAUUGACAUUCGGGAGCACAAAGAUUCACGUAAGUCGGAGGAAGAGACCCCUCGGCCGUGGAACAUAGCUCAGCUUCGGCCUUACUACACUUGAGCCACCGGCUCUCAUAAUGUACAUAUUUCUCUUAGCCAUGUAUAUAUUAUGAUAAGCAAUAAAGCAGGACCUCUGUCCUUUUUUCUCCUCCAAAUGUGCACGUUUUCAUUGCAAGAUUAACAUGAUAACUUGAAGGAGGAUCCGGCUUAUGAUCGUAUUCGAAUCUAGCCGUAGGCAAUAAGGUCACUUGGGGGCUUCCUGUUCAAACAUGGGUCGUAUUCGAACCAAAGAGAACAUAGAUGUCGAUACCCAUUUGAUUGGCAAAGUGCCGAGCUCAUUGGGGAGUUUUCUUUGAUCAUAUUUGAAUCAUAGUUUAACCCCUUUGGGAACCGACGUGGAUCGUAUUUGAAUCAGCGUCGUUAAACAAUUCUUAAAAUCACUUGGGGGCUUCCUGUUCAAACAUAGGUCGUAUUCGAACCAAACAGAACAUAGCUGUCGAUACCCUUUUGAUUGGCAUCGCCACACCCACUGGGGGCUAUAUGAUCGUAUCCGAAUCCUAGCAUAACCCCUUUGGGACGCGUCUCUGGUCGUAUUCGAACUGGAAGCCCCUAAGUUUUUUCUGAUUUAUAGCGAGUUUUUCUGGUUAUUUCAAAGUGUAUACGGCCGGGUUUCACUUUGCCGGUUUAAACUUUGAUUUACAGGGUUAAUCGAAUACAACCGGUGUCAUUAAGACUGGUAAACCGGAAUUGAAGUACCAAUCUUAUUGCCCGGGUUAGCUAAGCCGGAAAUGUGCUUGCAGGCUGGUAAGUGUGUUAUUACGGUUAUAUCAAGGACAUAACUGAGGAACAGUCUUUUUUGAUUCAUAUUCCGGGUUAUAUGUUUAAAACUAUGCUUCUCAGUGCGGUAAGCCGCCUAGAGACUUGUGAUUUGUCCUUCUAUGCAGGAUAGUUAAAGGCAAUUAUUUUGAGCUUAAGGAAAAUGAAUAAUCGAUUAUGACCCGAGGAAAUAUAGAGGAGACAACUUCAAUGGACUUCAGCAUUCAACGCGUGCACGAUUGCACGGCAAAUUUAAAGUAUUGAGUCCAAAAGGGUGGAGCAUUGUUUUAUAAGCCGCCUGCAGAAUUAAGAUGCUUGCUGGGUUGACGUCUCCGGCUCAUCCCUCUCUUCUCCUCCGGCUGUUCCCAAGACCUGGAAAGUUGAUGACUUCCAGUCGAUGCCGCUCAGAGCUUCGAAUUGAGCUUCCUCGUCAAUUAACCCGGCCGGGUCAAUCUCCGGGGCGAAGGUGUGCUGACGAGUUGGCGGGAUUAAGCUGAGGGCUUCAUAGCGCGGGGUGGGGAUCCUCUGAUUCUCCGCAUUGUAACCCGGCUGGUACUUGGUCAGAUCUGUGUCGUUUCCAAUAAGGGUGGCCACCGGGCGCACGAUCUUCACGCAGGCGGCAAAGUCCCUUUGGUCGAAGGUUGUGCCGUCUUCCUUCAAACUUGGAUAACCGAGGGCGAUGUCCGCCGGGUCUAACUCUGGAAGGAAAGCCUUGGCCCGGCUCAGCGCGGCGAUCGCUCCGGCUCUUGCAGAGGCCCGUCGCAGCUCUUGGAUACGUUGAGGCAGAACGGCGAGCCGGCGAAGCACUUCCGCCAGGUGAGUCGGCACCUCAUUGGAUAGGGCCACCACAGCCAAGGCACGCUGUGACCCGGUGUAGAGUUGCUCCACCAGGGUGUACACAGCCUUCAGCUUGGUUACCACACUCUGGUUAAGGUUGGCGCCUCUCGGACCUGUUUAACAAAGUAAGAUAACCCGCCGACAAGGAUGAGUUAUGAGAUAUGAAGAUUCUAAACUUGAUGAAAACCGGUGAAAUGACUUACCGAAGAUUGCGGCAACCAUCUGGGACACUUGGCGCUUUAAGCCGGAGAGUUCGGCGGUCUUCUCUGAGAGAGCCUUCUCCGCCUGUUCAGCCCGGUUCACCAGAGCAGCCUUCUCUUCGGCCCAGGCUCUCCGUUCAGCGUCGAAGUCCGUCUUCAGUUUUUCUUGCGCAGCAAUACUGGACACAAAUUUAGCAUUUGCUUUCCGGGUCUCCGUCUCUUGCGUCUUCAGACGGGUCUUGAGAUCAGAGAUGUCAGCUUCAAAUUUCUUGCCAGCAGCCUGCAUAAUUUCCGGGUCAUAAGAUGAACAGUUACUAUACAAUCUUAAAAGUCCCAAGCACUUUCCAAGCAAAGGUACUUGGCACUUGGGGGCUAAUGCAUAUUGAACGUUUCUAUCUACAAAUUGCCGGUUCAAUUGAGUAAGCCGGAACUUAAGUCUACAGCAUAUUCUAUCAUAAGUCGUAGUCUUGGGGGCUAGAGCAUGGUAAAGGUAAAUAUGCAGUAAGUAAGAAGACAGAAGAAUAAUACCUCAGACUUCUGCUGAAUCUGGUUCACCAUGGCAAUCUCAGCAUCCCGGCUCUUGUGCACUUGGCUGACGUAGCCGGAGACGAGCUCUCCAAUGCUCAGGUUGGUGUAGUCGGUGAGGUCCAGAUUAACCCGGCGGGGCUGAAGCAGCUCCCCCUUGGCAGAACACUUGGCCAGUGCAGUAGGUCUCCCCGGCUCAACAAAUUCCGUCCGGGUGAUUACCACAUCCGGGUCAUCUGCUGGUUGAGCCGAGCUGGAGGCCUCCGGGUUAACAGAAGCUUCUGCUAUGGGCUUGUUGGUUGGAGCAGCAGCCUCAGGAGCAGAGGCAGCUGGCGGUUCUUGUGCGGCUACCUCCGGCUCAGGCAGGUCCGGCUCAUCGGCCGGCUUGUUCUUCUUCGCCCUUUUGCUGAGUUUUGCUUGGGCACUGAAAAGAUAGAAAGGUUAAGCACAAAAGUGUAAGUAAAGACAAAGUACAACAUAAGAUGACCAUUAUUACCCGGGCACAGUCUUGAAAGUCGGCAGGUUCGACUGCAUAGAGUCGCCCGAAGAGGGGGAAGUCUCCUGAUAAUUUGAGUCAGAAGAAUUGAGCGGUUGACGUAUAACACCCGCCAAAGGAUGAAAAGGGUACAAGUUGGAGAUAACCUCAGUUCAGCGCUUCCUCGAUGCGUCAGGUAACCUGGAGGAGAGGUUGGCGUCCUUGUUGGUCCGGGUGUGACGCCGGCUCUCAUGAACCUGUCGCUUCAAAAUAAAUUGAGGAUCUUGAUAAGCUAAAGGAUGUGAAAAGCUUACUUUCCGGGUUACCCUUCGGACUUUCAGCCUUGGCAAGGGCUCCGAGUCGGAGGAAAGUGACAUUACCUCUUCAACCACCGGGUUACUUGCGCCGGUGUCAUCCUGUUGAGGAAUAGUAUUGAUAAGGUGGACAGAAAUAAAUAGCAGAUAUAGCAAGAGCUUACAGGUUCAGGGGUUACCUCUGACUCGGAGCUGUCGCUUAAUUGCAUCAGCUCUGAAGCAGUAGGCCUACUUCCCUUCUUACGGGGAGCGGCUUUCUUGGCGGCUUUCUUCGCUUUUCUGGCCUUCUUGGCCGCUUCAUGGUCAUAUUUGACCUUCCAGAACUUGUCAUCAGCCUGAAAAAUACAAGGAUGAUUUCUUAAAGAUUCAGAUGACGGUUAUCUACAGAAGAAGAUAAAAUGUACAGAUCUGCGGCUUACCGCUGGGGCUGGGUUGGUCUUGCAGAAGGGGGCUAACCCGGUCCUCCCGCAGUCUGCCAGGCUCUCGUUCAAAAGAGCCUUGGUCAUAUCCUCUGCAACAUCUUCAGGAAGAUCGUUGCGGCUGUGUCUCUGGGGGUCAUCCUUUCGGCCCGUGUACUCGCACAUUAAGCCGCGGCGGCGGCUCAAUGCGAUCACCCGCCAGGAGAUCCAGACCCGGACCAGAUCGAUUCCGUUGAGACCAUUGCCCAGGAGAGCCUUGAUCUUGUUGAUGGUGGGGAGCAGAGGUUGGCGCUCUGCCUGAGUUAACUUGUCAGACAGAGGGUGAGUCGGCUCCAGACGUGAAGGGCGAAAGCCGGGCAGCGGGCUCUCGUCAGCCGACGACGUGUCUUGGCAAUAAAACCACGUCAGGUUCCAGUCCUUUGGGUGACUCCGCGGCUCGGUGUAAGGGAAAAGGCAGUCUCUCCGUCUCUGAAUGGAGAUGCCGCCUAGCUCCAAACUUGGCCCGUUGGCGCACUCGUUCUGGCGGUUCAAGUAGAAGAGCUCUCUGAAGAGCAGCAGGCUGGGCUCUUCUCCAAGGUAAACCUCGCAGAACACUUGGAAAUUGCAUAUGUUGGACACUGAGUUGGGUCCUAUAUCUUGUGGCCGCAAGUCAAAGAAAUUCAGUACAUCCCUGAAGAACUUUGAGCCGGGCGGUGCGAAGCCCCGGCUCAUGUGAUCCGCAAAAAUGACCACCUCCCCGUCCUUUGGCUGUGGUCUCUCCUCUGACGGGUCAGGGGCACGGUAGGACAUGACAUCCUUCUUGGGCAGGUAGCCUGAUUUGACAAAAUCUGCUAAUGUCUCGUUGGUGACAUUGGACCUCAUCCAAUUGCAAGUGAUGGAGGCUUUAGGAGCUUUGGGAGGCAUGGUGAAAGUCGGCAGCCUAUGAUAAAAGGAAAUGGCCGGUUUAAUUAUAAGCCGGAGGAAAUUUACAGUUCAAUGUUAAAGUCGCGGCUUACGGAGGGGACUAAUGACAUAUAUCUAGGUGCAUCAGGUUAUUUAAGCCACCCAAGGUGUUGAGAGUAAUUUGAUUGUCUACGGCCUUAUCACAGAUGAGCCGGAAAAUUCUAUGGCGCGUGGUCUCCUUUGAGUCGGAAGGUUCUACGGCGUGUGGUUGCUUUAAACGGGAAACGUAAGCCGCCAUGGCUCAACGAGUGCAGUUUUUUACUAAGUGUGGUGAAAACAAGUUUCACACAUUGCGGUAAAUAAUUUGGAUCAAGUGGUCGGCAGAAAAAGAAAAUUUCUAGACCUAAAAACAGACACGAGGGAAGUUCUUGGGCUUGAAUGGGGCCUUUAGGCAGUCAAAAGAGAUCUGCUUGCAUUUGAAAUGAGUGCCAAACAGCUACCGUGGCAGGUCUAGACAGGUCUAAGAUCAAGAAGGGCAGUAAAAACCAAAUCUACCGAAGGCCCGCGAUGAACUACGAAGAACAGAGGUAGAACUACGGAGCCCUAGUGCGGAUCUGCCCUAUGGAGUAACGAGGACUCACCGGUGCUGAAGAGAUGCGGAGGUUGCCGCCGUUUGUCUGGACCGACUCAGGGUGAUGCAGCGGCCAAGGUUGACGAAGACCGGGGGCGCGGCAGCGGCGGCGGAGUUCGAGCUCGAGCGGAGGAACAGUGGCGCGAGGAGGAAGAAGAGUGGCUGAAGGCCCGUCGGGCCGGGCUAUUUAUAAGGGCGAGCUCAUAAGUGGGCGCGAGAAACGAGGAGACCACGGCGUGGUUAUCUCCCCAUGAAACGCCUCGAUUUUCGGGAUGGCAGUAAAGAUAAGAUCCAUUGCGGAUCUGGUGGAGUAAAAAACGGGAUUAAUGGAAGAUGACGCCACGGCGGAUUACCCGGAGUCCAGAGGAUGACGUCACGCCGGGUUAUGGCCUUCACACAAAUGGCAAGCCGGAGAUUUUUUCUGUCAAAAGAAUUGAAGAUUGACAUGAGCCGGCUCAAAUCAAUCUGGGGCCUAAUGUUGAGGAUAUAGACCUUAGAGUCACCCACCAGGAGGGGCCGGGUUACUCUUAAUGGUCAUCGCCAGGAGCCCGGCGCCAAGCUUAAAGACGGUGGGCCAAAGAUGGGCUUAAGACCCGGAUGUGUCUUAAGGCCCGUAGUCACAAUCAUUAUUAUGGUAGAACUUGUAGUGUAAGGCAAGGAUAGUUGAGAGUCCGAGCCGGACACUCUUAUGAGCCGGCCGGGACUCUGAGAGCUGCUGGGCGUCAACCUCCCUAUAUAAAGGGACGACCCGACGGCGGUUUAGGGACAAGAAAGAUCUCAUCGAGAGCCAGGGAUAGCAGUCAAGCUCCCUGGUCAUCGAAACCCUAAUCAAUACCACCUCAACUGGACGUAGGCUUUUACCUUCACCGUAAGGGGCCGAACCAGUAUAAACCCUCGUGUUCCUUGUCCCAUUAACCCCUUCAAGCUUCCUAGCGGCGAUGGCUCCACGACUAAGUCCUAGCUUGAGGACAUCUGCCGUGACAAUUCCACGACAGGAAUUGAAGGAGCGUUUCUGGUGGACUGGUAUGAAGAAGGAUAUUGCCGAGUAUGUAGCCAUAUGUGAGGUAUGUCAGAGAGUGAAGGCAGAAAAUCAGAAGCCAGCAUGAUUACUGCAGCCUAUGCCAAUAACCGAAUGGAAGUGGGACAAGCUUGGCAUGGAUUUUAUCACCGGAUUGCCCAGGACCCGAUCGGGAUAUGAUUCUAUCUGGGUAGUAGUGGAUCGCCUGACCAAAGUAGCUCACUUUAUCCCAGUGAAAACCACUUAUACAAGUGUGAAGUUGGCCAAGAUAUAUAUGACCAGGAUCGUAUGUCUGCACGGAGUUCCGAGGACCAUCAUAUCAGAUAGAGGAUCACAGUUUACUUCAAAGUUUUGGCACCAGCUGCACCAGACCUUGGGAACUAGGCUAGAGUUCAGCACUGCUUUUCACCCGCAGACAGAUGGACAGACUGAGAGAGUCAAUCAGAUUCUGGAGGACAUGUUAAGAGCUUGUGCGCUAGAUUAUGGAUCUAGUUGGGAUGACAACUUGCACUAUGCCGAGUUCUCGUACAACAAUAGCUACCAGGCCAGUUUGAAGAUGGCACCGUUCGAAGCCCUGUAUGGAAGAAGGUGCAGAACACCGUUGAUGUGGGAUGAGGUUGGAGACCAUGAGUUUUUUGGACCAGAUUUGAUUAAGGAGUCUGAAGAGAAGGUUAAGCUGAUUCGAGAUAGGCUGAAGGUAGCCCAGUCCCGACAGAAGAGUUAUGCAGACUCGAAACGCAAGGAGGUAGUCUAUGAAAUCGGAGACAGAGUAUAUCUGCGAGUGUCACCCUUGCGAGGAGUUAAGCAUUUUGGAGUCAAGGAAGUUAGCCCGAGAUUUGUAGGACCGUACCGUGUUUUGGAGCGUAUGGGAGAGGUAGCCUACAAGUUGGAGUUACUCCAAGGACUGUCAGGAGUUCAUGAUGUGUUUCACGUUUCCCAGUUGAAGAAGUGUCAUGCUGAGAUGGCUGACAUACCUCUAAGAGAUACAGUGCAUCUGGAAGCAAUUCAGUUGGAUAGUGAUUUGACAUAUGAGGAGAAACCUGUCAAGAUUCUUGAAUUUGCCAGCCGCGUUACUUGCAGCAAGGUUAUCAAGUUUUGCAAAGUUCAGUGGAGCCACCAUACCGAGGAUGAAGCCACCUGGGAACGAGAGGAUGAUCUACGCAAAGACCACCCACACCUAUUUUCUAGCCAACCCGAAUCUCGAGGACGAGAUUCAUCUUAAGGGGGGUAGGUUUGUAACAUCCCAAAUUUUCAAUUUGGAAUGUUAUACAUAGGUCAUUCAUGCAUAUCAUAUUUUAUUGCAUUUCGUUUCUCGAUCCUCGAAAUUCUAAGCAACUCAAGGACCCUCGUAGAGAGUUGGGGAUUUCACCGUUUUCAUAUUUGAAUAUUAUCAAAUAUUGAAACAAGGAUCAUUUUGGUUUUAAUGAUUUUUCUCUCCGAAAAUAUUUCGAAUUAAAAUAUAUGAGAGGAGAUAAUAUGACUUCUCCAAAAUAAAUGAAAUAUUGGAGGAAAAAUAUUAAAAUCCAAUAAAUGAUUUUAUUUGGUUUUAUUGCAAUUUUAUUUGAAUUAGGAAAAAAUAUGCGUUUUUCAAAAAUUGUAUUAGAGGCCCAAAUAAAUGUUCACUUUGUCCGGAAUAUUUUUAGAGGACGGCGAAAAUUUAUUUCAGGAUUUUUGUAGUCCGUUUAGUAUUUCUUUUCUUUGUUUUUCUCCGCGUCAGAAUAUUAAAAAAAACGACCUACCGGGCCGUGUCCGCCUGGGACACCGACCCGGCCAGCCUCUUAUAAGCCGCGGCCCGCCAGCCCCCCCCCCAAACCUAGCCACCCCAAGCCCCGCACCCCAGCCGCCGCCGCCUUCUGCCAUCGCCGCCUCGCCACCGCCCCCGCCGCCGUCACGAUUGCCGAGGUAGCCGCCACUUUUUUUUAACUGUUCGGUUUUAUUUCGAAAACCUAGAUUCGUUUUUUAGAUUAGAUCGGUUCGGUAUUCCGUCGGUUUACUUAUUUUGCGGACGUUCGUCCGUACGUUCGUUUUAACGAACGCCGUUCACCCGUUAGCCACAGACAGCGAACGUUCGUUCGUUAGCCUGUUCGUCAGUUUUUCUUUUUCCAGGGUUUUCCGCGAUUAUUUUUCGAUCACGAUUUCUGCCCUAAUUUUCAUUUUAGUAUAACUUCUCGCUCGUUUAUCGAAAUCAGGCGAUUCAAGCGCCUAGAUCUUCGUCUCGAAACCCUCUUUCUGUUUAAACAACUUGAACAAGAUUUUGUUACUGUAAAAUUUGACUUUAGUCCAGAUUCGUAAACGGAUCUUGUUUCUUUCGCAGUUGUAGUUUCGUUGCUCCGUUUGAUUUGAUUCUUUUUGCAAACCGGAGUUCUUAAGUUGAACUUUCUGGUUAGAUCUCUUUAUUUGAGUUUUACCCGUGCAUCUUUGCUUGAUUGCUUAUGUAUGCUAUUUUUUGUUUGCGAUAGAAUUCCCGGAGUGCGAAGCGUGCUACUACGAGUCCCUAGGUUUUGCAGAUCAUCAGCAAGGCAAGUAACACAUUGAUCAUACCCCUUUAUUACCAGUUUUUAUGCAUUAGUUACAAUCCUCACACAUUGCAUGAGUAGGAUCUCUUAACAUGUGGGUUUGGGAAGUAGAUGUUGAGGUAGAACCUAUUACCUGUUUUAUUAUCAAACCCUUGGGAGUUACUUCUGCGUUAUGCUUAUUGCCAUGCCAUGCUCGUAGACGUGGAUUGGGUUUGAGUGUAUCCAUGACAGAUGUGAGAUUGUUAAUUAAUGGUUCAACUUAAGGUGGCAACUUUAAUACACAUCUGGGUGGAUUGCUUGUGGGCACCUGGAGAAUCCAGUAUUGUCUUAGGAUAUCCCGGAGUACCCGUGUGAUCAUCCUACGGUCCGCCACCCAGGCUCAAAGGGAUCAUAAGAUUAUUCAUGCUAGAAACUUCCGUGUGCAGCCACAAGCCAUUAUGGGCUCUGGCAUAGUUGAGCAUGUUGUGUGACCUCUUUCAGUGGUGGGCUAGCAGAUGUAGAGGGAAAGUAGGUGUAACUGUGCACCCAGAGUAAAGAGUUAAUGCUACUGAAAGACUGUGUCUCGGUCAUCCGUUUCUCAGACAUCAUGUAGUGCGAGAAAUCAAACGGAGGAGAUCGAGUCUUGUGGGGAAAAGUGUGCAAACCUCUGCAGAGUGUAUAAACUAAUCAUGGUUAGGCGUGUCCCUGGUUAUGGACAUCUUGAGUAUCUGGUAGUUGAAUUAUUGAUUUGAUCUCAUCACUCUAAAUUAAUUUGUUGGGUUGUUAAUGAUUACUUUAAUUGGGAUUGAGUUGGAGGAACCUUCUCAAUGUUGUUCAACUACCAUGAUAGUUAAAUAAAAUUUAUUCCUUUGUUGUAGGGAAAAAUUGGCUUUUCGCAAAAACCAUAUAACCAUAGAGCCUCCACCAGCCAUAUAUGCAUGUAGUGAUAGCAUUUAUCUGUUCAUUGCUCUACUGUGUUAUAUUGCCAGCAUAUUCCAUGUGCUGACCCGUUUUCGGGCUGCAACGUAUUAUGUUGCAGACUUUUCAGACGAGGAGUAAGGUUCGCUAGGUCGUUUGUCACGCACUCAGCUAUGCCGUUGGAGUUGAUGGACUCACUUUAUCUUCCAAGCCUUCCGAUGUUAUCGUUUUAGAUGGCCUUAAGCCAUAUUUAUUGUGAUAAGUUCUCUUUUGAGACAUUCGAUGUAAUAAGUGUGUGAUUGGUACUCUGCUAUAAAUCCAUUCGAGUACUGUGUGUGUCAGCAUUACCGAUCCAGGGAUGACACUGAAGCACAGAGACUUGACCGUUUGAGGUCGGGUCGCUACACGUUGUAUGUGAACGUAGAGCUUAUCACACCCGAUCAUCACGUGGUGUCUCGGCACGAUGAACUGUAGCAAUGAUGCAUACUCAGGGAGAACACUUGUACCUUGAAAUUUAGUGAGGGAUCAUCUUAUAAUGCUACCGCCGUUCUAAGCAAAAUAAGAUGCAUAAAGGAUAAACAUCACAUGCAAUCAAAAUAAGUGAUAUGAUAUGGCCAUCAUCAUCUUGUGCCUUUGAUCUCCAUCUCCAAAGCACCGUCAUGAUCACCAUCGUCACCGGCUUGACACCUUGAUCUCCAUCGUAGCAUCAUUGUCGUCUCGCCAACUAUUGCUUCUACGACUAACGCUACCGCUUAGUGAUAAAGUAAAGCAAUUACAUGGCGAUUGCAUUUCAUACAAUAAAGCGACAACCAUAUGGCUCCUGCCAGUUGCUGAUAACUGUUACAAAACAUGAUCAUCUCAUACAACAAUUUAUAUAUCAUCACGUCUUGACCAUAUGACAUCACAACAAGCCCUGCAAAAACAAGUUAGACAUCCUGUACUUUGUUGUUGCAAGUUUUACAUGGCUGCUACGGGCUUCUAGCAAGAACCAUUCUUACCUACGCAUCAAAAAACACAAAGAUUUUCCUCAAGUGUGCUGUUUUAACCUUCAACAAGGACCAGGCAUAGUCAAACUCGAUUCAACUAAAGUUGGAGAAACAGACACCCGCUAGCCACCUGUGUGCGAAGCACGUCGGUAGAACUAGUCUCAUGAACGUGGUCAUGUAAUGUCAGUCCGGGCCACUUCAUCCAACAAUACCACCGAAUCAAAGUAAGACGUUGCUGGUAAGCAGUAUGACUAUUAUCGCCCACAACUCUUUGUGUUCUACUCAUGCAUAUAACAUCUACGCAUAGACCUGGCUCGGAUGCCACUAUUGGGGAAUGCAGUAUUUCAAAAAAUUUACCUACGAUCACGCAAGAUCUAUCUAGGAGAUGCAAAGCAAUGAGCGGGAAGAAUGUGUCCACGUACCCUCGUAGACCGAAAGCGGAAGCGUUUAGUAACGCGGUUGAUGUAGUCGAACGUCUUCACGAUCCAACCAAUCCAAGCACCGAACGUACGGCACCUCCGCGUUCAGCUCGAUGACGUCCCUCGAACUCUCGAUCUAGUUGAGGCCGAGGGAGAGUUCCGUCAGCACGACGGCGUGGUGACGGUGAUGAUGAAGUUACGGACGCAGGGCCUCACCUAAGCACUACGACGAUGUGACCGAGGUGUGUAACGGUGGAGGGGGGCACCGCACAGGGCUAAGAGAAGACUUGGUGUGUCUUUGGGGUGCCCCCCUCCCACGUAUAUAAAGGGGGGAGGAGAGGUGGCCGGCUCAAGGGGGGGCGCCAGGUGUGGGGAGUCCUACUAGGACUCCCUAGUCCAAGUAGGAUUCCCCUCUCCUUUUUCCUUUUUCGGAAUAGCAAAGAGGGAAAGCGAGGAGGAGGAGGAGAGGGAAAGGGGGGGGCGCCGCCCCCACCCCUUGUCCAAUUCGGGCUGGGCAAGGGGCGCGCGCCACCUCCCUGGAUGGCCCUCUCUCCUCCGCUAAGGCCCAUGUAUGGCCCAAUAACUUCCUGGGGGGGUUCCGGUAACCCCUGGUACUCCGAAAUUCAUCCGAUAUGACCCGAACCAUUCCGGUGUCCGAAUGUAACCUUCCAAUAAUGAAUCUUUAUCUCUUGACCAUUUCGAGACUCCUCGUCAUGUCUGUGAUCUCAUCCGGGACUCCGAACAAACUUUGGUUCAUCAAAACACAUAACUCAUAAUACAAAUCAUCAUCGGACGUUAAGCGUGCGGACCCUACGGGUUCGAGAACUAUGUAGUCAUGACCGAGACACAUCUCCGGUCAAUAACCAAUAGCGGAACCUGGAUGCUCAUAUUGGCUCCUACAUAUUCUACGAAGAUAUUUAUCGGUCAAACCACAUAACAACAUACGUUGUUCCCUUUGUCAUCGGUAUGUUACUUGUCCGAGAUUCGAUCAUCGGUAUCAUCAUACCUAGUUCAAUCUCGUCACCGGCAAGUCUCUUUACUCGUUCUGUAAUGCAUCAUCCUGUAACUAAAUCAUUAGUCACAUUGCUUGCAAGGCUUAUAGUGAUGUGCAUUACCGAGAGGGCCUAGAGAUACCUCUCUGAUACACGGAGUGACAAAUCCUAAUCUCGAUCUAUGCCAACUCAACAAACACCAUCGGAGACACCUGUAGAGCAUCUUUAUAAUCACCCAGUUAUGUUGUGACGUUUGAUAGCACACAAGGUGUUCGUCCGGUAUUCGGGAGUUGCAUAAUCUCAUAGUCUGAGGAACAUGUAUAAGUCAUGAAGAAAGCAAUAGCAAUAAAACUAAACGAUCAUUAAUGCUAAGCAAACGGAUGGGUCUUGUCCAUCACAUCAUUCUCUAAUGAUGUGAUCCCGUUCAUCAAAUGACAACACAUGUCUAUGGCUAGGAAACUUAACCAUCUUUGAUUAACAAGCUAGUCAAGUAGAGGCAUACUAGGGACACUCUGUUUGUCUAUGUAUUCACAGAUGUACUAAGUUUCCGGUUAAUACAAUUCUAGCAUGAAUAAUAAACAUUUACCAUGAUAUAAGGAAAUAUAAAACAACUUUAUUAUUGCCUCUAGGGCAUAUUUCCUUCAUCUUGAUCCGGAUACGGUGGCAAGUGAGCGAGGAUCGGGUCGUCGCAUCCUUAGUGGCGCGCUACAUCGGCGCCCGGAUGUAGUGGAAAAUGAGCAAGGGUCUUCGCAUUUGACUCGACGAGUGCGAAGGGUAAGGAAGCUAGCUGAGCCUAGGAGGAUUCGCUUAGGUAGCUGGAACGUAGGGUCUCUGACAGGGAAGCUUCGGGAGCUAGUUGAUGCAGCAGUGAGGAGAGGUGUUGAUAUCCUUUGCGUCCAAGAAACCAAAUGGAGAGGACAGAAGGCGAAGGAGGUGGAGGAUACCGGCUUCAAGCUAUGGUACACGGGGACGGCUGCAAACAGAAAUGGCGUAGGCAUCUUCAUCAACAAGAGCCUCAAGUAUGGAGUGGUAGACGUCAAGAGACGUGGGGACCGGAUUAUCCUGGUCAAGCUGGUAGUUGAGGACUUGGUUCUCAAUGUUAUCAGCGCCUAUGCCUCACAAGUAGGCCACAAUGAGAACACCAAGAGGGAGUUCUGGGAAGGCCUGGAAGACAUGGUUAGGAGUGUACCAAUUGGUGAGAAGCUCUUCAUAGGAGGAGACCUCAAUGGCCACGUGGGUACAUCUAACACAAGUUUUGAAGGGGCGCAUGGGGGCUUUGGCUAUGGCAUCAGGAAUGAAGAAGGAGAAGAUGUCUCAAGCUUUGCUCUAGCCAACAACAUGAUUGUAGCUAACACCCUCUUUAGAAAGAGAGAAUCACAUCUAGUGACUUUUAGUAGUGGCCAACACUCUAGCCAGAUUGACUUCAUCCUCUCGAGAAGAGAAGAUAGGCGUGCGUGCCUAGACUGUAAGGUGAUACCUGGAGAGAGUGUUGUACCCCAGCAUAAGCUGGUGGUUGCUGACUUCCGCUUUCGGAUUCAUGUCCAACGGGAUAAGCGUGCCAAAGUCGCUAGAACGAAGUGGUGGAAGCUCAAGGGGGGAGGGUAGCUCAGGCGUUCAAGGAGAGGGUCAUUAAGGAGGGCACUUGGGAGGAAGGAGGGGAUGCGGACAAUGUGUGGAUGAAGAUGGCGACUAGCAUUCUUAAGGUGGCCUCAGAGGAGUUUGGAGUGUCCAGGGGAAGGAGAAGCGAAGAUAAGGAUACCUGGUGGUGGAAUGAUGAUGUCCAGAAGGCGAUUAAAGAGAAGAAAGAUUGCUUCAGACGCCUAUACCUGGAUAGGGGUGCAGACAACAUAGAGAAGUACAAGAUGGUGAAGAAGGCUGCAAAGCGAGCUGUUGGUGAAGCAAGGGGUCGGGCAUAUGAGGACCUCUACCAAAGGUUAGGCACGAAGGAAGGCGAAAGGGACAUCUAUAAUAUGGCCAAGAUCCGAGAGAGAAAGACGAGGGAUAUUGGCCAAGUCAAAUGCAUCAAGGAUGGAGCAGGCCAACUCUUGGUGAAGGACGAGGAGAUUAAGCAUAGAUGGCGGGAGUACUUCGACAAGCUGUUCAAUGGGGAGAAUGAGAGUUCUACCAUUGAACUGAACGACUCCUUUGAUGAGACCAGCAUGCGUUUUGUGCGGAGAAUCCAGGAGUCUGAGGUCAAGGAGCAGUAUAAGGGAAAACCCUAGUAGUAGCGCGGCUUUCGAGGCUAUCAGCAACGCGGGCAGCCGCGCUACUAAUAAGGCGCUACAACUAACUGUUACUAGUAGUGCGGUCUGUACCCCCGCUACUAAUAUUGACUAUAUCAGCAGCACUUUUCCAGAACACGCUACUGUUAGUUAGCUGUAGCGCUUUCCUAGCCCCGCGCUACUUCUAUGUGUUUCAUCAUUCCCCCCAGCUUCCUACCCAGUUUUAGUUUCAAUAAACUGCAAUUUCCAGAUACUAGGUACUCCUAGAUAUCAAUUUCAUAAAGCAUUAUAGGUAUUAGGUAGUACUAUCUCGGUCCCAAAUUACUCGUCGUCGUUUUAGUUCAAAUUUGAACUAAAACCACGAUGAGUAAUUUGGAACGGAGGGAGUACUAGAUAACAAUUUCAUAUAUAGUCAACAUGCAUCCUCAAGCUGUACAAGGUGAUAUCGACGAUGAUCAUCAUAUGUAGUUCUAGAUGAUAUCGACGACGAUCAUCAUAUGUAGUUCUACAUGACAUCGACGACGAUCAUCAUAUGUAGUUCUAGAUGAUAUAGCCACACACACACAUAUGUAGUUCUAGGUGAUAUCGACGACGAUCAUCAUCCUCAAGCCUGGGCGAUGGGUGUUCCUGAUAGUAAUUAGGAUGGCAUGUCCAACACGAAGAUUCUUGCCAACGAGGAAUCUCUUCCACCCAACCGAGUUUAAGUGUGUGCGACCGUCUGUGUCCAUGCGGUAAGUACAGGUGGUGACGGAGCCCCAUGCGGUAAGGCGUAGUCCAGCUGAGCCUUCUUCAUCAGGCUCGAUACCACAACUCACCAAUAGGUUCUUUGGCAAUUUUUGAAUAAGAAAAACAUAUCAAUUAAUAAAUAGCCUCGCACAUACUCUUGCAAAUAUAUUUCUAUUAAGUAUAGAUUUCUACACUAUCCAAAGACAUAGUACUACACAUUUGUACUAAUUAAGCAUUAAUUCUACUAAUAAGUAUAUAUGGAUUAUCUACACUAUUAAUAGUUCCUUGGAUUCUACACUAAUAAGCAUGUGAUCAGACUCUACACUAAAGCAUAUCAUCGACUAGAUUCCACACAGCAUAUCUUGGACUCUACACUAAGAAUAUCAUCGUAUUCACUAAGCAUAUCAUCGGAUAAUUUGCAUUUGUAAGUAUGACAAUAAAGCAUAUAUAUAUAUAUAUAUAUAUAUAUAUAUAUAUAUAUAUAUAUAUAUAUCAUCAAAUUACUACAGUCAGUAUAACAUACCAUUUCAUGCCGAUCGACCAUGGUACUUGUCAGGCGGGUCACGAAUGGCACCCCGACAAAGUCAUCACGUGGCGGAAUUAUGUCCCAUAGGUUGCACACCUCCUCCUCGCUCAGCCUCAUUCUUUGAGCAAUGAUGGCUUCAUGAAGUGGGUUCUCAUCAUCUUCAUUGAGUGGGUCCUCAUUAUCUUCAUCAUCUUCGUCAUCUUCAUCAUCUUCGUCAUCAUCAUCUUCCACCAGGUUUAUAUAAAUGACAACCAGCUUGGGUCUUUCUGCUCUGAAGGAGAAGCUGGUCAACUCACCACCAGUAAGACACAUGCGGGCGAGGAAACGGGCCCAUCCAUCUCCUCCAAUCUGUGAUAUUACGUCCUUUCUCGGCCUGCAUAGUGUACGGCCCCCAGGAGCCUCAAAUGUCACAGUGUCUCCUGUCAGCUUGUUGAAUUUCAACCUCACAUUGCAUGGGACGAUCUGUGUAAAAAAAGCAAAAUGACACAAUGCAGUAAUGCCAACACUAAAAAUAAAAUAGUUGUUACAUUUCAUCUAAUUUCUUACCGCCGCAUGACGAAAACUCGGCUGGAAGUAGAUGCCGAAUAGCUUGCCAGUUGCAAGGCUGCUGGCGCACCUUGACUUGCACAGUCGACAUGGUGGUGGUGGUGGUGGUGGCGCCAUUUUCCUAAAGCAAUAUGAGCAAAGGAUUAACGAUCCACUUCACAGGAAAGAAAAACAGUAGCAUGUGAUAUUUAUGGUUCUUCCGUGAGAAGCAAUUUGAUGGACAAUUAUAAUCCUAAGAUCUAGUAACAUAUUAGAUGACAAGGUACCACCUACCAAAGCAUUUCGGUGGCACCUAUUGCCGAAAAAACUUUUCACAACUAUCUACCAAAUCAGGGUACCACCUACCAAGACAUUUCAUCUAAUUUGGCCCCUAUUGCCUAAGAUAAUUGAUUAAAAAACAAGUGGCAAAUUUAACUAAAUUGGCACCUACAUUUUGCAAAAAAUUAAGUUAUUACAAAAAAACAAAAGCAUCUAGCUAUCCAUGCACAGAAAAAAUAACAAUAAAAUGGUGCAUACUAAAUCAACUAAAUCAACAAGCCUACUAAAUCAACUAAAUCAACUAGCCUACUAAAUCAACUAGCAUAAUAAAUCAACUAAAUCAAAAUGUUCUAAAUCAACUAGCCUACUAAAUAAACUAAAUCAUAUCAACUAAAUCAAAAUGUUGCAUAUGAACUAGCCUACUAAAUCAAAAUGUAUCAGGAAGAAAUUUGUAAGCCCUCGUAGCAUCUAGGUAGGGCAGCCCUCGGGGGGUGCUGUCGAGCGGAGGGGGGAUGGCAUGGUGACCUCGGUCGGGGGUGCUGACGAGGGGAAGGCCGGUGACUUUACUACNNNNNNNNNNNNNNNNNNNNNNNNNNNNNNNNNNNNNNNNNNNNNNNNNNNNNNNNNNNNNNNNNNNNNNNNNNNNNNNNNNNNNNNNNNNNNNNNNNNNNNNNNNNNNNNNNNNNNNNNNNNNNNNNNNNNNNNNNNNNNNNNNNNNNNNNNNNNNNNNNNNNNNNNNNNNNNNNNNNNNNNNNNNNNNNNNNNNNNNNNNNNNNNNNNNNNNNNNNNNNNNNNNNNNNNNNNNNNNNNNNNNNNNNNNNNNNNNNNNNNNNNNNNNNNNNNNNNNNNNNNNNNNNNNNNNNNNNNNNNNNNNNNNNNNNNNNNNNNNNNNNNNNNNNNNNNNNNNNNNNNNNNNNNNNNNNCCGGCAAGGGGAUCGAGGGCAGUCGGCCAAAGGCGCCCGGCCAGAGCUCGCGGCCAGCGACAGAGUGGGCGGCGAGAGGGUGGAGGAGCAGUGGAUGGGCGACGAGAGGGGGGAGGAGCAUUACCUGCGGCGGCGGUGGCGGAGGAGAAACCCUAACCGCAGCUGCCGGCGUCGGGAGGAGGGGGACGAUUGAGAGAUGACCGUGCGGGGGGGGCGGCCAGGCCGCGUGUUUUGUUUUGCUUUAGCAGUAGCGCAGGUAUAGGGAGCGCGCUACUGCUAAGCCCAAUAUCAGUAGCGCUUUGUCCUAAAAAAACGCUACUGCUAAGUCUAAGCAAUGUAAAAACAUCAAAAAUAUACAUUGGUCAUCAUUGAUCUUUUUGUGUAGAAUCUAAAUAGUCAACAUGAAUCCUCACCGUACCUGUAUAGGUACACGCGAGGAUUCAUAUUGCAGCCACAAAUCCUACACAUAUAGUUCAAUGAAGACCAAGUGCUCGAGAUAGUUUGAGAAGUAACAUAUUUAAGGUGGUAAACACCUUGUUGGCUUAGCAGUAUGGGACUAAACUUAAUUAGUUGCAAGGGGGGUGAUACUUAGCAGUAGCGAGUUUUGAAGAAAAACACUACUACUAAGUACUUUAGCAGUAGCGCGUCUAGAAGAAGGGCGCUACUACUAUAUCUAGCCUGGAGGCAACACCGUGGCAAUUAUAGUAGUAACGCUUGUUUCACCUAGAGCGCUACUGCUACUUGGUUAUUAGUAGCGCGGUUUCCUGAAGCUCGCUACUGAUAAUUAGCAGUAGUGUUUGUUUUUAAACAACGUUGCUGCUAAGAUUCUGUGUAUAAGGUUUUCCCUAGUAGUGGAGGCUUUAAAAAGGAUGCAAGGGGGCAAGGCGAUGGGCCCUGAUUGUAUCCCCAUUGAGGUGUGGAAAGGUCUCGGGGACAUAGCGAUAGUAUGGCUAACCAAGCUUUUCAACCUCAUUUUUCAGGCAAACAAGAUGCCAGAAGAAUGGAGACGGAGUAUAUUAGUACCAAUCUUCAAGAACAAGGGGGGUGUUCAGAGUUGUACUAAUUAAAGUGGAAUUGAGCUGAUGAGCCAUACAAUGAUGCUAUGGGAGAGAGUCAUUGAGCACCGCUUAAGAAGAAUGACAAGCGUGACCAAAAAUCAGUUUGGUUUCAUGCCUGGGAGGUCGACCAUGGAAGCCAUUUUCUUGGUAUGACAACUUAUGGAGAGAUAUAGGGAGCAAAAGGACUUGCAUAUGGUGUUCAUUGACUUGGAGAAGGCCUAUGAUAAGAUACCGCAGAAUGUCAUGUGGUGGGCCUUGGAUAAACACAAAGUCCCAGCAAAGUACAUUACCCUCAUCAAGGACAUGUACGAUAAUGUUGUGACAAGUGUUCGAACAAGUGAUGUCGACACCGAUGACUUCCCGAUUAAGAUAGGACUGCAUCAGGGGUCAGCUUUGAGCCCUUAUCUUUUUGCAUUGGAGCUGGAUGAGGUCACAAGGGAUAUACAAGGAGAUAUCCCAUAGUGUAUGCUCUUUGCGGAUGAUGUGGUGCUAGUUGACGAUAGUGAGACGGGGGUAAAUAGGAAGUUAGAGUUAUGGAGACAAACCUUGGAAUCGAAAGGGUUUAGGCUUAGUAAAACUAAAACCGAGUACAUGAUGUGCGGUUUCAGUACUACUAGGUGUGAGGAGGAGGUGGUUAGCCUUGAUGGCUAGGUGGUACCUCGGAAGGACACCUUUCGGUAUUUGGGGUCAAUGCUGCAGGAGGAUGGGGGUAUUGAGGAAGAUGUGAACCAUCGAAUCAAAGCUGGAUGGAUGAAGUGGCGCCAAGCUUCUGGCAUUCUCUGUGACAAGAGAGUGCCACAAAAGCUAAAAGGCAAGUUCUACAGGACAGCGGUUCCACCCGCAAUGUUGUAUGGCGCUAAGUGUUGGCCGACUGAAAGGCGACAUGAUCAACAGUUAGGUGUGGCAGAGAUGUGUAUGUUGAGAUGGAUGUGUGGACACACGAGGAAGGAUCAAGUCCAGAAUGAUGAUAUACGAGAUAGAGUUGGGGUAGCACCAAUUGAAGAGAAGCUUGUCCAACAUCGUCUGAGAUGGUUUGGGCAUAUUCAGCGCAGGCCUCCAGAAGCUCCAGUGCAUAGCGGACGACUAAAGCAUGUGGAGAAUGUCAAGAGAGGGCGGGGUAGACCGAAUUUGACAUGGGGGUGUCUGUUAAUAGAGACCUGAAGGAUUCGAGUAGCACCAAAGAGCUAGCUAUGGACAGGGGUGCGUGGAAGCUUGCUAUCCAUGUGCCAGAGCCAUGAGUCGGUUGUGAGAUCUUAUGGGUUUCACCUCUAGCCUACCCAAACUUUUUUGGGAAUAAAGGCUUUGUGGUUGUUGGGUUGCCUCCCAACAAGCGCUAUAGUUUUACGCCCUUAGCUAGGCAUAAAGCAAGGAUCUAAGUUUUCUCAUCUUUGUUUCGAGAUCCAUAAGAUGCCCUCAUGAUUGAUUCGUAUGGUGGCCUAAUUCUUGUUCUAGGGAAGUGUUCCAUACCCUUCCUCAAAGGAAAUUGGAAAUUAAUAUUGCCUUCUUUCAUAUCAAUCACGACACCGAUAGUGCGUAAAAACGGUCUACCAAGAAUAAUUGGACAAGACGGAUUGCAAUCAAUAUCAAGAACAAUAAAAUCUACGGGCACAUAAUUCCUAUUUGCAAGAAUAAGAACAUCAUUAAUUCUUCCCAUAGGGUUUUUAAUAGUAGAAUCCGCCAAGUGCAAAUUUAAAGAACAUUCUUCAAGAUCGGUAAGACCAAGACAUCACAUAAAGAUUUCGGAAUUGUAGAAACACUAGCACCCAAGUCACACAAAGCAAAACACUCAUAAUUUUUAAUCUUGACUUUGAUAGUAGGUUCCCAUUCAUCAUGCAAUUUUCUAGGAAUUGAAACUUCUAAUUCCAAUUUUUCUUCAAAAGCUUUCAUCAUAGCAUCAACAAUAUGUUUAGUAAAAGCUUUAUUUUGUUCAUAAGCAUGGGGUGAAUUUAUCAUGGAUUGCAACAAAGAAAUACAAUAAAACAAACAGCAACUAUCAUAAUUAAAGUCUUUGUAAUCCAAAAGAGUGGGCACAUCACAGGUUAAAGUUUUGACCUCUUCAAACCCACUUUCAUCAAUUUUCUCAACAAGAUUUUCACCCUCUGAAUUAUCGGCACCCCUUCUAGCUUCGACUCUUCUCCAGUCCUUUUUCCAUCAAUCUUAACUUUACAAACAAGGAAUCAAUAGAAGAAACACCAAUCGUUUUAAGAUCUUCAUCACUUUUAUGAAAGUAAUCGCUAGAAAUUCUUUUUCUAAAAAUUCUCUUUUAUCUCUAAGCAUAGCGGUUCUUUUCUUACUUUCAUCCAUAGAAACAUAAAGAGCUUUAAUUUAUUAAUCAACCUUAGGCACAAAAAAUUUCAUCUUGAGAUUUUCCACAUCAUGAGAAAUUCUAUCAACACUUCUAGAAAAAUCAUCAAUCUUAUUCAACUUUUCUUCUAUGGAAGUGUUGAAAACUUUUUGCGUGUUGAUAAAUUCUUUAAUAUUAUUCUCAAGAUCAGAGGUGUUCCUAUUAUUAUUAUAAGAAGGAUUUCCAUAGGAAUUACCAUAAUUAUUAGAGGAAUUACUAGGAAAAGGCCUAGGAUUAAAAUUACCUCUAUAAGCAUUGUUAUUGAAAUUAUUUAACCCAUGAGUUGGGCAAUUCCUUAGCAUCAUUUUCAUCCUUUCCCAAGAUUGUGCAACAUGCUCAUGUUCAAGUUGCUUGAAAUUCAUGAUCUGUGUUCUAAGGGAAAUAAUUUUUGUGGGUGGAAAAUACUUAGUGAUAAAAGCAUCUUUGCACUUAUUACAAGAAUCGAUACUAUUGCGAGACAAAGAAGAGAACCAAAUUAUUGCAAAAUCACGCAAAGAAAACGGAAAUAAUUUCAUCUUCACAACAUCAUUGUCCACAUCUUUUUUCUUUUGCAUAUCGCAUAAUUCCACGGAGGUAUUAAGAUGGGACGCGGUAUCCUCAUUAGGAGUACCGGAAAAUUGAUCUUUCAUAACAAGAUUCAAUAAAGUAGUAUUAAUAUCACAAGACUCCGCACUAGUGGCGGGAGGAACAAUCGGAGUGCCAAUAAAAUCAUUGUUGUUGGUAUUUGAGAAAUCAAAUAACUUGGUGUUCUCUUGAGUCAUGAUGACUACACAACAAGAUUGCACUCAAAAACAGAUCCGGCAAGAAAACGGCGAAUGAAAAAAGAGGGGCGAAUAAAACUGCAAAUUUUUGUGAAGUGGGGGAGAGGAAAACGAGAGGCAAAUGGCAAAUAAUGUAAAUUGCGAGGAGAUGAGAGUUGUGAUUAGGAACCUGUUAUAUGUUGAAGAUCCUCCCUGGCAACGGUGCCAGGAAUUCCUUUUGAUGCGGCUUGAAGCUACGUCGGUAUUUCCCCAAAGAGGAAGGGAUGAUGCAGCACAGCAUCGGUAGGUAUUUCCCUCAGAUAUGAAACCAAGGUUAUCGAACCAGUAGGAGAACCAAGCAACACAACCUAAACAGCACCUGCACACAAAUAACAACUUCUCAGAACCCGAUGUGUAAAAGGGGUUGUCAAUCCCUUUCAGGUAGCGCCGCCCCAAGAUGGGCAAACGGACGUGAAUAAAAUUGUAGCAGAUUGAUAGAUCGAACGCCAAAUAAAAUAAAUAAGAAUAAACCCCAGCAAGGUAUUUUUGUAUUUUUGUUUAAUAGAUCUGAAAAUAAAAGCAAGGGAAAAUAGAUCGCAAAGGCAAAUAAUAUGAGAAAGAGACCCGGGGGUCGUAGGUUUCACUAGUGGCUUCUCUCGAGAAAAAUAGCAAACGGUGGGUGAACACAUUAUUGUUGGGCAAUUGAUAGAACUUCAAAUAAUCAUGACAAUAUCCAGGCAAUGAUCAUUAUAUAGGCAUCACGUCCAAGAUUAGUAGACCGACUCCUGCCUGCAUGUACUACUAUUACUCCACACAUCGACCGCUAUCCAGCAUGCAUCUAGUGUAUUAAGUUCAUGGAGAAACGGAGUAAUGCAAUAAGAACGAUGACAUGAUGUAGACAAGAUCUAUCUAUGUACAAAUAGAUUCCAUCGUUUUACCCUUAGUAGCAACGAUACAUACGUGUCGGUUCCCCUUCUGUCACUGGGAUCAAGCACCGUAAGAUCGAACCCACUACAAAGCACCUCUUCCCAUUACAAGAUAAAUAGAUCAAGUUGGCCAAACAAAACCCAAAUAUUGAAGAAGAAAUAUGAGGCUAUAAGCAAUCAUGCAUAAAAGAGAUCAAAGAAACUCAAAUACUUUCAUGGAUAUAAAAAGAUAGAUCUGAUCAUCAACUCAAAGUUCAUCCGAUCCCAACAAACACACUGCAAAAAGAGUUACAUCAUACGGAUCUCCAAGAGACCAUUGUAUUGAGAAUUCAGCGAGAGAGAGGAAGCAAUCUAGCUACUAACUACGGACCCAAAGGUCCACAAAGAACUACUCACGCAUCAUCGGAGAGGCACCAAUGGAGGUGGUGAACCCCAGCCGUGAUGGUGUCUAGAUUGGAUCUGGUGGUUCUGGACUCUACGACGGCUGGAAUUGAUUUUCGUCGACUCCCUUAGGGUUUCUGGAAUAUUGGGGUAUUUAUAGAGCAAAGAGGCGGCCCGGGGGCACCCGAGGUGGGCACAACCCACCAGGGCGCGCAUGGGCCUCCUGGCGCGCCCUGGUGGGUUGUGCUCUCCUCGGAGCACCCCCCAGGCGUAGCCUUGGCCCAUUAGGUGUCUUAUGGUCCAAAAAAAUCUCCAUAAAGUUUCGUUGCAUUUGGACUCCGUUUGGUAUUGAUUUCCUGUGAUGUAAAAAACAUGCAGAAAACAGCAACUGGCAUCUGGCACUAUGUCAAUAGGUUAGUACCAAGAAAUGAUAUAAAAUGACUACAAAAUGAUUAUUAAACAUCCAAGAUUGAUAAUAUAAUAGCAUGGAACAAUCAAAAGUUAUAGAUACGUUGGAGACGUAUCAAAGCCCUGUCUGAUACAUGCGACUCCAAGCACAGACUCAACUCACAGCCUUCGAGCAUGUUGGGUACUUCGGCAGGUAGCUAAAAGUGGGGAGGCCAUCCUCACCACCGCCACUUCAGAGAAGCAUUCUCCGGAGGAUGAUGAUUUUAAUGUCCUUACAGUCUUUGAGACAUUCUCUUCAAAUAAUCGGCAUAACAGGGCACUUCGCGACCUCGCCGAAGUCCACCAAGUAACCGCAAUGAGCCUAUGGAACAACUCGACAAUAACCUUCACCGCUGAUGACGAACCAAGGGCCCGAUCAGUCCGAGCACCCGUCGCUUUAGUACUAAACCCCACUGUGGACGGCUUUCGACUUACCAAAGUGCUCAUGGACGGCGGCAGUGGGGUUAACCUCAUCUACGAGGACACGCUUGACAAAAUGCAGGUUGACAGAACACGCAUCAAGCAAAGCAGUACCACCUUUCGAGGCAUCAUCCCCAGUCGAGAAGCACGAUGUUCAGGGAGAAUUAAGCUUGACGUAGUAUACGGCACGCCUGCAAAUUAUAGGUCAGAAGAGCUGCUCUUUCACGUUGUUCCCUUCAAUAGCGGAUAUCAUGCCCUUCUAGGGCGGGACGCUUUCUCAUGCUUCCAAGCCAUACCCCAUUACAGGUACAUGAAGCUUAAAAUGCCAGGGCCCAAUGGAAUAAUCACAGUUUCGAGUGACCGGAUAAGGCACUCCGCGCCGAAAACAAAACCACAUCCUUGGCUCUUGAGUUAUGAUACGUCUCCAACGUAUCUAUAAUUUAUGAGGUAUUCAUGGUAUUAUUUUAUCAUUCUUGGAUGUUUUACAAUCAUUUUAUAGCAACUUUAUAUCAUUUUUUGGGACUAACCUAUUGAUCCAGUGCCCAGUGCCAGUUGCUGUUUUUUGCUUGUUUCUUACAUCGCAGAUAAUCAAUACCAAACGGAGUCCAAACGCAACGAAACUCCACGGAGAUUUUUAUGGACCGGAAGGAACCCAAUGGGCCAGAGCUGCACCUGGGGGGUGCCGCGAGGGGGGCACAACCCACCAGGGCGCGCUCAGGUGGGUUGUGCCCACCUCGGUGGCCUCCUGCGCCCCCUCUUUACCCUAUAAAUUCCCCAAAAUUCCAAAAACCCUCGGGGUUAACCUAGAUCAGAAGUCUCGCCGCCGCAGGGCUCCGUAGCCAUCGAAAACCAAUCUAGACCCGUUUUGGCACCCUGCCGAAGGGGGGAAUCAUCUCCGGUCACCAUAUUCAUCAUCCCGGCGGCCACCACGAUGAGGAGGAGUAGUCCACCCUCGGGGCUGAGGGUUUGUACCAGUAGCUAUGUGUUUAAUCUCUCUCUCUCUCGUGUUCUUGAUAUGUCACGAUCUUGAUGUAUCGUGGGCUUUGUUAAUAUAGUCAGAUCAUAUGGUGUUUUCCCCUCUCUAUCUUGUUGUGAUGAAUUGAGUAUUUCCCUUUGAGAUUUCAUUGUUAUCGGAUUGAAUACUUUUAUGGAUUUGAGAACACUUGAUAUAUGUCUUGCAAUUGAAUACUCAUGGUGAGAAUGGGGUAUCGUAUUGAUUCACAUGAUAUAUGUUUUGGCACUCAACUCGCGGAUUCCCGAGGUGACAUUGGGGUAAUCUAUGCAUAAGGGUUGAUGCACGUUCUUGUCUUUGUUUCUCCGGUAGAAAUCUUGGGGCACUCUUUGAAGUUCUUUGUGUUGGAUUGAGUAUUAUGAAUAUGGAUUUGCUUUGGUGUUAUUUUAGUACGAACUCUAGGAUAGAUCGAACGGAAAGAAUAGCUUUGUGUUAUUUUACUACGAACUCUUGAAUAGAUCGAAUGGAAAGAAUAGCUUUGAGGUGGUUUCGUGCCCUACAAACAAUUUAUUCUUAUGUUCUCUGCUAGAUAGGAACUUUGGAUUGAUUCUCCGUCGCACUUUGAGGGGUGGUUAUAUGAUCCAAUUAUAUUAGCAUUGUUGAGAGAUUGCACUAGCGAAAGUACGGACCCUAGGCCUCAUUUUCAAGCAUUGCAAUACCGUUUUUGUGCCCGUUUACUAUUUGCUACCUUGCUGUUUUUAUUUAUUCAGAUUAUAAAAAUAUAUUUCUACCAUCCAUAUUACAUUUUUAUCACCAUCUCUUCGUCGAACUAGUGCACCUAUACAAUUUGCCAUUGUAUUGGGUGUGUUGGGGACACAAGAGAUUUCCUGUAUUUUGUUGCAGGGUCAUUUGAGAGAGACCAUCUUCAUCCUACACCUCUCACGGAUUGAUAAACCUUAGGUCAUCCACUUGAGGGAAAAUUGCUACUGUCCUACAAAACUCUGCGCUUGGAGGCCCAACACGUGUCUACAAGAAUAAAGUUGCGUAGUAGACAUCAAGCUCUUUUCUGGCGCCGUUGCCGGGGAGGUGAGUGCUUGAAGGUAUAUCUUUUGAUCUUGCAAUUGAAUCUUUUAGUUUCUUGUUUUAUCACUAUUUUGGUUUAUAAAAAGAAAACUACAAAAAAAUGGAAUCGAGGAAAAUUGUGCGCCAUUGUUAGAAGAAGAAUUAUAUAAAAUGUUUGACAAAAAAUCUUUGAAUGAUGAGCAUGAUUGCAAUGUUGUUGGUAUGAAAUCUUUGAAUAUCCAUGAUGCUAGGGAUAUGCAAAGCCAUAAGCUUGGGGAUGCUAUGUUUGAUGAAGAUGAUAUUUUUAGUCCCCCAAGAUUUGAUGUGCAAAUUUGUUAUAAUGAUUGCAUGCCACCUAUUUAUGAUGAUUAUAUUGAUGAAAGUGGGUUUGUAAGAGUGUCAACUUUAGAUAGUGAUCCCACUAUUUUGGACGGUGUUGAAUCUUAUUGUUAUAAUGAUAAAAGUGGAUUUGGAGAGGUCAUGACUUUAUUUAGUGAUGAGUCCACUAUUUCGGAAGAGGUUCCAAUUGAUUAUGAGAACAAAAUUGCUACAUAUGAUGAUUAUGUUGAUGACAUGUAUGCUAUAAAGAAUAAUGAUAACCAUGAAACUUGUCAUCAUGAUUUUAAUUUUCACUCUCAUGAUAGUUAUUUUGUUGAGUUUGCUCCCACUACUAUAGAUGAGAAGAAAUUUUCUUAUGUGGAGAAUAAUGAGUUUUCUAUGCUUUUGUGUCAUGGAAAGAAUGCUUUAUGUGAUAGUUAUAUUGUUGAUUUUCUUAAUGAUGCAACUAAAAAAAAUUAUGAGGGAGGAACUUAUGCUUGUAGGAAUUGCAAUAAUAUCAAGUUUCCUCUCUAUGUGUUGAAAGUUUUGAAGUUAUGCUUGUUUUGCCUUCCUAUGCUAGUUGAUUAUUGUUCCCAUAAGUUGUUUGCUCUCAAAAUCCCUAUGCAUAGGAAGUGGGUUAGACUUAAAUGUGCUAGUCAUAUGCUUCAUGAUGCUCUCUUUGUGUUUCAAUUCUUUACUUUUAUACGAGCAUCAUUGAAAUCAUCAUGCCUAGCUAAAAGGCAUUAAAGAAAAGCGCUUGUUGGGAGACAACCCAAAACUUUUACCUACUGUUUUUGUGUGUUCACAUGAUUAGGCUACUGUAGUAAUCAUGUUGUAUUGCAUUCGGUUCAAUAAAGUACCAAGUAAGACCUUUGGGAUCAUGUUGGGUGAUAGUAGAUUUGAUCUUGCUGCAAAACAGAAACUUUGGCGCUCACGAAAAUAAGUCUCAUUUUUAACAGAAGAGUACUUUUGAGUUUAUUCUUUUUGCAGAAGUUUAAUAUACAAAUUGCUCACGUGGUCAUAAUUUUUUGAGUAGCAGAAGUAUGGUAGUUAUCCAGAUCAUUACAGACUGUUCUGUUUUUGACAGAUUCUCUUUUCAAUACAUAGUUUGCUUGUUUUCUAGUUUCUAUGGCUUAUAGUACUCAAUAUAAAUUGUGGAAAUGAUGAGGUACAGUAGGAAUUGUGUGGAAAAAAAUAUGAAUCUUAUCUUUGACAGUACCAAAGUGAAAUGGUUUGCUCUUUAUCAUACUAACCUAUCUCACGAAGUUCCGUUAAGUUUUGUGUGAUUGAAGUUUUCAAGUUUUGGGUGAGAUAUCGAUAUGAGGAGAAUAAGGAGUGACAAGACCCUAAGCUUGGGGAUGCCCAAGGCACCCCAAGUUAAUAUCCAAGGAAGAUCCAAGCAACUAAGCUUGGGGAUGCCCUGGAAGGCAUCCCCUCUUUCGUCUCCAACAUUAUCGGUAACCUCACUUGGAGCUAUGUUUUCUUCGUCACAUGAUUUGUGUUUUGCUUGGAGCAUCAUUUUAUUUUGUUAGUAUUUUCUCGCUGGUAUUUAGAAUAAUGUUUUGCAUCUUUUAUUUCAAUAAAAGUGGCAAUGAUAGCCUUUGCCAUGCUUAUUUUGCAAGUAUACAUGUUACUGUUUGAAAACAGAAAGUUUACCGCUAUUGCAAAAAUUCCCUAGAAAAGUCAGAAUGUGAUAAAAUGUUGAAACUUUUUGAAUGAUAAUCUAUGAUAAAUUCUCUACAGUGUGGUAGAAUUCCAUAAUGUUUGGAGGUGAAUAAGUAUUGAUACUCUUGCAUUCUUUACAGACCGUACUGUUUUGGCAGAUUGUUGUUAUGUUUGCAUUGUUUGCAUAUGUUUGCUUGUUUAAUGCUCCUAUUUGAGGGUAUGAGUAUUAAAUAUGCAGAGGCAUUUAGUAUGCAAUGUUGAAUAAUAAUUUUAGUGAUUUGCUACAGUAGAUAAUGAUAAGGUUUUUGCAUUGGUUUAUACUAACUUAUCUCACGAGUUCUUGUUGAGUUUUGUGUGGAUGAAGCUUUUUAGAUUUAGGAAAACCGUGAUAUGAGAGGAAUUAAGUAGACACAAAACCUCAAGCUUGGGGAUGCCCAAGGCAUCCCAAGAUAAUAUUUCAAGAAGUCUCAAGCAUCUAAGCUUGGGGAUGCCCCGGUAGGCAUCCCACCUUUUUUCUUCAACAAUUAUCGGUUAGUAUCGGUUGAGCCUAAGUUUUUGCUUCUUCACAUGAGUUGUGCUAUUCUUAGAACGUCAUUUUAUUUUUGUUCUGCUUGUUGUUUUAAUAAAAUACUUAUAUCUGAAAGUUUUAAAUAAGAGAGAGUCCAGACAUAGCUAUCUAUUUACUUAACUACUCAUUUGAUCUUCACUUAUAUCUUUUUGGAGUAGCUUGUCAUUUACUCUUGUGCUUCACUUAUAUCCUAUGAGUAAAUUGUUGAAUGAAUUGAAUAUCAUGAAGUUGAAAUUAUAGCAUGCCUAGUGGUAGCUUCACAUUGGGUUUAGAAAGUGAAAUCUUUUGAGGCAUGACAAUCACAAUAUUGGUCAUACAAGCAAUUCACGACUAAUUAGUAUAAGGAAGAGAACUUUCACAUGCAAAUACAUUAUCAUGGAAAUCUUUUGUGAUUGUGAGCCCCCAUCAAAAUAUUAUAUGCCAAAAUUAUUGAUGUUGGACAAGGAAGAUGUAAUGAUUUAUGUUUGCUCAUAUUCACAUAGAAGUUAUAUUGUCAUAUAUCCUUCAACAUGUGGUGCUUGCCCCCAUCUUUGCUAGCCAAAAAUUUUGCACCAAGUAGAGAUACUACUUGUGCAUCCAAAAACCCUUAAGCCCAAAUCUUAUUUUCAAGAGUCCACCAUACCUACCUAAGGAUUGAGUCAGAUCCUUCAAUUAAGUUGUCAUCGGUGCAUUAAGGCAAUAAUUUUUUUUUCUAAAAGUGAGAUCAUUUAGUGCAAGAGAAAAUUGAGCCUUGUACGAACUUGGAUGCCAAAGAAUAAAAUCGACAGACUGCAUAAUAAAGGUUGCCAUCUUAAGGGGCAAUACAACGCGGCGUUCUUUUUCACUAAGGGAUUGAGCAUACAAACAAAUAAGCGCAUGGCAACCUCUGCUUCCCUCUGCGAAGGGCCUAUCUUUUACUUUUAUGUAUUUACUUUUAUGCAAGAGUCAAAGUUUUUCUCUCUAUUCCUUUUUUAUUUUCUCUUUUGGCAAGCAUCAUGUGGUGAGGAGGAAUCUAGGCACAUAUGUCCAGUUGAAUUUGGGUAGCAUGAGUUAUUAUUGUUGACAUCACCCUUGAGGUGAAUACGUUGGGAGGCGAAACUCUAAGCCCCUAUCUUUCUAUGUGUCCGGUUGAAACGUUCUGCUCAUGUGUAUGCGGUGAGUGUUAGCAGUCAUAGAAGACUAUAUGAUGGUUGAGUAUGUGGAGCUCUUACUUAGACUCUGUUGAAUAAGUUGAAUUGCAAUUGCUUGGUGACUAAGAACAUAAUUUGUUGAGUUUCAAGAGAGUUCAUUGUUUGGACCUUAACAUGUGAAUUGGUUGCUACUAUAACAUGAGAAGUUUUAUAAGAAAGAAUUGUUGUUAUGAUGCUAGGAAAAGUGAUUAAAUUUAUCAUUGAUCAAACUUAUGUACUUUCCUAGCAUUCACACUUCAUAAAUUAUUUCUUUUAUCAUUUACCUACUCGAGGACAAGUAGGAAUUAAGCUUGGGGAUGCUGAUACGUCUCCAACGUAUCUAUAAUUUAUGAAUUAUUCAUGUUGUUAUUUUAUCAUUCUUGGAUGUUUUACAAUCAUUUUAUAUCAACUUUAUAUCAUUUUUUGGGACUAACCUAUUGACUCAGUGCCCAGUGCCAGUUGCUGUUUUUCGCUUGUUUUUUACAUCGCAGGAAAUCAAUACCAAACGGAGUCCAAACGCAACGAAACUCCACGGAGAUUUUUUAUGGACCACAAGGAAUCCAAUGGCCCGGAGCUACACCUGGGGGUGCCCCGAGGGGGGCACAACCCACCAGGGCGUGCCAGGGCCCCCUGGCACGCCUAGGUGGGUUGUGCGCACCUCGGUGGCCUCCCGCACCCCCUCUUUACCCUAUAAAUUCCCAAAAAUUCCAAAAACCCUCGGGGUUAACCUAGAUCAGAAGUCCCGCCGCCGCAGGGCUCCGUAGCCACCGAAAACCAAUCUAGACCCAUUCUGGCACCCUGCCGGAGGGGGAAAUCAUCUCUGGUGGCCAUGUUCAUCAUCCCGGCGGCCACCACGAUGAGGAGGGAGUAGGCCACCCUCGGGGCUGAGGGUUUGUACCAGUAGCUAUGUGUUUAAUCUCUCUCUCUCUCUUGUGUUCUUGAGAUGUCACGAUCUUGAUGUAUCGCGGGCUUUGUUAAUAUAGUCGGAUCAUAUGGUGUUUUUCCCUCUCUAUCUUGUUGUGAUGAAUUGAGUAUUUCCCUUUGAGAUUUCGUUGUUAUCGGAUUGAAUACUUUUAUGGAUUUGAUAACACUUGAUAUAUGUCUUGAAAUUGAAUACUCGUGGUGACAAUGGGGUAUCGUAUUGAUUCACAUGAUAUAUGUUCUGGAACUCAACUCGCGGAUUCCCGAGGUGACAUUGGGGUAAUCUAUGCAUAGGGGUUGAUGCAUGUUCUUGUCUUUGUUUCUCCGGUAGAAAUCUUGGGGCACUCUUUGAAGUUCUUAGUACGAACUCUAGGAUAGAUCGAACGGAAAGAAUAGCUUUGUGUUAUUUUACUACGAACUCUUGAAUAGAUCGAACGGAAAGAAUAGCUUUGAGGUGGUUUCGUACCCUACAAACAAUUUAUUCUUAUGUUCUCCGCUAGAUUGGAACUUUGGAGUGAUUCUCCGUCGCACUUUGAGGGGUGUUUAUAUGAUCCAAUUAUAUUAGCAUUGUUGAGACAUUGCACUAGCGAAAGUACGGACCCUAGGCCUCAUUUUCAAGCAUUGCAAUACCGUUUUUGUGCCCGUUUAUUAUUUGCUACCUUGCUGUUUUUAUUUAUUCAGAUUAUAAAAAUAUAUUUCUACCAUCCAUAUUACACUUUUAUCACCAUCUCUUCGCCAAACUAGUGCACCUAUACAAUUUGCCAUUGUAUUGGGUGUGUUGGGGACACAAGAGAUUUCCUGUAUUUGGUUGCAGGGUCAUUUGAGAGAGACCAUCUUCAUCUACACCUCUCAGGGAUUGAUAAACCUUAGGUCAUCCACUUGAGGGAAAAUUGCUACUGUCCUACAAAACUCUGCGCUUGGAGGCCCAACACGUGUCUACAAGAAUAAAGUUGCGUAGUAGACAUCAAGUUACUAGCCGAAGCCUUUGCGGCUGAAGAACUAACCACCCUACGAUCCCUAGUGGGCAAGGAUGAUGUGAUUCUCGACAAGAGAUCUAAAUGCACCUCUUUCAAGCCAGCAGAUGAAAUAGUUAAAUUCCAAGUGCACCCAGCGGAUCCUAAUAAAACAGCGUCCAUCGGAGCACAGCUGGAUCCGACGGUAGACACCGCCUUAUGUGUGUUCCUACGUGAAAAUCGGGAUAUCCUUGCCUGGCACCCCUUAGAUAUGCCCGGGAUCCCACACAGACUGGCUGAACACAGCCUCAACAUAAUCAAAGGGUUCAAACCAGUCAAGCAAACGCUACGGCGAUUUUCCGAACCCAAACGACAAGCUAUGGUGGAGGAGCUAGCCAAACUGCUCGAGGCCGGGUUCAUCAGAGAAAUCAAACACCCGGAUUGGUUAGCCAACUUGGUCAUGGUGCCGAAGAAGGAUCAAUCUUGGCGCCUUCGUGUCGAUUUCAAAGACCUCAAUAAGGCUUGCCCUAAAGCCCCUUUCCCAUUACCCCGCAUUGACCAGAUCAUUUAUGCGACCGUGGGACACGACUCAUUGUGUUUACUCGACGCUAACUCCGGAUACCAUCAGAUUAAAAUGAAGGACUCUGAUCAGGCCGCAACGGCGUUCAUCACCCCAUAUGGGCCUUUCUAUUUCAACACUAUGCCUUUUGGGCUUAAAAACGCUGGUGCCACUUACCAACACAUGAUUCAAACAUGCUUGGAAAUAAAAUCGGCAAGACAGUUGAAGAAUAUGUGGAUGACGUGGUCAUCAAGACUAAACACGUUGAAUCAUUGGUGGACGAUCUCCGCCUCACAUUUGACAACCUCCAAACAUACCAAUCAAUCCGGAAAAAUGCGUCUUCAGUGUUCCAGCCAGAAAGCUAUUAGGAUUCAUUGUCUCCCAUAGAGGAAUUGAAGCAAACCGAGCUAAAAUCCGAGACUUGUCGCAAUUGGCCACACCAACAGACUUAAAGCAGGUCCAAAAGCUAGCAGGGUGCGUGGCGGCGUUGAGCCGCUUCAGCUCCAGAUUAGGAGAAAAAGCAUUACCACUUUAUAGACUGCUUAGACGCACCGACAACUUUGAAUGGACGGAUGCGGCCACAGCCGGAUUGUAGGAAAUAAAAACCUUCUUAGCAGGCAACCCAAUCCUAGCCGCCCCAAGUGUUGGCGAGCCUAUGUUGCUUUAUAUCUCCGCAACUCAACAGGUAGUGAGCGAUGUACUCGUCAUCGAGCGAGGGGAAGAGGGACAUAAAUUCCCCAUCCAAAAGCCAGUGUAUUACGUAUCAGAGGUCCUUACACCAUGCAAAUCCCGAUACCCUCACUACCAGAAGAUAGCUUACGUGGUCUUUAUGGCAUCCCGAAAACUCCGACACUAUUUUCAAGAGUGUUCGAUCAUGGUGGCAUCCAAAGUACCACUUAACGACAUUAUAAACAACAAGGACGCCACCGGCCGCAUAGCUAAAUGGGCCAUUGAGCUCUUAUCGUUUGAAAUAACAUACAAGCCACGCCGAGCUAUUAAAUCUCAGGUGCUGGCCGACUUCGUUGCCGAGUGGACGGAAGCCGAGCUCCCUAAAGAGUAAAGUUCAUACUCCAACUGCAUGUACUUCGACGACUCUAAAAUGCUAGCCGGACUGGGGGCUGGUGUCAUCUUGACAUCCCCUACGGGGGACACGGUCCGCUACGUGUUGUAAAUCAUGUAUACGGACUCCAAUAAUGCAGCUGAAUAUGAGGCACUUCUACAUGGUCUCCGCAUGGCUGUCUCCAUGGGCAUACAAUGACUCGAGGUGCACGGCGACUCAAUCCUUGCAAUAUCUCAGAUAAAUGGAGAGUUCGAUGCAAAAGAUCCAAAAAUGGCGGCAUAUCGAAACGCCGUAUUAAAAAUAUCGGCUCGGUUCGAGGGACUUGAAUUUCAUCACUUCGCUCGAGACAGUAACCAGGCAGCGGACAUACUCGCUUGCACGGGCGCCAAGUGCAACCCUGUCCUGCCUAAUACCUUUAUGGAAAGGCUCUUUAGGCCAUCCGUGGUAUGGCAGGACGAGAGCGGAGACGCCAGUACGGACCUGAUCAUGCCCCCGGCAGCCGAACAUAAUACAGAUAUCAUCGGGGGUCCGGAUACCGAAAUAACGCCCUCUAAUCAUGAGAUCAUGGUCGUUAUUGCUCCUUGGACCGAACCCUUCCUGGCCUACCUUAAUAGGCAGGAGCUUCCCGAUGAUCAAAAUGAGGCCCGUCGCAUAGUUCGGCGUUCUAAAGCCUACAAAGUUCACGAAGGUGAACUGUACAAGAAAAGCACUACCGGAGUUCUCCAAUUGUACAUCUCCGAAGAGGAUGGACGACAACUCCUGGCUGAAAUACAUGCUGGUCUAGGCGGCCAUCACGCCGCAGCUCGGGCCCUCGUAAGCAAAGCCUUCCGGACAGGUUUUUUCUGACCAAUGGCCCAAGCAGACGCACAGGCCCUUGUCCAACGUUGUGUGGGAUGUCAGCUUUUCGCCAAUCAAAGUCAUAUGCCUCCCACUGCCUUAAGAACAAUCCCCAUCACUUGGCCCUUCGCGGUCUGGGGGCUGGAUAUGGUCGGACCCCUUAAAGGGGGAAGCCACAAAAAGAAAUAUUUACUGGUUAUGGUGGAUAAAUUCACUAAGUGGAUAGAGGCCAAACCAAUAAAAACGGCUGAAGCAGGACCAGUGGUUGACUUUAUAUCCGGCGUGGUACACCGCUAUGGUGUCCUGCACAGCAUCAUCACUGAUAAUAGCUCCAAUUUUACAGCUGAUGAGGUGAAAAACUAGUGUGCUAACUUGGUUAUUAAACUUGACUAUGCAUCCGUCUACCACCCUCAAACAAACGGUCAGAUUGAACGGGCCAAUGGCCUGAUAAUGAGCGGCAUUAAACCCCGACUAGUGCGCUCCCUAUGGGAGUCGGAUAAGCAAUGGGUUGAGGAACUCGAUUUCGUGCUCUGGGGGCUGCGGACUACACCUAACCGAACAACCGGAUAUACACCUUUCUUCAUGGUGUACGGUGUGGACGCUGUCCUGCCCUGCGACAUUAUUCAUGACUCACCUCGAGUGCGCAUGUACGAAGAGCGAGAAGCUGAGCUUGAUCGACAGGACGACCUAGACGGCCUCGAAGAGGAGCGCGAUAUUGCACAAGCCCGUUUCGCAUUUUAUCAACAACAGGCCAGGUGAUACCAAAGAAGAGAAGUGCGGUCCAAGACAUAUAACACUGGCGACCUCGUCUUGCGUCUCCCAGAGAAUAAUAAGGAUAAGCUCAAACCAAGAUGGGAGGGCCCCUUCAUCAUAGAUGAAGUUCUCACGGGAGGAGCCUAUCGCCUUUGUAAUGCAUCGGAUAAUCGCCUUGAGUCGAAUCCAUGGAACGAUGCUCGGCUCCGACGAUUCUACGGAUAGUUCGGUAGCACCUUUUUACUUUGACUAGGUUCCUUUUUCUCCUCUCCUUUUUUAUUUUUUCAUUUUUAUAUCCCAGGGUAUGUUCGGAUCUACCGAACUGUUAGGGGUACACAUCUUUAAAUGUAUACACCCCACUAUAACUUGGGCCUUCUUUGAUGAAGCUUAUUAUUAAAAGCUUGUGGCUUACAUUGUUUACGUCAUUUGUUCUAUACACUUUUUUGCCAUUAUAUGCACCUCUAUGACUUAAGUUUUUGCCAAGCUUGGUUGCCUUGCUCCCGUGUUUAUACCCUACGUUCCCUAUUGUUCGGCUAGGGUGUAAAGGGAGCACCUCUGCGAUUGUUACAACCGGGUAAUCCGGAUCUGUACCUCAGACGGGUGAAGCCAAAAGCUAGUGCUCUUAAGGGAAUAAUUGGUCGGCAAGCAACGACAGAUUAUUUACGUUUAUGUAAUUCUUCUAACAAAUAAGGGAUAGGCUACCCAUAAUUCUAUCUUUUGGAUCAAAGCCUAGGCGUGCAUAAUUAGGCAUGCCGACCCAAGGAAAGGAACCUUAACGGAACUAUUUUCCCUGGAAGAUGUUUCUUACGUUAAAUAGUAAUAUAACAUAACUCCCCGAACAAAUUUUGUCUAUUUGAGCAAUAUGACCGGAUUGCCUGGUUUCCGGACAUAAUGAAUUUUUAUUACAUUCCAACAUGGUCUCCGGAAACACUCCAACUUCUUCGUUCGGAGGUUGAAGCCGAAGGCCUGCGAUGACAAAUUUUGACAAGUUCGGUUGGACAUAAGUUCGAUGAUAAAGUACAUUGAUACAUUGAAUCGAACGCCUACUCUUUAUCUAUGUCAUCUAUAAGACUGUUUAAGCUACAGUCUUCUUGCAAAUAUUUCGCGGCUAUCAUCACUUGGUCAUAUACCAAGUUCACGGGAAUCUUUUUUCCGUCCGGUCCCUGAGGUCCAACUUGGGCCAUACGAUUCGGAUCGAGCCCGGUGUAGCGCGUUUUCACCAUCGCCCUUGCCUCUCGUGCACCUUCCUGGCAUGCUGACGCCUUCCAUAGCUCCAAACAGCGCCGGGAACCUUUGAACAGGUUCGCCAACCCCUCCAUGCUUUCUGGAGGGACAUCGGAUGGCCAUAAGGCUUUGUCCAUACUUCUCAUGGCUUUCCGGGCCCGCUCAUGCACUACGGACAGCUCUUUUAGAACGUGGCCUCGGAAUCCGGAUACUUCUUCUUCAUGACGCCCAGUUAACAGACCUGCAAGAACAGCAUUAUAACACUCCGAAAUACGGGAUAAUAUUAGUCCCUUGGAUGGUUCAAAUGUCAUACCGAAUAUACCGCCUUUCAACUUUUUAUUCUCUUUUUGUGCGUCUGAUAAUUGAGCCUUUAAGCUCUUUAUCUCUUCGGCUUGCUUAUCAUUUUCCUCCUCCAGUUUGUUCUUUUGAUCAAUGGUCAUCGCGACCUUCUUCAUUUCCUCUAGCUCUGUGGUGGCGGCAUUUAGCUUUGUCCAGCUCGUUUCAAGCUCCUGGGACAGUGCGUUGUUCUUCUCUUUGAGAACCUGCGGUCAUAACGAUCCUUAAAUCAGUUGGUCUAAACCACUUCAAGUCUCGGGGGCUACUGGCAUGUAUCUAUUAAAUUUACACAAAACAUUACAUGCAUAUCUUUUGAAAACAGGUGAGCAACUCCAGCAAGUCUAUCCCGGGCAGCUCGGAUAUAUGCAUCCACGGUGCUGAGGGCACUAAAUUCCUGCUCGGUAAAAACUGGAGCACGCAUGGUCUCUUUCAGUCGUGGGUGGUUCAUCACGCUCUCCACUUCGGAAUUUGUGACGGAUAUGUCAUCCGAGUCCUCAUGAGGUGGAUGAGUUGGCUCUACAUCCGUAUUGGCGCUUGUCUUGGUUGAUGAGCCCGGUGUCGGAUUAGCUGAUGAUCGGCUAGCUGGGACUUUACACACGGUUCACCAUGUGCUCCUCCGAAAAUAAGAUGGGAGGAGAAGUAUGACAAUCUGGUCUUAUGCCUAGGCACAUGUUAAAAGUUAUAGAUCUUUGAUAAAGGAGGGGGCCCGACGGCGCUCCCGGUUUCCUUUCGUUUUGAAGGCUCACCCUGCGUAGAUGCUACCCUCCUAGAGGCCACCCUCGAUGGAGUGUAGCUCGCUGAUCGCCGGUCCUAUGAAGCACGAUUCAAUGUCAUGGGUGAGACACAAGUGGGUGGCUCCUUUUUUGUGGCUCCUUUUUUGAGGAUGAUUUCCGAGUACUUACCUUGGAGAAAGGGAAAAUGCCGGGGUAGUCGGCCGUAAUAGCCACUUCCGAGCCAUCAAGCCUCGCUUGAUAAAAGACUCCAUCCUCAAACUCUAUAAAUCUAUCCGGAUCCUCGUGAAAUCCGGGGUCCUCGUUGCAAGCAUAGUCCUCUGGCUCUGGGGAGGGACAAUUAAUAUUUUCGACCACCUUCCUCCAUGUCUGUUUCAAGAUGACAAGAACAAUUUGAUUAGCGCACCUGAAUAAUGAGGUAGGACAAUGUUGAUAAACAAAAACUUACCCAUUCAAUGGGGUUAUACAUGGAGAAACCUUCCCGACAAUUUAAACGGAUGAAUUCUUCUUUCUCCCCCUUAUAAAGAUCUAUAAGAAUGGCCGCCAGAGCAGCCGGGGUAUCCGGGCCCUCAUGCUUAUAACGAGAUGCAUCGUACUUCCCAUUGUAACACCAUAAAGGGGUCACUCUAGACUGAAGGGGCUGGAUGCAUCGCUUUAUCGCGAUGGCCAUGACUACGAUUAUCAAGAGUUCGGAAUGGGAGAGUAACCUGACCUUGCUAACUACCUAUUUACUUCUACACUGUCUUCUUGCUUGGGACUCCGUGGGCUCCAAUUGAAACGUUUCUUCAAAGGAGAACUGGAGAAUUCGGGAAGUCCACGUCAAACUUUGUCUGGAAGGGGAACAUCCUCAACAUAAAACCAUUAUGAAGUCCAUUCUUCUGAUCCCUUCUUGGGAGUUCCGACGAGGUAACCUGAUCCGGCUAUGCACCAUACUUCGGCGCCGCCCACUUCAAAUAUAGAACCCCCUUGAUGACGAGGGACGAGGCAAAAGAACUUUCUCCACAGUUUAAAAUGAGCCUCGCAGCCUAAAAUUGUUCGCAGAGAACGAGAAAACUUGAUAUGUGCAGAAUAGAACCUGGUGUGAGUUUGUGCAAUUGGAUCCCGUAGAAUUCCAAUAGACCUCUAAGGAAUGGGUGGAUCGCGAAUCCUAAGCCCCUCAGAAUAAACGAGACGGAGCACACCCUCUCCUCCUUGUUGGGGUUGGGGAAAUUCUAUGCUAGCACAUCAUUGCCAAUCGAGGCCAAUCCUGCCUGCAUGGAGGCUAGAUCUGUGGGAGGGAGAUAUCCCUGCGUUUGAAGUCGAUUCAGUUGGAGGUGAGACACUGAGCAGCUUCGCCAAUCACCCGCUUGAGCGCCAUGAGGGCGCGAGGAGGAGCUAGGAGCGCUCGCCAUGUUUUGAAGUUUUUUCCUGGUUUGCUCUGAUGCUUCUUGCGCAAUAUGGGAUGGCAUUUGGGGAUCUAACCCCUUUAUAUAGAUGCCGCCCUUGCAUGGUAAGGGGAUUAUUUGUAAAAAAUUAUGGACCAUUCGCAUUCGCCUGGCGCGUGGAAAUCGAGGCAAUGACAGGAAGGAAUGUAAAGGCAGAACAUGAAGUUCAAAGCCGGACUGUCGUCAAUCCGGAGUAUGGUGAGGAACCUGCCUUGCAAAGCUGGAUACUACCUCGCCAUUGAAGGCAAGUUCGGGGGCUACUGAGGGAGUCCUGGAUUCGGGGGUCCUCAAGUGUCCGGCCUAUUCGAUAUGGGCCGGGCUGAUGGGUCGUGAAGACGAAGCAGAAGACCGCCUCCCGCGUCCGGGUAGGACUCCUAUGUGCGUAGAACGGCAAGUUUGGUGUCUGGGUGUAAUUUUAUUUGCCUCUGAACCAACUUUGUAUAACCCUAGGUCUCUCCGGUGUGUAUAUAAACCGGAGGGGUUAGUCCACAGAGGGCAUCAGAAUAAUCAUAGGCUAGACAGCUAGGGUUUGGCCAUUACGAUCUCGAGGUAGAUCAACUCUUGUAACCCCUAUACUCAUCGAAUACAAUCAAGAAGGACGUAGGGUUUUACCUCCUUCGAGAGGGCCCGAACCUGGGUGAACACCGUGUCCCAUUGUCCCUUGUUACCAUUGAUCCUUAGACUCACAGCUUGGCCCCCCCUACCCGAGAUCUGCCGGUUUUGACACUGACAGGUAUCCCUAGCCCACCAGGGUUCAAGUCUUGAUACUCGCAUUUGUCAUGGAUUUAUUUCAGGAUUUCCGGUGAUCUGCGGGUCAUUCCGUGCUUGACCCUGCACAGAUCGCACAUGCUCAUCAGACAGUACAACACCAUAGGAUCCACAUCGCGGUUUCCCAGCAUUCCAAUUCUAUGGUCUCGUCGAUUUUUCCUACUUUAUGUGGGAUCAAGAAAUAGCAUGUACAUGGGCCUUCGCACCCAACACACACAGUAGUAUAGCAUGUUCUUUCACAUGUUUUGCCAUUAAUCAUUUGGUUCGAUCGAUCACAAGCCCCUGCUGCUGGACAGCAAAGCGACUAAACACGCAACAAAUCACCAAACUCCAAUUAAUUAUUAUACACCAAAGGUGCACACAAGUUUAACCGAAGAACGAUACUAAAAACUCAGUCGGCUGAUAGGUGGAUCAUCAAAGGAGAAUCAACGCAUCCAGAAGUAAGGCCAACAUAGGAGAGGUGCACCACGCGAGAGACAUAGCCAGUCGAGGAAAUUCAGCCAGUGAUCCUCAGAAGAACCCCCAGACAACGCCACCCCCACGCUGCAUGGUAGGCUUCACAUGCCACCUACUCCAUGACUUUUGCUCCUAGCGUCAACAUCCUUUGAUUUCCCUCCUUUUAU
rnacentral:lncRNA from 1 species